rnacentral:lncRNA from 1 species
CCACACAUGAACACCUUUGGAAAAUCUCGUGGAGAGAAACAACAUAUUUCUCAUCUUAUUCCGAGUGAUUGUACAUUCAAACGCGUUUUCGUUGUGUGAGCACUGAGGCCAUCGUCGACAACACAAAUGUGCUAAUAUAUUACGUUCAAAGCGUGUGUUAUUUUUUUUCCGUUGCAACGCACGGGCUUUUUUGCUAGUAAUAAUAAAGCACGCAGUGCUUCUGCCGUACGUUGCCAUUUUUUUUGCAAAAACACUCCUUGCUUUUCGGUAUUCAACUCGUAGUCCGUUUUUAAGUCUUGCAUUUUGCAAAAAAAAACCCUGAUAUUUUAGGUAAUCAACCCGCAGUCCGGAUUUAAGGCCCUGUUUGUUUCAUAAGUCCUAAGACUUUUUUAAGUCCCAACUUAUAAGUCAUAAGUCCCUACCUGUUUGUUUACACGGACUUAUAAGCCCUGAAUCCCUAUCUGUUUGUUUACAGGGACUUAUAAGUCCAUGUUGCACCUAAUAAUACACUUGCAUAGGGACGCGGGGAUCGUCAUCAGCCAUGGCGCGGUAACCUGCAGUCAACAUGGAUCGUCAUCAGCCAAAGCGUACGGCACACAGGAUAAGCACCGCUGCAACGAGGCAGAAACGGGGCGACGAACGAAUGGGACGGGGCGGCGACGAGGCGACGAACCGAGGCAGAAACGGGGCGACGGAACGAACGGGACGGGGCGGCGACGGGGCGACGGGGCGAGGUCCGGCCCGGGAUAAGUCCCAAUAAGCUCCUCCGUGAGAGUCUUAUUUGAUAAGUCCCAAAUCACCACAAUAAGUCCCAAUAAGUCCCUUGUGUUUGGUUUAGGUGGGACUUAUAGGGACUUAAACCAAUAAGUCUCUGGAAACAAACACCCUCUAAGUCAGAAAACGAAUCGUUUUUUUGCAUUUUUCCAAAACCCCCCUGAUGUUUCAGGUAAUCAACCCGCCCUCCGUAUUUUAACAAAAAAACCCUAACUUUUGAGUUAAUCAAUCCACAUUUUAUCUAAAACAAAAUUAUCCAUAUCUUUUAAACCGUAACUCCGAUUUUAACAUGUUAUAUAUGAAAUUUAAUUAAAAAAAUGUGUAGAAUCUAAAUAUGAUGUUAUUUCUAGCUGUUGAAUACUUCGUAAAUAUUAUUUUUGGUGCAAACUUAAUCUGUAAUGCACGGUCCUUUUUCUCUCUCUUUCGGGCGACGAUACGAAUUGCAAUAAACAUCCAUUAAAUUAAAACCAAAUUGAGAGGAAAGAAAACAUCGUUAACAACACAUGCACACCUUUGGAAAACCUCAUGGGGAGAAACAACAUAUUUCUCAUCUUAUUCCGAGUGACUGUAUAUUCAAACGCGUUUUCAUUGUGUGAGCACUAAAGCCAUCGUCGACAAUACAAAUGUGAUGUCAUGUGAAAAUAUAUUGCGUUCAGAGCAUGUGUUAUUUUCUCUUCCGUUACAACGCACGGGCUCUUUUGCUAGUACCUCUCCAAUGGACGUUCUUGUCCCACGCUCUCAAAGCGACCCCUAGGUACCAUAUGCAUGGCAUGGCAUCACCAGUAGAAUAUAGGAUUUUGGUUCUGCUCAAAUAAGAGCAAUAGUCCCUGGUCGUGCUAUGAACCGAGAUUAAUGAGAGCAUCAAUUCCGGUUCGAACGGUCAGGACGCGUGUCGGGCCUCGUCAGGCAUCAGUCCUGGUUCGAGUGGGACUUUAUUUCCGGUUUCACACACUAACCGGGACUAAACGGCCUCCCUCCUGACGCAGCCCCUUUAGUCUCGGUUGGUGUUUGGAACCGAGACUAAAAGUCAUUCUUCAGUCCCGAACACCAACCGAGACUACAAAGAUUUCUAUAUAUACGCAUGGCCUUAUCCGUUUUUGGCCAUAGGUGGUGGGAGAUGUGUGAUGUACUCUGUUCUCACUUCCUAUGCAUAGCAGGUGUUCGAUGAAAUGCCCGAGCCACACUUAAGCUUUUUCCUCUGUUCUUCCCCCAAGCUCGACCUCCAAGCUUCAUUUUCCCCAAGUUUUGUCUAGGUUUGGCGGUGCACCAACUAUCCAAGUGUUUAAAAAAGAUUAGCAACUUCAUCCUUUUAUCUCUCACUGCUAGUUUAGCUCAUUUUAAAUGCUCUAGAAGUAGUGUGAUUUGUGGGUUUUAGUGGAGGAGUGUAUGUGUGAGUUUAUUUGGUUUAGAUGCCCAAUUUGAGCUCAAUUUAACUUCUUAGUUUGCACAUGUGUAUGGUGCCGUCCCAUCCCCAUCACCGUUAUCGGUGUCAAAAUCGGCGGAUCUCGGGUAGGGGGUCCCGUGCUGUGGACCUUGGAUUGAUGGGUUAUAGAAGACGAAGGAGAAAAUGUUUUACCCAGGUUCGGGCCCUUUUGAGGAGGUAAAACCCUAUGUCCUGCUCGAUUAUAUUUAUGUGGAUGAGAAUUACAUAGUUGGUCUACCUUGAGAUUGUAUGAGCUAAAACCCUAGAUGAGUCACCCUCCCCAUACGGAUGAAACCCUCUGGUUUAUAUAGACACCAAGGUUUCCUAGGGUUACAUACAACCGACCUCCAGCCGGGGACAGAUGGGCCGAUCUAGCCUUCUUAGCUUGGAUGACACGCUGAUACGUCUCCAUCGUAUCUACUUUUCCGAACUCUUUUGCCCUUGUUUUGGACUCUAAUUUGCAUGAUUUGAAUGGAACUAACCUGGACUGACGUUGUUUUCAGCAGAAUUGCCUUGGUGUUGUUUUUGUGCAGAAAUGGAAGUUCUCAAAACGUCGUGAAAAUUUACGGAGAAUAUUUCUGGAAAAUAUGAAAAAUACCUGCGCAAAGAUCCACCGGAGGGGAUGGGCCAGUGGGCCACAAGCCUUGUAGCCGCCACCCAAUCUCAGCUCUAUAAUUUCACUUUUGUCCCAGAAAAAAUCAAGAGAGAAGAUUUCGUCGUGUUUGCGAUACGGAGGCGCUGCCACAUCCUUUCUUCAUCUGGAGGGCAGAUCUGGAGUCCGUUUUGGGCUCCGGAGAGGGGAAAUCGUCGCCAUCGUCAUCAUCAACCUUCUUCCCUCUCCAAUUCCAUGAAGCUCUUCAUCGUUCGUGAGUAAUCUAUUCGUAGGCUCGUUGGGCGGUGAUGAGUAGGAUGAGAUCUAUCAUGUAAUCGAGUUAGUUUUGACGGGGAUUGAUCCCUAGUAUCCACUAUGUUUUGAGAUUGAUGUUGCUACUAUUUUGCCAUGCUUAAUGCUUGUCACUAGGGCCCGAGUGCCAUGAUUUCAGAUCUGAAAUUAUUAUGUUGUCACCAAUAUAUGUGUGUUUUAGAUCCGAUCUUGCAAGUUGUAGUUACCUACUAUGUGUUAUGAUCCGGCAACCCCGGAGUGACAAUAACCGAAACCACUCCCGGUGAUGACCAUAGUUUGAGGAGUUCAUGUGUUCACCAAGUGCUAAUGCGUUGGUCUGGUUCUUUAUUGAAAGGAGAACCUUAAUACCCUGUAGUUUCCUUUUGGACCCCGCUUCCACGGGAGGGAUGGACAAUAGAUGUCAUGCAAGUUCUUUUCCCUAAGCAUGUAUGACGACACACGGAAUGCAUGCCUACAUCACAUUGACGAACGGGAGCUAGCCACAUAUCUCUCCGUGUUAUAACUAUUGCAUGACGAAUAUCAUCCAAACAAAUCACCGACCCAUUGCCUACGAGUUUGUGCCACUGCUGCUGUUACUUGUUUUGCUCUGCUGCUGUUACUACUAUUGUUGCUGCUGUUACUUGCUCUGCUGUUACUUGCUACUGUUGCUACUUGCUACUGUUGUUACUUGCUACUGUUGCUAUUUGCUACUGUUGUCACUACUGCUGUUCCUUGCCACUUCUGCUACUCGUUACACUGCUGCUACCUGCCACAAUUCUGAUUCGCUCGACGUUGACGGGAAAAGACAAUUUCCGUCAACGGGCAACGGCUGGCGCCACUGAUACAAUCGUUAGGAAUAGUCUGCCGUUAACAGAUUGUUUCUGACACUGUUGUUAUCAUAUUACUUUGUUGUUGAUACUUUGCUUGCAGAUACUAAUCUUUCAGGUGUGGUUGAAUCUGACACAUUCAGCUGCUAAUACUUGAGAAUAUCCUCUCACUUCCUUGGCGAAUCAACAAAUUUGGGUUGAAUACUCUACCCUCGAAAACUGCCUCGAUCCCACGCGCUGGUGGGUUAUUGCAAGACAAUUUCUAAUUGUUGAGCAAUCGAGAAUAGCACUCGUCUAGUGAUACGUCUCAAACGUAUCUAUAAUUUUUGAUGGUUUCAUGUUGUUAUCUUGUCAUCUUUAGAUGUUUUAUGUACCUUUUAUAUAUUUUUUGGGACUAACUUAUUAAUUCAGUGCCAAGUGCCAAUGUUUUUUCCUGUGUUUUUGGCUCUUUUCAGAUCUGAUUUUGGAACGGAGUCCAACGGAAUAAAAUCCCUGAAAUGAUUUUUUUCCGAACGGAAGAAGAUCAGGGGACCUGUGGGCCAAGCCAGGAGGGCUCUAGGGAGCCCACAAUCCCCCACUCCGCCACUAGGAGGGGAGGCGGUGGUGUCAUGGCUUGUGGCCUCCCUGAGCACUCCCUGACCUAGAUCUUUGGCCUAUAUAUUCCCUAAAAUACAUCAAAAAAUCAGGGGAUCCAUGAAAAUACUUUUCCACCGCCGCAAGCUUCCGUUUCCGCGAGAUCUCAUCUGGAGACCCUUCCCGGCGCCCUGACGGAGGGGACUUUGGAGUUGGAGGGCUUCUUCAUCAUCAUCAUCGCCCCUCCAAUGACUCGUGAGUAGUUCACUUCAGACCUACGGGUCCGUAGUUAGUAGCUAGAUGGCUUCUUCUCUCUCUCGGAUCUUCAAUACAUAGUUCUCCAUGAUCUUCAUGGAGAUCUAUCCGAUGUAAUCUUCUUUAGCGGUGUGUUUGUAAAGAUCCGAUGAAUUGUGGAUUUGUGAUCAGAUUAUCUACGAUAUAUAAUUGAGUCUUUGCUGAUUUCUUAUAUGCAUGAUUUUAUAUCCUUGUAAGUCUCUCCGAGUCUUUGGUUUUGUUUGGCCAACUAGAUCUAUGAUUCUUGCAAUGGGAGAAGUGCUUGGUUUUGGGUUCUUACCAUGUGGUGACCUUUCCCAGUGACAGUAGGGGCAGCAAGGCACACAUUAAGUAGUUGCCAUCAAGGGUAACAAGAUGGGCUCUGUCGUUGAUAUGAGAUUGUCCAUCUACAUCAUUUCAUCUUGCUUAAGGCGUUACUCUGUUCUUUUGGACUUAAUACACUAGAUGCAUGCUGGAUAGCGGUCGACGUGUGGAGUAAUAGUAGUAGAUGCGGACAGUAUCGGUCUACUUGUUUUGGACGUGAUGCCUAUAGAUAUAAUCAUUGCCAUAGAUGACAUGACGACUUUGCGCGGUUCUAUCAAUUGCUCGACAGUAAUUUGUUCACCAACCCUCUACUUGCUUUCAUGAGAGAAGCCACUAGUAAACACUACGGCCCCCGGGUCUAUUCACAUCUAUCAUUUCCACUUUCGCUUUUACUUUGCUUUGUUACUUUGUUGCUUUCAGUUCUCACUUGGCGAACAAUCUAUAAGGGAUUGACAACCCCUUCAUAGCGUUGGGAGCAAGCUUUUUGUGUUUGUGCAGGAUCUUGUGAUACUCCUCCACUGGAUUGAUACCUUGGUUCUCAUACUGAGGGAAAUACUUACCACCGCUGCGCUACAUCACCCUUUCCGCUUCGAGGGAACACCAACGCAAGGCUCCAAGGCCACGGGGGAAAUCCUUUGCAUAUUUUCCUAGGAAGUCCCUUAAGGCGUAGCCGUACCACAAGGAUUCCUGGUGCUGUCGACACGACUAUUUCUGGCGUCGUUGGAAGGUCUUUUUUUGAAGUAGCAUCUAGCCAUUGCCAGAGAGUGCCAGUCACACGCAAGUCUUUGGAGCAUUCCUUCUCGAGCAUGAGGUUGUCGCACAAUCCGGUCUUCAACAACACGACCCAUUAGGUGGGUACAUAAGGGAUGGGCGGACCAUCCAAGGACCACUUAGUCCCGGACUCCCUCAGUAGCUCCCGAACUGGCCUCCACCGCCGAUGUAUAUGGUCUUCGGCAGCUCCGCAUAUCCAGAAUCAUCGGCUUGCAAGGCGAAUUCCCUUCAGGUUUGGCUGGUUUCGACUUGGUCGUUUGGUAAUGUCGUUCCUUUAAAACAUGCAUUGCUCAACCCAAAAGCUUAAAAGCCCGGGUGUGAGCAGUUCCUUAUCUGACAGCCUUUCUGACGAAAGGUCGUGAUAGCCAGUUAUGAAAAAACUCGAUUCGCGGCUCGAGGCCAUUUUCCCAUGGGCAUGUCUAAUCAAUGAGGAGAUCGUGCCCUACAUUUAGGGGGAUACGAAUAAUGGUCUGGGUUAUCCCGCGCGCGUUCAAUGACGCGGUCGUUUCGGGAAGUGGCAGGGCCUGCGGUGCAGUAAACGGGAACCCUUAGUUUUACGGCCUCCCAUAAAAGGGAAAAGAUCCUCAAAGCCACCACAUGCAUUCCAGACUUGACCCCCUUUCCUUCAAGCUCCAAGCGCCCAGAUCCAUUUCGUCGUCCAUCCUCUCCCAACCGCCCUUUCCCAAGCUCAGCAAUGGACGACUGAGGCUCCCAAGGCAUGUUGGAGAUCUCAUGCGUCUCCGCCAAGGAUAUGAGGGAGUUGAAGUUCGCCUGCUACCUCUCUCCCAACAUCGCCCACCGUGCACCGUAAGAAGGCCAGGCGGUGCCUACACCAAAGCCCGACGAGUGGGUGGUGUUCGUCCCCCACUUCAUCCGAGGACUAGGGUUCCCGCUCCACCCCUUCAUCAGGGGCCUGAUGUUCUUCUACGGUUUAGAUUUUCACGAUCUUCCCUCAAACACCUUCAUGCAUAUCUCCGCUUUCAUCACUGUUUUUGAGGCCUUCCUGCGGGAUCAACCGCACUUCGGCCUAUGACUCAAGGCCUUCAAUGUCAAGCUAAAGACGAUCAACGGUUAACACGCCGACUACGGAGGAGACGUGAUCGUCAAACUCCCCCGCGUCCAUAUCUGGCCAUCUCCGGCCCGACUCGGACCGGCCCGAGAAAAUGGGGCCUGGGAGGGCCUGGCCUGGGCCUGAAAAUUAGGCCCUAGCAGUUAUUGGGGCUGGGCCUGGGCUUCAAGAAUAGAGCAAAAAUCGGUCCGGCCGGCCCUCUCGCAGCAAACAAUCAACAACCCAAGUGCUACAUGGCCCGAAAAAAACCCUAGACUCCACGAGACCACGACUCCACCAGGCUCCAGCGGUCCAGCGACUCCAUCUUCAUCCCUUCUAUCCUUUCUCCUCUGCCCGUGCUACAUGGCGGCGGCGGCCGAUCCAUCUCCAAGCUAGCCUGCAUCGCCGGCCGUCCAACUACAGCGCCGGCGGCCGUCUGUCUCUCCAGCGGUCCAGCCCCUCGCCUCUUUCUCGCCGGUCGUCGGUCGCCACAUCUCGAGGCUCCAGCCACCGCGCCCGUUGCUGGUCUGCUCGCCGGUCGCCACAACUACCGCUGCACGGAGCAGGACGAAGCCCCGCCGGUCGCCACAUUUUCUUCAGCAAGCCGCAGGAAGCCCCGCCGGUCGCCACAUCUCCUCCACCAAGCCGGUCUCCUCCACCAAGCUGGUCUCCUCCACCAAGGUGAUAUAGAUGAUUUUGCUGCUGUACAUAGAACAAUGGUAGAUGAUUUUGCUGCUGUACUAGUUUAUUGCUGGUAUAGAUGAAUAUAAGUGUGAUAUAGAUGAUUUAGCUGAUGUACAUAGAACAAUAGUAGGUGAUUUUGCUGUUGUACAUGAAGGUAGUUUCUUGCUGGUGUACAUGAAUAGUUAUAGUUGCUGCUGUUGAUAUAGAUUUCUUGAUGUUGAUAUAGAUUUUUAUUGUUGUUGAUAUAGAUUUGACAUGGAUCCGCAUGAACUAGAAGGCCUAGAGGGUGAUGAACCAGAUUAUCAUCCUGAAGAAUUAGAAGGUCAUGAGGGUGAGAUGGAGCUGUUUAUUGUACCUCCAAAUCCUCCUCGCGUACGGCAGAAAACUGCAAGUUCAAAGGGGAAGAAGCCAACAUCUAGUGGACGUUCAAAAAAUGGACAAUCUGCAGGACAACAACAACCUACAGCUGAAGCACAAUAGCAACCUACAACCAAAGCACAGCCGCAGCGCACUGCCUCCUCUAGCAAUUGCGGACGGAAGUCAAAAGUAUGGUUGGACUUCACCAAGAUAUCCAAAGAUGGUGAUGCCAUUACUAUAGCUAAGUGCAACCAUUGCACCGCUGAGUUGUCAGCUAAGUCUGGACAUGGUACGUCUCAUCUCCUUAGGCACACUGAAGCGCAGCAUAAGACUGAUCAAUCAACAAUGAAUAAUUUUUUUCUUGAAAUCUGAAACAAAUGAUGAUGGAACAAAUGCAUUGAAAAAUGUUAGAUAUGAUGCUCAAGUAGCCAGACAUGCAAUCUCUAUAUAUCUUGUGUCCGGUUCUCAUCCAUUUACAACAGUUGAAGAAGAUGGUUUUAGAACAAUGAUGGCUGCUUUUGUCCAGCAUUCAAGAGUAUUGGUCGACACACAAUAAAAAGAGAGAUAAUGGCAAUGUUUCUUGCCCAGAAAAAAGAAUUGCUUGAAAUUAUUGUUGCUGCCCCUGGUAGAGUAAGUUUCACAUCUGAUAAUUGGAAAUCUGAAGUCACCAAGCAUAGCUAUAUUUGUAUUACAUGUCAUUACAUAGAUGCUGAUUGGAAACUAAACAAAAGAAUUGCAUUUUGUAGAGUUCUUGCUAGGGCAAUGAGAUGAGUAGAAGAAGCAGAGAAGGCAUGUCGAGAUGUAACCAUCCAGGAUCCAACAUUUUUUAGAGUUCUAUGAAUUGCCCAUCUGGCCUGUAACAAUACAUUUAUGCACUUAUGUUUCUACAAACUCAAAACUGGAAUGUUUUGAUACUAUUUGAUGCGAAGACAAUGCACUUUACGUUUUGGUGCUGCUGUCCUGCUAUCUUAUUAUGUUUAUUUUUCUGGACAUGUACUUUCAUUACAAUGUCAAGGGCCUUUGGGGGGGCUUAGGGCUUUCGGGCUUUCUACAUUGGGAGGGCCUGGGCCUGAGAAAUGUAGAAUUUUCAUGGGCCUGGGAGGGCCUAGGCCUUAUCUCCAUGCCUUGGGCUUGUUGGGGCCUGGGCCGAGGCCUGGCCCGGCUCGGCCCAUGGCCAGAUAGACCCGCGUCGAAUGGCCAGAGGGCACCUUUAUUGAUACCAUCAAGGCCUGGAAAAAAAGAGUGGUUUGAUAACCCACAAGUAUAGGGGAUCGCAACAGUUUUCGAGGGUAGAGUAUUCAACCCAAAUUUGUUGAUUCGACACAAGGGGAAGGAAAAGAAUAUUCUCGAGUAUUAGCAGUUGAGUUGUCAAUUCAACUACACCUGAAAGACUUAGUAUCUGCAGCAAAGUUUCAGUAGCAAAGUAGCGUGAUAGCAAUGGUAGAAACGGUAAUAGUAGCAGCAGUGACAACAGUAGCGGUAAUAGUAGCAGCAGUGACAACAGUAGCGGCAAAGUAACGUAGCAAGGACCAGUAGAAAAAGACUCGUAGGCAUUGGAUCAGUGAUGGAUAAUUAUGUCGGAUGACAUUCAUCAUGUAUCAGUUAUAACAUAGGGUGAUAUAUAACUAGCUCCAGUUCGUCAAUGUAAUGUAGGCAUGUAUUCCGUAUAUAGUCAUACGUGCUUAUGGAAAAGAACUUGCAUGACAUCUAUUGUCCAUCCCUCCCGUGGCAGCGGGGUCCUAAUGGAAACUAAGGGAUAUUAAGGCCUCCUUUUAAUAGAGAACCAGAACAAAGCAUUAGCACUUAGUGAAUACAUGAACUCCUCAUACUAUGGUCAUCUCCGUGAGUGGUUCCGGCUAUUGUCACUCCGGGGUUGCCGGGUCAUAACACAUAGUAGGUGACUACAACUUGCAAGAUAGGAUCAAGAACACACAUAUAUUGAUGAAAACAUAAUAGGUUCGGAUCUGAAAUCAUGCUCGGGCCCUAGUGAGAAGCAUUAAGCAUAGCAAAGUAGUAGUAACAUCAAUCUCAGAACAUAGUGGAUACGAGGGAUCAAACCCCAUCAAAACUAUCUCGAUUACAUGAUAGAUCUCAUCCAACCCAUCACCGUCCAGCAAGCCUACGAGGAGAUUAUUCAUGAACGGUGAAGAGCAUCAUGGAAUUGGCGAUGAAGGAUGGUUGAUGAUGAUGACGACGUCGAUCUCCCCUCUCCGGAGCCCAGAACGGACUCCAGAUCUGCCGUCCAGAGGAAGAACAGGUGGUGGCGGCGGCUCCGUGUCGUAAAACGCGAUGAACUCUUCUCUCUUAAUUUUUUCUGGGCGAGAGAGAUUAUAUAGAGCUGGAGUUGGAGGCGGCGGAGCCACGAGGGCCUCGCAAGCCUGCCAGGCAUGGCCAGGGGGGUGCCUCCUGGGCUUGUGGGCUCCUGGCUCCGUCCCUCCAGGUAAUUCUUGUGCCAGUUUUUUUUUAUAUAUUCCACAAAAAAUCCUCGUAAAUUUCCAGGUCAUUCCAAGAACUUUUAUUUCUGCGGAAAAACAACACCAUGACAAUUCUGCUGAAAACAACGUCACUCCGGGUUAGUUCCAUUCAAAUCAUGCAAAUUAGAGUCCAAAACAAGGGCAAAAGAGUUUGGAAAAGUAGAUACGAUGGAGAUGUAUCAACUCCCCCAAGCUUAAAGCCUUGCUUGUCCUCAAGCAAUUCAGUUGACAAACUGAAAGAGACAAAAGAAAAACUUUUACGAACUCUGUUUGAUCUUGUUGUUGUAAUUAUGUCUAACUCAUAUUCAGAUUUUUAGAAAGAUCAUAAGCUAACCACAUAAGCAAUGACAUUUAUGUCUCAUGGUAAACUCAUAUCAAUGGAAAAAUCAACCAGUCAGCAAUAAUAAUAAGUUUCAAAUGUCAACACUUAAAUCAAAACAAUCAUGAAGCAAUAUGAACAGAUGGUAUCUCGCUAGCUCUUUCUGAGACCGCAAAACAUAAAUGCAGAGCACCUUCAAAGACCAAGGGCCGACUGAACAUUGUAAUUCAUGGCAAAGAAGAUCCAGUCACAGUCAUACUCAAUAACAAUUAAUAGCAACGCAUAAAAAUGACAGAGGUGCUCUCUAAUUGGUGCUUUUAUAAGGCGAGGAUGACUCAACAGAAACAUAAAUAGAUAGGCCCUUCGCAGUGGGAAGCAUUGAUUUGCAGAGGUGCCAGAGCUCAAGCUUUGAAGACAGAGAUAAAUAAUUUUGGGUGGCAUGCUUUCAUUGUCAACGCAAUGACCAAGAGUUUUCACCAUCUUCCAUGCUACACAUAUUAUAGGCGGUUCCCAAACAGAAAGGUAAAGUUUUGAAUCCCCCACCACCGAUCUAUCACACUCCACGACUAGCCGAAUCCUCGGGUGCCGUCCAGGGGGAUUUUUGUUUGCAAUUAUCUUUUCGAUUUGAGCAUGGAACUCGGCAUUCCAAUUACCGCCCCCUUUCUCGUGAGUGAUAGUGAAUAAACACGUAUCGAGGAUAAAACGCCUAGCAUGGAAGAUACCGACCGCCCCUUGUCAGCACAUGAGCGGUUCGGGCAUACAAAAUAGAUCAUUUCUUGAAGAUUUAGAGAGUGGCACACGAAAAUUUACUUGGAACGGCAGGUAGAUACCGCAUAUAGGUAGGUAUGGUAGACUCAUAUGGAACAACUUUGGGUUUAUGGAAGUGGAUGCACAAGCAGUAUUCCCGCCUAGUACAAGUGUAGGUUAGCAAAAGAUUGGGAAGCGACCAACUAGAGAGCGACAACAGUCAUCAAUAUGCAUUGAAAUUAACCAACAUUGAGUGCAAGCAUGAGUAGGACAUAAAUCGCCAUAAACAUGAAUAUCAUAGAGGCUAUGUUGAUUUUGUUUCAACUACAUGCGUAAACAUGCGCCAAGUCAAGCCUCUUGAAUCAUUCAAAGGGAGAUACCAUCCUAUCAUACUACAUCAUAAUCAUUUUGAAAUUCAUGUUGGCAUCCAAGACAAACCAUUAUAAGCUCCUAGCAAAUUAAGCAUGUCAUCAAAAACCUGAUCUCUAAGUUGUCAUUGCAAACAUGUUUCUCUCAUAACAAUGUUGAAUUAGGAAGGAUGAGCUAGUCAUAUUUACAAAAAUAAAAUAGGUCGAGUUCAUACCAGCUUUUCCACGCUCAGUCACUUCAUCAUAUAUCGUCAUUAUUGCCUUUCACUUGCAUGACCGAAUGAUGUGAAUAAUAAUGAGAGUGUUCAUGCAUUGCACUAAGCUGGAAUCUGCAAGCAAACACAGAGGAGAAGACAAAGUAAUAUGGCUCUUUGACAGAUAAACGAUAAUGCAUACGAGAGCUACUAAACAUUGUAACCAUGGUCUUCUACCUUGACCCAAAGAAAAAGAAAACUAUUUACACGGGAAACCUCCCAACAACCAAAAGAAAAACGGGAAAUCUUUUUGGGUUUUCUUUUUAAACAUCACUAAGCAAGCUGGAAAGUAAACUUACAACCAAUUUUUUUUUCUCAAUCUAAACAAACACACGAGAAGAAAGCGAGAAAAAGAAAUAAACUAGCAUGGAUGAUAGAGUGGCAAGGUGUGAACACCGACUAACAAAGUGAAAGCAUGAGCAAGAAUAUAAAGUCGGUGAGAAACACGUACUCCCCCAAGCUUAGGCUUUUGGCCUAAGUUGGUCUACUCCCAUGGAGGGAAAUAACCGUCUCCGGGGUACUCUAGAGUGUACUGAGGGUGCCACUGCUAGGUGAGCUCCUCUGGCUCCCACUGAUAAACUGGCGUCUGGUACUCGACUGGUAGCUCGGGCACGGGCGCCUGUGCUGGCGCUAUUCCCAAUAUGCGUAGAUGUUCGAGGGCAUAAUAAUGUACCUGCCUAGAUGAAGAUUGAAUAAAGAAGGAGAAGGCAAAGUAAUAGUCUCACGAGUACCCUGGCUAAAUACCAGGUUAUAAAUCAUCCUCUUAUUUAUAUCUUUAUCGAGAAAGUCAUGGCGAACCAUGCUAUCAUAAUCUAGAUAUCUCUCAGGAAGAAGCAUCUCUUCUUCCUCGUGCAGUCUAAUAGGUAUUCAAAAUGUCUAGCAAGACGGGUAGCAUAGAUACCUCCAUAAACAAUGCCUUUAGUACGGUUCGUGUUUAACCGUUGAGCCACUAUAGCACCCAAGCUAUAAGUUUUAUCAUUAUAAAGGGCUUCGCGCAAAACUGCAAGAUCUGGGGAGCUAAGAGCCCCAGCUUUCCCAUGGCCAAUCAAACAUUUUCCCACGGAUAAUGAGAAAUACCGAAGCACGGGAAAAUGUAUGCUAGCAACUCUAGCGCAAGAUACUCCUCUCUCCUCUCCUACAACAAUAGUAUCAAUGAAAGCCUCCAAGUCCCGUGGACGAGGUUCAUGAAUAUCCCCAACAUAAGGUAAUUUGCAAACAAUGCAAAAAUCCUGAAGUGUCAUGCGCUGGGGGAUAUCAUAUAACUUGAACUCAACCAUAGGAGGACUCUUCCUUGGAUAGAAAUUAAAACUUUGCAUGAAAAUAUAAUUGAGGAGGAGGUAUUGUGGACACUUAUCUUCAACAAAUGCGGGAAGGCCCGCGUUCUCCACCAAGUAAUAAAAAUCCUCAUAAAGACCGACGGCACGUAAGAACACAUCGCUUGGCCACUCGCACGCUCGAACUUCUGCAACUCGGGGGACCGGAUACUUGGGUUUCUUCUUGUCAUUUUCAUCAUCCUUGGGGUCAUAGCUUGUAGAGCCUCUUAGGAACCUCCUCAUCUUUUCCUUUUUCUUUCUCUGAAAAUUUCUGAAUAUUUUAGUGACUCAAAGGAAAAGUGAACAAGGCUCAAUGAAACUCAUAGCAACUACUCCUACAAGUGCCUAGAUGCCAUAUCAUGCACCAAAACUACUUGGGACCAACUAAAAUUAACAUGCAAAGCUCAAGAACAGGGUCAGCAAGGCAGCAAUAAUACGCAACGAAUAAAGCACUAGAGCAAAAACUAAUUGGACCAAUGGAGGAGUCACAUACCAAGGAACAAUUUCCCCAAAACAGUUUGGUGAAUGGGGCUUUGCACAAGGAGAUCGAAAAACGCAGCAAGAAGAGCAAGAACACGGGUUUGAGCUGUGGAAUGAUUUUUUUUGGAGGUAUAAGAAGGAUAUAGGAGUGUGAAACAGGCUGAUAAAUGUCCCUUAGGUAUUCUUCUGGAGUUAUGGUAUUGAUGAUAUUCCUUUCAACAUUUAUGGGAGUACCUGAGAUAUAAUGCUUGAUUCUCUGCCCAUUUACCACUCUCGGAAAAUUACCUUCCGUGUUGUUGAUCUUUAUAGCACCGAAACGAUAUACUUCCUCAACAACAUAAGGACCUUCCCAUUUAGAGAGAAGCUUGCUUGCAAAGAAUCUUAAACGAGAGUUAUAUAGCAAGACAUAAUCACCUACAUUGAACUCACGCUUUUGUAUCCUUUUAUCAUGCCACCUCUUAACCUUCUCUUUGAAGAGCUUGGCAUUCUCAUAUGCUUGAGUUCUCCACUCAUCAAGCGAGCUAAUGUCAAAUAACCUCUUGUCACCGGCAAGUUUGAAAUCAAAGUUGAGCUCUUUGAUUGCCCAGUAAGCUUUAUGCUCUAGCUCAAGAGGUAAGUGACAUGCUUUACCGUACACCAUUUUGUACGGAGACAUGCCCAUGGGAUUCUUAUAGGCAGUUCUAUAAGCCCACAGUGCAUCAUCGAGCUUCUUAGACCAAUUCUUUCUAGACCCGUUGACAGUCUUUUGCAGAAUUAGUUUAAUCUCUCUGUUGCUUAGCUCUACUUGACCACUGGACUGAGGGUGAUAGGGAGACGCAAUUCUAUGGUUGACAUCGUACUUAGCAAACGUUUUACGGAAAGCACCAUGAAUGAAGUGUGAACCACCGUUGGUCAUUAGAUAUCUAGGGACUCCAAAUCUAGGGAAGAUAACUUCUUUCAGCAUCUUGAUAGAGGUGUUAUGAUCAGCACUACUAGUGGGGAUAGCUUCUACCCACUUAGUGACGUAAUCAACAACAACUAGGAUAUGAGUAUACCCGUUGGAUUUUGGAAAAGGUCCCAUAUAAUCAAAGCCCCAUACAUCAAAUGGUUCAAUGACAAGUGAAUAGUUCAUAGGCAUUUCCUGACGUUUGCUAAUAUUACCUAUUCUUUGACAUUCAUCACAAGACAAGACAAACUUACAGGCAUCCUUGAAGAGAGUGGCCCAAUAGAAACCGGAUUGCAAUACCUUGUGUGCAGUUCUAUCUCCCGCAUGGUGUCCUCCGUAGGCCUCGGACUGACACUUCUGUAGGAUCUGUCCCUGUUCAUGUUCAGGUACACAACGUCUAAUAACACCAUCUACUCCUUCGUUAUAAAGGUGAGGAUCAUCCCAAAAGUAGUGUCUCAAGUCAAAGAAGAAUUUCUUCUUUUGCUGGUACGCGAAACUAGGUGGUAUGUAUUUGGCAACGAUAUAGUUUGCAUAAUCAGCAUACCAUGGUGCACUGCAUGAAGCAUUGAUGACAUUCAAUUGCUCACCGGGAAAGCUAUCAUCAAUAGGUUGUGGGUCAUCAAGAACGUUCUCCAACCUAGACAAGUUAUCCGCUACUGGGUAUCAGCACCCUUUCUUGUCAACAACAUGCAGAUCAAAUUCUUGUAGCAAGAGAACCCAUCUGAUAAGUCUAGGUUUAGCGUCCUUCUUCUCCAUGAGGUACUUAAUAGCAGCGUGAUCAGUGUGAAUAAUGACUUUGCAAUCAACAAUGUAAGACCUGAACUUUUCACAUGCAAACACGGCUGCUAAAAAUUCCUUCUCUGUAGUAGCAUAGUUUCUCUGGGCACUGUCUAGAGUUUUACUAGCGUAGUGAAUAACAUUCAACUUCUUAUCGACUCUUUGCCCUAAAACAGCACCAACAGCAUAAUCACUAGCGUCACACAUGAUCUCAAAAGGCAAGUUCCAAUCAGGUGGUUGAACAAUAGGUGCAGUUAUCAAAGCCCUCUUAAGUAUUUCAAAGGCUUCCUCACAAUCAUCGUCAAAAACAAAAGGAAUAUCCUUUUGCAAGAGAUUGGUAAGAGGCCUAGAAAUCUUAGAGAAGUCUUUAAUGAACCUUCUAUAGAAACCAUCAUGACCAAUGAAACUUCUUAUUCCUUUGAUAUCUGUGGGGUAUGGCAUUUUCACGAUUGCAUCAACCUUAGCCUUAUCGACUUCAAUACAUCUUUCGGAAAUUUUAUGUCCUAAGACGAUGCCUUCAUUAACCAUAAAGUGGCACUUCUCCCAAUUCAAGACAAGAUUGGUGUAUUUACAUCUCUACAAGACCCGAUCAAGGUUGCUGAGGCAAUCAUCAAAGGAAGACCCGUAAACGAAGAAGUCAUCCAUGAAAAUCUCAACAAUCUUUUCACAAAAGUCAGAGAAUAUAGCCAUCAUAUAUCUUUGAAAGAUGGCAGGUGCAUUACAUAAGCCAAAAGGCAUACGUCUAUAAGCUAAGGUACCGAAAGGGCAGGUGAAAGUGGUUUUCUCCUGAUCAGAUUGUGCAACUGGUAUUUGGGAGAAACCAGAAUAACCGUCUAGAAAGCAGAAGUGUGUGUGUUUGGAUAGUCCUUCUAGCAUUUCGUUGAUAAAAGGAAAAGGGUAAUGAUCUUUCCUAGUGGCCUUAUUCAACUUCCUAAAAUCAAUCACCAUCCUAUAGCCAGUAAUAAUCCUCUGUGAGAUCAACUCAUCCUUAUCAUUAGGGACAACGGUGAUGCCUCCCUUCUUAGGAACGCAAUGCACCGGACUCACCCAAUCGCUAUGAGAAACAAGAUAGAUAAUACCCGCUUCCAGGAGCUUUAGUAUUUCUUUUCUCACUACUUCUUUCAUCGUAGGAUUCAAUCUCCUUUGAUGAUCAGCAAUUGGUUUGAAUUUAGGAUCAGUUUUGAUCUUGUGCUGGCAUAGAGUGGGACUAAUGCCCUUAAGAUCAUCAAGAGUAUAUCCAAUAGCAGCAUGGUGCUUCCUCAGAGUUUUUAGUAACUUCUUCUCUUCAUGCUCUGAGAGGCUAGCACUAAUAAUAACAUGAUAUAUCUCCUUUUCAUCAAGGUAGGCAUACUUAAGAGUAUCAGGCAACUGUUUAAGCUCGAACACAGGAUCACCCUUUGGUGGAGGUGGAUCCCCAAGCAGUUCAACAGGCAGAUUAUUCUUAAGGAUAGGAUAUUGUUCUAAGACAACUCUAUCUAUUUCAUCCCUUUCAUCCAUAUGCAUAUCAUUUUCAUGCUCAAGCAAGUAUUGCUCUAAGGGAUCAGUAGGAGGCACGACAAUAGAGGCUAAGGCAAUAGUUUCAUCCCUACUAGGCAACUCCUUUUCAUGAGGUUGUCUACCAAACUUAGAUAAAUUGAACUCGUGUGACACACCUUCAAAGCCAACAGUGACAUUUUGCUUCUCACAAUCAAUAUGAGCAUUGACGGUAUUGAGAAAAGGUCUGCCAAAUAUGAUGGACAAAAGCUAUCUUGUGCGGUAGCAAGAACGAGGAAAUCAGCAGGAUACUUCGUUUUACCACACAAGACUUCAACAUCCCUAACAAUUCCCACAGGGCAGAUAGUAUCUCUAUUGGCAAGCUGAAUAGUGACAUCAAUGGGUUCUAUCUCAACAGGUGCAAUCUCAUCUUUGAUUUCAUCGUAUAAGGAUUGAGGUAUUGCACUAACACUAGCACCCACGUCACAAGCCAUGAUAACAAUGAUCUCCUAUCUUAACAGAAACUACAGGCAUGCCAACAAUAGGCCUAUGUUUGUCUCUAACGUGAGGUUUAGCAAUUCUAGCAGCAUCUUCACAGAAGUGAAUAUUAUGUCCCUCAACAUCUUCAGAUAGAAGAUCUUUGAUAAUAGCAAUGCUAGGUUCAACUCUAAUUUGCUCAGGGGGUGUAGGUGUUCUAAUAUAGCCUCUACGUAUCACAGUUGAAGCUUUAGAAUGAUCCUUUAUCCUAAUAGGGAAAGGUGGUUUCUCAAUGUAAGCACUGGGUACCACAGGAUCAUUAUAGGCAAUGACUUUCUCUUCAACUGGAGUGGGUUUAACUACAUUGACUUCUAAAGGAGGAUGAAAUUUAAACCACUUCUCUUUGGGGAGAUCAAUAUGAGCAGCAAAGGAUUCACACAAUGUAGCUACUAUCUCAGAGUCAAGUCCAUACUUAGCGCUAAAGUCACAAAAAGUAUUUGUCUCAACAAAGGAUUUAACACAAUCAAAAGUGAAAUUCAUACCUGACUCCUUACCUUCUUCAAGCUCCCAAUCUUCAGAGUUGCGUUUAAUUCUCUCCAAUAAAUUCCACUUGAAGUCAAUAUGUCUCUUCAUAAAAGAACCGGUACAAGAAGUGUCAAGCAUGGUGCGAUCAUCAUGAGAAAGCCGAGCAUAUAAGUUCUGAAUGAUAAUUUCUCUUGAGAGCUCAUGAUUAGGGCAUGAAUAUAGCAUUGAUUUAAGCCUCCCCCAAGCUUGAGCGAUGCUUUCUCUGUCACGAGGCCAAAAAUUGUAAAUAUAAUUUCGAUCACGAUGUACUAAAUGCAUAGGAUAAAACUUUUGAUGAAAUUCCAAUUUCAACCGAUUGUAGUCCCAUGAUCCAGUAUCAUCACAUAGCCUAUACCAUGUCAACGCCUUAUCCUUCAAAGAUAAAGGAAAUACCUUCUUCUUGACCUCAUCCUCGGGCACACCUGCAAGCUUAAAUAAACCACAAACCUCAUCUACAUAGAUCAGAUGCAAGUCUGGAUGUGAUGUUCCAUCUCCUGUAAGAGGAUUAGCCAGCAGUUUCUCAAGCAUACCCGAAGGAAAUUCAAAGCAAAUAUUUUCAGUAGGUGCAGCAACUUGAGGAGUAACUCUUUGUGCUUCCGUUCGGGGUGAAGAUACCCCAAACAAGCCCCUCAAAGGAUUACUAUCCAUAGUGACAAGUGACAGCAAAUUUCAGCACACUAUAUGAAUAUUUCCUUACCAAGUUCCACUUACCAAAGGCGCUUCACUCCCUGGCAACGGUGCCAGAAAAGAGUCUUGAUGACCCACAAGUAUAGGGGAUCAAUCGUAGUCCUUUCGAUAAGUAAGAGUGUCAAACCCAACGAGGAGCAGAAGGAUCUGACAAGUGGUUUUUAGCAAGGUAAAAUCUGCACGCACUGAAAUUGUCGGUAACAAGUGAUUGUGUGGUGAGAUGAUUCGUAGCAAGCAACAAGUAACAAAAGUAGCAACGGUGCAGCAAAGUGGCCCAAUCCCUUUUGUAUCAAGGGACAAACCUGGACAAAGUCUAGUAGGAGGAAAAACGCUCCCGAGGACACACGGGAAUUUCUGUCAUGCUAGUUUUCAUCACGUUCAUAUGAUUCGCGUUCGUUACUUUGAUAGUUUGAUAUGUGGGUGGACCGGCGCUUGGGUACUGCCCUUACUUGGACAAGCAUCCCACUUAUUAUUAACCCCUCUCGCAAGCAUCCGCAACUACGAAAGAAGAAUUAAGUCAAAGUCUAACCAUAGCAUUAAACUAGUGGAUCCAAAUCAGCCCCUUACGAAGUAACGCAUAAACUAGGGUUUAAGCUUCUGUCACUCUAGCAACCCAUCAUCUACUUACUACUUCCCAAUGCCUUCCUCUAGGCCCAAAUAAUGGUGAAGUGUUAUGUAGUCGAUGUUCACAUAACACCACUAGAGGAAAAAACAACAUACAACAUAUCAAAAUACCGAACGAAUACCAAAUUCACAUGACUAUUAUUAGCAUGACUUAUCCCAUGUCCUCAGGAACAAAAGUAACUACUCACAAAGCAUAAUCAUAAUCAUGAUAAAAGGUGUAAUGAGUAGCAUCAAGGAUCUGAACAUAAACUCUUCCACCAAGUAAUCCAACUAGCAUCAACUACGAAGAGUAAUCAACACUACUAGCAACCUUACAAGUACCAAUCGGAGUCGCGAGACGGAUAUUGGUUACAAGUGAUGAACUAGGGUUUGGAGAUGAGAUGGUGCUGAUGAAGAUGUUGAUGGUGACGAGUCCCCUCCGAUGAGAGGAGUGUUGGUGAUGACGAUGGCGACGAUUUCCCCCUCCGGGAGGGAAGUUUCCCCGGCAGGAUCGUCCUGCCGGAGCUCUAGAUUGGUUCUUCUCAAGUUGUGCCUCGUGGCGGCGGCGAAACCACGAAAAAGCUCCCUUCUGAUUUUUUCCUGGACGAAACCCUCCAUAUAGCAAAAGAGGGGGGCCAGUGGGUCAGUGGGCUGCCCACAAGCCCCCAUGGCGCGGCUUAGGGGGUGGCCGCGCCGCGCAGGCAUGUGGGCACCCCCUGGUGCCCCUCCGGUACUUCUUCGACCCAGUAUUUUUUAUAUAUUGGGAAAAAAUCCCCGUUGAUUUUCACGGCGUUUGGAGUUGCAUAGAAUAGGUAUCUCAACUUUGCUCCACUUUCAGGCCAGAAUUCCAGUUGCCGGUAUUCUCCCUCUUCAUGUAAACCUUGCAAAAUAAGAGAGAAAAAGCAUAAGAAUAGUACCGUGAAGUGAAAUAACAACCAAAGAAGCGAUAAAUAUCAACGUGAAAACAUGAUGCAAAAUGGACGUAUCAUGCAUCCCCCUGACUACCUCUCAAUCACAGAAUUUUCAAACAUUUCAGAAAAAAUCAUACUUGAUUUUCAGGGCAUUUGAAGAACUUUUAUUUUCGAGACACUUUCUAAGGGUCGCAAAAAGCAGAAAACAGGAAAAACUAAAGCUAAAUUUAUCAUUUGUCUUCUAAACAACAAAAAAUAAAAGUUCGGAACAGAAGGUUGUGACUCUUAGAUUCAUCCAUCUCAUGGUCAUCAAAAGAAAUCCGUCAAUGAGGUUGAUCAAGUCUCCUUGACAAACUUUUUCCGAAUCACAUGAAAUCGGAGAAUUUUCGAAUAGUCACUAAGUUACCUCAAUGGGGAUGUGCAUAUCCCCAACAAGCAAAUCAUACCUCAUCUUGACAGUAGGUCUAGGGCAUUCAAAGCUCCCAAUAAGGAUUGAUGAAGUUUUUUCAAUAGCAUUGAUGCAAUGUACCCGAUAUUGUUUCUUCGGAAAGUGCACCGUAUGCUCAUUACCAUUGACAUGGAAAGUGACAUUGCCUUUGUUGCAAUCAAUAACAGCCCCUGUAGUGUUUAAAAAGGGUCUUCCAAGGAUGACCGCCAUGGCAUCAUCCUCGGGAAUAUCCAGAAUAAAAAAGUCCGUUAAGAUAGUAACGUUAGCAACUACAACAUGCACAUCCUCGCAAAUGCCGAUAGGGAAAGUAGUUGAUUUGUCGGCCAUUUGCAAAGACAUUUCAGUGGGUGUCAACUUAUCCAAUUCAAGUCUACGGUAUAAAGAGAGAGGCAUAACACUAACACCGGCUCCAAGAUCGCAUAAAGCAGUUCUAACGUAGUUUCCUUUAAUGGAGCAAGGUAUAGUGGGCACUCCGGGAUCACCUAGUUUCUUAGGAGUUCCACCCUUGAAGGUGUAAUUAGCAAGCAUGGUGGAAAUCUCAACCUCAGGUAUCCUCCUUUUAUUAGUCACAAUAUCUUUCAUGUACUUAGCAUAAGGAGACAUUUUGAGCAUAUCUGUCAAACGCAUUUGCAGAAAGACAGGUCUAAUCAUUUCAACAAAUCGCCCAAAAUCCUCAUCAUCCUUUUUCUUGGAUGGUUUGGGAGGAAAGGGCAUGGGUUUCUGAACUCAUGGUUCUCUUUCUUUACCAUGCUUCCUAGCAAUGAAUUCAUUCUUAUCAUAUCUCCUAUUCUUAGGUUUUGGGUUAUCAAGAUCAACAUGUUCAAUCUCCACAUCCUUAUCAUUACUAGGUUGAUCAUCAUGAACACCACUAUCGAUAUUAUCACUAGGCUCAUGUUCAUCAGCAGAUUGUGUUUCGGCAUCAGAAACAGAGAUAUCAUUUGGAUUCUCAGGUGUAACGACAACAGGUUUGCUAGCAUGCAAGUUCCUAUCAUCUUUCUUUUUCUUCCUAAUACCAGGAUGACUAGGUGCAUUAGUGCUAACUCCUUGAGAAUCUUGUUCAAUUCUCUUAGGAUGACCCUCAGGAUACAAAGUUUCCUGGGUCAUUGAUACGUCUCCAACGUAUCUAUAAUUUUUUAUGGUUCCAUGCUAUUAUCUUGUCAAACUUUGGAUGUUUUGUAUGCCUUUUAUAUCUUUUUUGGGACUAACUUAUUAACUUAGUGCCAAGUGCCAGUUCCUGUUUUUUCCAUGUUUUUGACCCUUUUCAGAGGAGAAUAUUAAAGGAGUCCAAAUGGAAUAAAACUUCCGAAAAGAUAUUUUUUGGAACAGAAGAUACGCAGGGGGCGUGAGAACCAAGGCAGAGGCCACCAGGGGAGGCCACAAGCCCCCUAGGCGCGGCCAGGGGGACCGUGCCUAGCAGGCUUGUGGGCCCCCUAUGGCUCGUCUGCCCUACCUCUUCCGUCUAUAAAUUCCCGAAAAAUCCAAAACUAUGCGAGAGAUCCACGAAAAUACUUUUCCGCCACCGCAAGCUUCUGUCUCCGCAAGAUCCCAUCUGGGGCACGUUCUAGUGCCCUGCCGAAGGGGGGAUUCGGAUACAGAGGGAUUCUUCAUCAACACCAUUGCCUCUCCGAUGAUGCGUGAGUAGUUCACCAUAGACCUUCGUGUCCAUAGCUAGUAGCUAGAUGGCUUCUUCUCUCUCUUGGAUCUUCAAUACAAAGUCCUCCAUGAUCUUCAUGGAGAUCUAUCCGAUGUAAUCUUCUUUUGCGGUGUGUUUGUCGAGAUCCGAUGAAUUGUGGAUUUAUGAUCAGAUUAUCUAUGAAUCUUAUUUAAGUUUCUUCUCAUCUCUUAUAUGCAUGAUUUCAUAUCCUUGUAAUUCUCUUCGAGUUGUGGGUUUUGUUUGGCCAACUUGAUCUAUGACUCUUGCAAUGGGAGAAGUGCUUGGUUUUGGGUUCAUACCGUGCGGUGACCUCAUCCAGUGACAGAAGGGGUAGCGAGGCACACAUCGUGUUGUUGCCAUCAAGGGUAAAAAGAUGGGGUUUAUAUCUAUUGCAUUAAUUUAUCCCUCUACAUCAUGUCAUCUUGCUUAAGGCGUUACUCUGUUCGUCAUGAACUCAAUACACUAGAUGCAUGCUGGAUAGCGGUCGAUGUGUGGAGUAAUAGUAGUAGAUGCAGAAAGUAUCGGUCUACUUGUCUCGGACGUGAUGCCUAUAUGUAUGAUCAUUUCCUUAGAUAUCGUCAUGACUUUGCGCGGUUCUAUCAAUUGCUCGACAGUAAUUUGUUCACCCACCGUAAUAUUUGCUAUUUUGAGAGAAGCCUCUAGUGAACACUAUGGCCCCCGGGUCUACUUCACAUCAAAUUUUCAGCCUUACACUUUUACUUCGUUGCAGAUCUCACUUUGCAAUCAAUCAUGAAGGGAUUGACAACCCCUUUAUAGCGUUGGGUGCAAGCUCGUUUGUGUUUGCGCACGUACUCUGGACACUUGGCUUGAUUCUCCUACUGGAUUGAUACCUUGGUUCUCAAACUGAGGGAAAUACUUACUCCUACUGUGCCGCAUCACCCUUUCCUUUUCAAGGGAAAAACCAACGCAAGCUCAAGAGGUAGCAAGAAGAAUUUCUGGCGCCGUUGCCGGGGAAGAUCAAGUCAAGAAUAGUCUCCCGUCAACGUGCCAACUUCUGGCGCCGUUGCCGGGGAGGAUCAAGUCAAGAAUAGUCUCCCGUCAACGUGCCAAUUUCUGGCGCCGUUGCCGGGGAGUAUCAAGUCAAGAAUAGUCUCCCGUCAACGUGUCAAUUUCUGGCACCGGGGAUUAUUCUAAGUGAAGCUUAUCCAAGUAAGUGUCGCAAACUCAUCUCUUGCAUUUACUUUUUUGCCUCUCGUUUUCCUCUCCCCAACUUCUGAAAAACAGAAAUUUACAAAAAUAUUUGCCUUUUUCGUUUGCCUUUCCUUUGCUUGUGUGCUAUGUGCCUUCAAUAUGCUUGCAUCUUCGCUUGCUAAAAAUCUAGUGAUAUGGAUCCUCACCCACUUGCUAAUCUCUUUAAGAGAUCCAAUUAUGUUGAUCCAAUUGCUAGUGCGUUGAGUGGACUUGACUAUCUUUAUGGAGUUUUGCUUGAGAUGCGUGAAUCUGAAAAUCGUGAUGAAGAAAUUUAUGAAGAUAUUCACGAGGGCUCCUUGAAUGAAAAGCAUGAUUGCAAUGGUUUCAUUAUGAAUUCUAUUAAUGGCAAUCAUGCUAAAAAUAUGCAAAACCCUAAGCUUGGGGAUGCUAGUUUUGGUAUGUCCACUACUUGUUGCAAUGAUCAUGAUUGGGGUAAUGAUUUUUCUUAUGAUCUUGAAAAUGUGUUUAAGCCUCAUGAUGAUUAUGAUAUUUGCGAUAAUAUUGAAAGUGGGUUUGGAGAAGUCGUGACUUUAGUUGAUGAUAAUCCCACUAUUUUUUAAGAGCGUCAACUUUGCAUGCAUGUGGAUCAUGAAAAGAAUAUCCUAUGUGAUAGCUUUAUUGUUGAAUUUGAAUAUGAUCCCACAUGUAAUUAUUAUGAGAGAGGAAAUUAUUGUGGUAGGAACUUUCAUAUCACUAAAUCACCUCUCGUUAUGUUGAGAUUGCUAUUGUCUCCUUCUUCUGCCUUGCAUAUGGUAACUAUUGGUUGUCUUGACAAUCUGUUUUCCUAUAAAAUGCCUAUGCAUAGGAAGUACGUUAGACUUAGAUGUGAUUUUCACAUGCUUUAUGAUGCCCUCUUCGUGUCCGAUUGCUAUCCUUUUUGUGAGCAUCAUUGAAUUAUCAAUGUCUAGCUAAAAGGCGUUAAACAAUAGCGCUUCUGGGAGGCAACCCAAUGAAUUUAUCUUUUCUUUUUUGCUUUCUGGUUUGUUGCGUCCACACCAUCAUAAUUAUGUUAUGAUUGUGUAUUUUGUGUUUCUUUUUGUGUUUGAGCCAAGUAAAACCUUUAUGACUAGUUUGGUGAUGGUUGUUUGAUCCUGCUGGAAAAAGACAGAAACUUUUCGCUCACGAAAUUAUUUUUCAUUUUUAUCCAGAAAUAGUUUUUGAGUUGAUCUUUUUGCUGCUGGUUUAUAUGCCUUUUUCCCAAACUGUCGUAAUUGUUCAGAAUUUUUGAGAUACCAGAAGUAUACGAAGUAUACAGUUUGCUACAAACUGGCCUGUUUUUGACAGAUUCUGUUUUUGUUGUGUUGGUUGCUUGUUUUGAUGAAACUAUGGAUAGUAUCGGGGGGGGGGGGACUAGUCAUGGAAAAGUGNNNNNNNNNNNNNNNNNNNNNNNNNNNNNNNNNNNNNNNNNNNNNNNNNNNNNNNNNNNNNNNNNNNNNNNNNNNNNNNNNNNNNNNNNNNNNNNNNNNNNNNNNNNNNNNNNNNNNNNNNNNNNNNNNNNNNNNNNNNNNNNNNNNNNNNNNNNNNNNNNNNNNNNNNNNNNNNNNNNNNNNNNNNNNNNNNNNNNNNNNNNNNNNNNNNNNNNNNNNNNNNNNNNNNNNNNNNNNNNNNNNNNNNNNNNNNNNNNNNNNNNNNNNNNNNNNNNNNAUAGUAUCGGGGGGGGGGUACUAGUCAUGGAAAAGUGAUAAUAUAAAUAGACAUCAAGAUUGCUAAAGUACCUAAAGAGGUGGUAGUUUGUUUUCUUGUGCUAAUGAUAUCACGAGCUUCUAUUUAAGUUUUGUGUUGUGAAGUUUUCAAGUUUUGGGUGAUGUUCUCAUGGACGAUGAGAUAAAGAGUGGAAAGAGAUCAAGCUUGGGGAUGCCCAAGGCAUACCAAGCCAAAUUCAAGGACACCAAAAAGCCUAAGCUUGGGGAUGCCCCAGGAAGGCAUCCCCUCUUUCGUCUUCAAUCCAUCGGUAACAUUACUUGGAGCUAUAUUUUUAUUCACCACAUGAUAUGUGUUUUGCUUGGAGUGUCUUGUAUCGUAGGAGUCUUUUCUUUUUGUUGUGUCACAAUCAUCCUUGCUGCACACCUUUUGAGAGAGACAUGCACUCAUAGUGAUUUUUGCUAGAAUACUCAUUGAGCUUCGCUUAUAUCUUUUGAGUUAGGCAAUUUAGCUCACAUGUGCUUCACUUAGAUCUUUUAGAGCACGGCGGUGUCAUAUUUUGGAGAAAUAAGAAAUCUCGAUCUUCACUUAUAUCUUUUUUAGAGUGAUCUCUCUGAGAAACUUGGUAGUUGGCUUGUGCUAUGAAAGUAGUCCCAAAGGUGAUAGGAAUCCAAAGAGGAUACAAUAAAACUUCCAUCUUCUUGUGCAUUGAUUAGAAAGAGAAGUUUCAUUCCUCUCAAAUAGUUUUGAGACAUGGAUUUGGUAAUAUUAAGAGUUAUGUUAGUAGGGUGUUGUGAAUCUAGAAAUACUUGUGUUGAAGUUAGUGAUUCCCGUAACAUGCACGUAUGGUGAACCGCUAUGUUAGGAAGUCGGAGCAUAAUUGAUCUAUUGAUUGUCAUCCUUUGUGUUGCGGUCGGGAUCGCGCGAUGGUUAACACCUACCAACCCUUCCCCUAGGAGUAUGCGUUUAGCACUUUGUUUCGAUUACUAAUAAAAACUUUCGCAAUAAGUAUGUGAGUUCUUCAUGACUAAUGUGAGUCCAUGGUAUAGAUGCACUUUCACCUUCCACCAUUGCUAGCCUCUAGUGCCGCGCAACUUUCGCCGGUGCACAAACCCACCAUAUGCCUACCUCAAAACAGCCACCAUACCUACCUACUAUGGCAUCUUCAUAGCCAUUCCGAGAUAUAUUGACAUGCAACUCCCACCGUUCCGUCUCAUGACUUGUGCCGUCACUUUCAUAUUGCCAUUGCAUGAUCGUAAGAUAGCUAGCAAGUCAUACGCCAAGCUAGAUCGUUGCACAUUCUGGUACAUUGCCGGAGGCAUUUCCUAUAAGAGUCAUCAUUGUUCUAAGCAUUGAGCUUUGAGUAAAUUAAAGUGUGAUGAUCAUCAUUAUUAGAGCAUUGUCGCAUGUGAGGAAAAAAAAGGGAGGCCAAAGUUGCCCACACAAAAAAAGAAGAAGAGAGAUUUGGAAAGAGGCCAAAGAGCCCAGAAAAAAAAAAGAAACAGAAAAAAAAGAAGAGAGAAAAAGAGAGAAGGGACAAUGCUACUAUCUUUUUCCACACUUGUGCUUCGUAAUAGCACCAUGUUCUUCAUGAUUGAGAGUCUAUCGUUUUGUCACCACCAUAUGCUAGUGGGAAUCUUCAUUAUAUAACUUGGCUUGUAUAUUCCAAUGAUGGGCUUUCUCAAAAUUGCCAUUGGUCUUCGUGAGCAAGCAAGUUGGAUGCACACCCACUAGUUCUCCUUUUGAGCUUUCACAUACUUAUAGCUCUAAGUGCAUCCAUUGCAUGGUAAUCCCUACUCUUUCACAUUGAUAUCUAUUAAUGGGCAUCUCCAUAGCCCUUUGAUACGCCGAGUUGAUGUGACCAUCUCCUCUUUUUUUGUCUCACAACCUCCACCACACUCUAUUCCACCUAUAGUGCUAUAUCCAUGGCUCACGCUCAUGUAUUGCAUGAGAGUUGAAAAAGGUUUGAGAAAGUAAGAGCGCAAAAACAAUUACUUGGCCAAUACCGGGGUUGUGCAUGAUUUAAAUUAGUUGUGUGGGGAUGACGGAGCAUAGUCAGACUAUAUGAUUUUGUAGGGAUAACUUUCUUUUGGCCUUGUUAUUUCGAAAGUUCAUGAUUACCUUGCUAGUUUGCUUUAAGUAUUAUUGUUUAUAUGUCAAUAACAAGAUAUUGUUUUGAAUCUUACGGAUCUGAACAUUCAUGUCACAUGAAAGAAGUUACAAAGGACAAAUAUGCUAGGUAACAUUCCACAUCAAAAAUUCAGUCUUUAUCACUUCCCUACUCGAGGACGAGCAGGACUUAAGGUUGGGGAUGCUUGAUACGUCUCCAACGUAUCUAUAAUUUUUUAUGGUUCCAUGCUAUUAUCUUGUCAAACUUUGGAUGUUUUGUAUGCCUUUUAUAUCUUUUUUUGGGACUAACUUAUUAACUCAGUGCCAAAGUACCAUCAAAUUCGCACAUCAAGCCGUCUCGGCGACUCAAGGGUAGGAUGCGCCAUUCCACCCAGCAGCGGAUCAGAUCAACUCCAGUAAGACCAUUGUUUGUUAAAGAUCGUAACUCGGAUAGCACUGGAAUGAAAUCCGAUUCUUCUUCUUCGGUGAGCUUGUCAGGAAGUUUGAAAUUUGUGGGCAGACGCUCCUUCCUAUAGCCUAGGAGUUUGUUCUCACCCGGAGGAGAAGUGUCCCGGCAGUAAAACCAAGACCCGCCCCAGCCUUUGGGGUGGCUGGGCAUGGCGAGUGAUGAGAAUGGGUUGUCUCUGCGUCGUUGAACAUUAACCCCUCCAAGUUCUAAGCUAGGGCCAUUGGAGAAAUCGGUCUGGCGAUUCAGGUGCAAGAAGUACCAAAACAAAUUGACCGACGGUUCCAUUCGUAGGUAAGCUUCACAGAAUACCUGGAAUUGGCACAUGUUGCUGCUCGAGUUGGGGCCCAGGUCUUGGAGGCGGACGUUCAUGAAGGCCAUAGCAUCUUUGAGGAACUUUGAUCCUGGCGGCUUAAACCCUCGUUCGAGGUGUUCAGCAAAAACAACUAUUUCUCCUUCAGCCGGGUUGGGAAUUUCGUCGCCUAGUCCAGAUCGUCAUCCGAUGACUUCCUUCGGAUCAAGGUUCCCUGUCUUUACGCAAUCCUCGAGGAAGGCAUCGUCAACUUUGGCCGGGAGCCAGUUGGCCUUGAAAACGGUACCCAUAGCUACAGAGAAAAAGGUCAUGGGUAAGUCAACCCGUCAAACACUUGUUGAGUGGCUAAGAGAAUCCAUUAACCCACCAGACACUUGUCGAGUGGCUAAGAGAAUCUAUUAACUGGCCAAUAAGGGACCAGGUUUGGGCACAAGGGCGACUUAAGAAUUUCCUAUUACUCAGAGAAGGUAUCCCACGGCAUCCAAGACGUGCGGUAAAAUGAUGAAGUCUGAAUCUACAAACAGUUUUCCACACAGUAAGCAGUGCAAUGCGGAUCUACGAGCAAGGUAAAAUAACAGAAAAAGGCUUGGAUGAAGCAAAACGGGCUGUGCCUAAAAAUGAAUAUGGCGGAGAUGAUUUGGCCGAAGCUUUUUUGGUUUUUGAAUAGGAAACUAUUUAAUCAAGGAUGCGGUUAACGCUAUUACAUCAGCUAUUACCAUUGACCAAUCAACAUGCAAAGGGAAGCUCGAAGUGUUCUAAGAACAUGGCAUGUGGCGGAUGCCGAAGGAUCAGGAUCUGAUUGCAACUGAUGAAGAUCUGACCUGCUAAUGGCGUCCGGAAGCGACUGUGCGGGUCCGCGGCGAGGACAACGUUCUCGCUAGGUUGAAGAUAUGUCAGACGCAGUGGGCGGCGAUGGAGUCCAUCGAGCGGCGACAGAACUUCAUAGGCGGUGGCGGAGUCCCUCGGGCGGCGGCGGAGUCCCCCGAGCGGCAACAGAUCUCCGCACGCGGCGGCGGAGUCCCUUGGGCGGCGACGGAAUCCUUCGGGCGGUGCAGAAAUCCUUUGGGCAGCGACGGAGUUCUUCGGGUGGUGUCAGAUUUCUUUGUGUGGUCACGAGGAAGAAGAAGUCGAUGGGACGAGUAGGUGAAGAUUCCCUCCGCUCCUGUUCCCGAGCCUAUUUAAUAGGUCGGGUGCAUGGAUCGAGGCGCCUCGCGCGGGAACCAAAAGGGCAAACUAAAGAUUCACACUUAUGGCGCCAAGAUUUUCGGGAUAUUUGCGCCACGAGAUCCGCUGGAGAUUGCGUCAUCAUUUUCCGAGGUUAAAGGGAUAAGGUGAUGUCAUCAAGAAACGGUUCGGCGACUUGGAUAUUUCCAUGGAGGAUGGCGGCUUAAGCAUAUGAUGCAUGAAAGGAGUGGAAUGAGUCGCUCCUAAACUAGGUAAGAGUUUAUUGGCGAGAACAGGUUCAAGUCAAUCUGGGGCCUAAUGUUGGGGAUAUUAUCUGCGGCGUGACCCGCCCUAGUUGGGCCGGGUCACCAAGUGGGUGACUCAUCCUUUGGUGGUUCAAGCUUUGGCCCAGAAGGCCCAGGAGCUGGAUGGCGGUUCAAGAUCCACAUGGAGGAUAAAUUAUCGGGGAGUUCUCCAGUCUUUGAAAGCACGGCGAUUUAGAGAUAGAAAGAAUCACGACUUGUGUUAUGGCAAGGACUCUUGUAAACCCUAAGGCCUCGACCUGUAUAUAAAGGUGAGUUCCUGGAGAGGAGAGGGCAGGUUAGAAAUCAUCGAGAACUAGGUCAGGCGAGUUACUCCCUCCUUGUAAUCGAAACAUCAUCAAUACAAAACAAAGCAGGACGUAGGCUUUUACCUCCUCACGAGGGGCCGAACCUGGGUAAAUCUGAGUCCCGCUCCCGUUCAACCCCUUUGAGUCGCCACCAAGGUGCGAUGGCUCCAUCAUUAAGUCCUUUCACUAGGACAUCUGCCGUGACAAAACCACGACAAUCGUCAAGCGUUUUCUCACAGAAAUUGAGAAGUGGGACGUCGCCACAGGCAGCAUGUUCGACAUCGAACUGCUCAAACUCUGGGUAACCUUGUCUACAGCGAGCCCAAGGCGCUGCUCCUCACGUGAAAAGAAUCCGCCACCAAGAAUGAGGCUACCGGGGGCUCCGGUGACCAGCCGAAAGCGCCACCGUUAGUCCAAGAAGUCGUGCGCCGUGUGCUCGGCGGAAGCGGAAACUCGCGACGAGGCGACCGUACGAGCCGCCCAACAGACGGAUGCAAAACGCCGCCCUCACGGUCCGGACGACAUCAACAUAUCGGUGUAGUGCUUGCCUAUACGAGCCACCCAACAGACGCGCGCAAGACGCCGCUCCCGCAGUCCGUUCUCCAUGAACAUAUCAGUGCAGUGCUUGCCUACAUGAGCCGCUCAAGAGACACGCGCAAGCCGUCGUACCCAUGGUCCAUUAUCCAUUAACAUAUUGGUGCGGUGCUCUCUUAUAUGAGCCGCCCAACAGACGCAUGCAAGCCGCCUGUGCGGCCCGUUUCCCCAACAACAUUGGAGCAAAGGAAAAAAUAACAUUCAUGUCUUACUCAAUGUCAUCAAAACAUGGAGAGCUUGUCAUGAAGGAAACAUCUCUGGUGAAGGCUACAAAUUGAGUCGGCCAUCAUUAAGUCGGCAAAUUCAAAGUAAACAGCAAAGGAAAAACAAAGUGGCCCUCGAGGAACCAUGAGAGUCGGACUACCUGAGAAUCAAGCACGGGUCAAAAAUCCAUCAUCAACUGUCAAAUCUUAUGCCGGUUUAUGCCACAAUCAAGUAUGAAGAAUCUCAAGCCGCCUCCUUGAGUCGACUUAAGACUCGGGGGCUACAUGGACAUGGCUCGGCAGACUCAACUGGGAUGAAUAAUUCAAGAACCCCGGGUCGUUACAGAAAAAUCAAGCCGGUCUCGGGGGCUGAUGCCUCAUUGACAAGAUGAUUUAAAGAUCGCCUAAGAAGACAAGUCGCCAUGAUGCGACCGCCCAAACAUGGGUGCCCGACCUAGCCGUCCAAGCAUGGACGCUAUCAGUAUCAAAGAGCAUAAGUCGUCAUGAUGCACUUAUUUCAAAACUGGAUACUGGUAAGCCAAAGAGGACCAAAGUUGCCACAUUGCACGGUUCAAACAUGGGCGCCUUAUAUGGUUUUGAGGAUUAAGCCGACUUACUUGGGGCUUACUAGCUCCCAAGUCGUUUUGCAGUAAGAGCGUACGCUUCUGCAAUCCUAUGUCUAGCUUUUCCCUAAUCAUAGGUCACUUGGGGGCUUCCACUCACUGAGUUCAGCCUAAAUACCCUCUUGGCUAGCGAAAAAUUAACGCAUUACAAAUGGUUAUACUGGACUGUGUGUUGGGAAAUCGCCCUAUGAUCCCAUGUACUCUUGGCGAGUCAAUCCGCUUUUGGACCCUGAACUUGCCUUGGUUAAAACAUGAAAGGUACUGGCAAGAGCCAACGCAUGGAAAAUAGACAAACCAUUGGUUCACUGAACCUGCUUCACUGAAGCCUGACUCACGCGUGAUCAGCCGGUCUAAAUAAUUCAGGCUAUUGCAAAAGCCUUCUUGGGGUAACACUAGAGUUUUGCAAACUCGUCUUGUCGUGUCGUGACUCAUCGAGCCGACAAAUUUUAUGAUUAUCUUUGUGGCACUGCCAUAAAGUUUUUAUAAAAAGUUUUAUAACUCGCCGAGACUCACUGAGUCGGCCGCCGUGACUCACUGAGCCGGCUUAACCUCUUUUGGGUACCACUAGAGCCUUGAGAGCUCGUCUUACCCGCCGAGACUUACUAAGCGGGCUAUGGUGUAACCAACACUAUUCUGUCAUAUGCAUGCAUCAUAUUGCAUUGCAUCAUGCAUCAUACAUACAUAUCAUGCCGGUCUUCAAACCGGGUCAAAGCAUAAUUUUUUGCAGGAGCAAAUAUAUCUUUGAAUAGCCAAUUGGCUGGAUUUUCAUCAUGGUUUAUCAUAACCAGUGUUAAAUGAUUGAGGUUUUUAAGGCCAUCUCGGAAGAAUUGACUAUUGUCAAAGAGCCGCCCUAUCACAUAUAAUGCCGAGUCAUCUAAUUGACUGACCCUUGGAUUUCUUCAACUCGUGCUCUGUAGUAAACUGCAACACUUAUGGAUUUCUCCGACAUAUGGAUUUCUCAAGGAUAUAUUUGCCGGGUUACAUUGCAACCAUGGUCAAGGAUUUCUUUUAUCACAAAGGCAUCAUCAGCUCACAGAGUGGAUAUGAUUUUAUUCUACAAUGGAAGGAAUAGUCCCAAGUUGUUGCAGGCACACAACCCGGCACUUGAGGGCUACAUUAUUCAGAUCAAGAUUACAUCAAAAUAUGAAAGUCCCAUGUCGCUGCAAGCAUGCGCCAUGACACUUGGGGGCUAAUGCAAUCCGCUUUUCAAAUCAUCACAUCAUCAACAGACCCGGCUACAGGUCGCUUUUUAUUCAAGUAUGGAUUCAAGGAAGAACCGGCUCAUCAUUUUUAUAAUGACCCGGUCCUUGGGAGCUACACAUUGCUGCUCAAGGUUCCAUCAUCAGAUUUACAAAGUCAUUGCUCAUUAUUUCAUAAUGACCCGACCCUUGGGGGCUACACCAUAUGAUGUUUAAUUUUCAAAGGAGAAGCACGUGGAAGUCCCGAGUCACCACAAACAAUCGACCCGUCACUUGGGGGCUACACUAUUCAGAUCAUAAUUUCUAAAGUCCCAGGUUGCCGCAGGCAAGACAACCCGACACUUGGGGGCUACAUCACUAAGUUGUUUCACAGAUCAUGAGGUUCAAAUUGAAGACCCGGCCCAUCACACACUCAUGACCUGGCUGUUGGGGGCUACAUGUAAUAUGGAUAUAUCAAAAAAUUGAAGAGCACAUUUUAUUUCGUCAUGGAGGUGAAGUAUUGGGAGACCGGUUCAACAUCACAUGGAUUUCUUUAUCCCCAAUAAUUCGAUAUAGUCUUGAGUUCAGUUGUUUGACGAGGCAUUACAAAUAAUAAUGACCCGCCAUUAGCAAUCAUGACCCGCCAUUGUCAAACAUAACCCGCCGAAGCAAGAGAAGCUGGUUCAACAUUGUGUAGAUUUCUUAUUCCCCAAAUUUUCAUCAAGCCAAAGCAUUGGAGGCCGACUCAAUUGCAUUUGUAUUUAUUUUGCAAAGGACAUGGACCUGCAAGAUGAUUGUAAAAAUGACUCAUUCAUAUGGAGAAGAGACCGGAUUUCUGAGGAGCCACUUCAUAAACCAGCCAAGGGAGCGAGCCUGUCACUUAGCAUAUUUGCUAUUCUUAUUUCAGGAGCUUACCAUGAAUAAAUUCAAGCUAACCUGGGGGCUAAUGUCGGGGAUAUACCCCGCGGUAUGACCCGGCACACGGUUAUGACUGGGCAGACAGUUAUGACCGGCAGACAAUUAUAACCCGCCAGACAGUCAAGUUCCGGAGAUGAUUCCCUGAAGAUGAAUCUUAAAGAGCAGCCCGGUUGUAAGCUGCCCGGUCAUAAGUCGCCCGGGACUCAGCAUUCCGUUUGUAAGGAGCCCGGUUGUAAGGAGCCCGGUAGUAAGCAGCCCGGUCGUAAGCCUCCUGGGACUCAGCAAUCUGUUUGUAAGCAACCCGGUCGUAAGCAGCCUGGUUGUAAGUCGCUCGGGACUCAGCAAUCCGUUCGUAAGUCGCCCGGACUCAGAAGCCCACGAAGAGAAGCUCGUAAUGGAGAGUCAUAAUAUGCUAAGCCUAAAUCCGGCUUGGACUCUAUAUGUAACUCGCCCCUUCAGCUUAUAUAAGGAGGGGCGAGACACCCCAAGAGGGUUAGGGUUUUUUAGAGGUCUCAAGAGACAGAUUCACAACUUAGGUGUAGACAAGACAGAUCAUGAGAUAGACAGAUUAGACACCCACGAGAUUAGAGGUGCAGAGUCUGCACCCUUGUAAUCGAGAUCAUCAUCUUCAUCAAUGAAACACAAGCAGGACGUAGGCUUUUUCCUCCAUCGAAGGGGCCAAACCUGGGUAAACUCGCGUCUCUCGAUUCCGACCAACCCCUUCAAGCCGCCACAUGGUUGCGAUGGCCUCACACCUAAGUCCUUGUACGAGGAGAUCUGCCGUGACAAAACCACGACACCGUGCUAGGCCAGAAGGAAGCAUCUCCAAGGGCCAUGAAAGAGAGGAGGCCAUUGAGUUUUCUGUUGACUUUAUUCCUGAUAUUAAGACGAUUGUUGUUCCUCAGUCGCGGCAUGAGGGGAGACUGAGUGGAAAAGGCAUGCUAGGACCAAAAUCAAUAAUAUGUAGGUAUGGGCAUUCUUGGAUGCAAACACACUACAUAAUUUUACAAAAUUCUACCUUGGUGGCCCCGUAUAUCAAUGAACACAAGAAUAUUCUAUGCUCCAAAUACCAGGAGCAGUCUGGUGACUCGAUUACACAUGAACAAAUGGGGACUUUCGACGGUUGGCUGCAAACACGUCUCAGGAGUAACAAAUUGUUGGAGAUGACUUGUAGUUGUUGUCCAGGACACCAUCUUCGGCCGUAUUGACUUUCCAAGGGUACGAGAUAAAUGGGAAUACAUUUUACAAAAUCGCCCAAGAUAAAAAGAGAACCAACCAAAACAGUGGUUUCCGCUUUGAUGCAGGAAACACCAAUAGGGCAAAGGACAAAUAUUAUGGUUACAUAGAGGAGAUAUGGGAACUUGACUAUGGGCGUGAUGAUUUUAAGGUCCCUUUAUUUCGGUGCAAAUGGGUAAAUCUGAUAGGAUGCGGGGUACAGGUAGACCCGCAGUAUGAAAUGACAACAGUGGAUCUCAACAAUCUUGGGUACACAGAUUAACCAUUCAUCAUAGCCAAUGAUGUGGCGCGGGUUUUCUAUGUGAAGGUCAUGUCUACCAAACCAAGAAAAAGGAAAAAAUAAGGAAGUGAAUACAUCAUACGAUGAGACAAAGAGCCACAUAGUUCUUUCAGGGAAAAGAAAGAUCCUGGGAGUGGAGGACAAGGCAGACAUGUCAGUAGAUUAUGAAAAGUUUCAUGAAAUUACUCCCUUCAUAGUGAAGAUUUACCUAAGCAUCCUCUUAAAUGAUGAAGAUUAUUCAUGGUUACGACGCAAUAAGAAAAGGGACAAACUGGAGAGAAUCUUAGCUAGUGCAUUUUGGCAUUUGAAACAUGAUUUUAGAAUAAUUAUUUAUUAAAUUAUGAAUUUUCAAUUAUUCCUGUCCUUUUAUUAUUCAAGAUAAGCCGCUUGAGGUACGAAGGAGAUUGUACAGUUUGUACACGAAGUGCAUCCAUUUUUGUUGUAACCCUCUCAACUUUCUAGACGAUGCUAUGUGGGUGAAAUGAUGAUACCAUGCCAAAUUUCAACCUUUUCCGAGUUCAUUUGUAGUGCUUUUCAAUUUCAGGGUCAUUUGACUCAAAAAACCAUUGAAUGCAUGAAAAAUAGCAAAUGAAGUCAGAAAGGGUUGAAAAUUGCUGAUGUGGCUUUGAAUGGUGCAUAUUGAAUGCGCAAAAAGUUUGGAGUAGAAAUAAGCUUAAAAAUGAAAUGCCUUUGUAACAAAUGAGUUUUUGUCCGAAACCAUCAUACUUUGAAAGAGAUUGUCCAGUUCGUACACGACGUUCAUCCAGUUUUUGCCGUAACUCUCUCAACUUUUUAUCACAUGCUAUGUGGGUGAAAUGAUGAUAGCAUGCCAAAUUUCAACCUUUUCAGAGUUCAUUUGUAGUGCUUUUCAAAGUAAUAUGUGGGUGAAAUGAUGAUCCGGAAGAAACAUUUUGACAGCAUUAAUCGCCCCGUGUCAUAUUUUCAAAAACAUAUUGAUAAACCACCACCCAAUGCUAGCCCUUGAAUGCGAAAUGUUGCGGGAAUGGUACCUAUGAAAAAUAUCUCUAUAGAGCUAUUAGUCACUCUUUGAUGAAAACCUAUAUAAUCAAUCAUUGCAUUCAUACAAUCAUUCACUCUAGCAAGCAUUCCAGUAAUCAAAAUACAAUCAAUGAAUAAAGCAAUAAAUAAAACAAUAAGGUUAUUAGGUUAAAAAAAGUAUUUUAUAAUAUUCUUCAAUAGCAAAAAGAAUCAACUAGAAAGCUUUUAUAAAACUCUUGUUAUGAUCAAAAUAUUAUUAACUUAACAUUAUAUAAAAUUUAACCAACUAAAAUUUUCAUGAAGUAUUUUUUCUUAAAAACUUUAAUAGUAAACAUAAUUAAAUGAAAACUAGGCAUGUAUGCAUCUGUUUAAAAGAAAACUAGGCAUGUAUUUUUUUCUCCAACGUAUCGAUAAUUUUUUAUUGUUCCAUGCUAUUAUAUUAUAUGUUUUGGAUGUUUUAUAUGCAUUUAUAUGUUGUUUUAUAUUAUUUUUGGGACUAACCUAUUAAUCUAGAGUCUAGUGCGAGUUUCUGUUUUUCCACAUUUUUGAAUAUUGUAGAUAAAGAAUAUUAAAUGGAGUCCAAAUGGAAUAAAAUCUGCGAAAAGAUUUUUUUCUCGACGAGAAGACACGUAACAUACUUAGGGUAGGGGGCAAGGCAGUUGUCGGGAGGCCACAAGCCUGCAGGGAGCAACGAGAACACUUUUACGCCGCCGGGAAACCCCUGCACGUCUUCUAACCCUAACUCUUGGCCUAUAAAUUCCCAAAUAUUCCAGAAACACUAGAGGGAGCAACGAGAAUGCUUUUACGCCGCCGGGAGCCUCUGUUCCCAAGAGAUCCAAUCUGGAAGCCUUGUCCGGCAAUCUGCUGGAGAGGGAAUUGAUCACGGAGGGCAUCUACAUCAACUCCAUUGCCCCUCUGAUGAUGUGUGAGUAGUUCACCACAGACCUAUGGGUACAUAGCUAGUAGCUAGAUGGCUUCUUCUCUCUCUUUGAUCUUCAAUACGAUGUUCUUCAUGAUCUUCAUGGAGAUCUAUCCGAUGUAAUACUCUUUUGCGGUGUGUUAGUCGAGAUCCGAUGAAUUGUGAGUUUAUGUUCAGAUUAUCCAUGAAUAUUAUUUGAAUCUCUUUUGAAUUCUUAUAUGCAUUAUUUCAUAUCCUUGCAAUUCUCUUUGAAUUAUUUGUUUUGUUUAGCCAACUAGAUUGAUAAUUCUUGCAAUGAGAGAAGUGCUUAGUUUUGGGUUUAAUCUUGCGGUGUCCUCACCCAGUGACAGUAAGGGGUAGCAAGGCACGUAUUGUAUUGUUGCCAUCAAGGGUAAAAAGAUGGGGUUUUCAUCAUAUUGCUUGAGUUUAUCCCUCUACAUCAUAGCAUCUUACUUAAUGUGUUACUCUGUUCUUCAUGAACUUAAUACUCUAGAUGCAGGCAUGAGUCGGUCGAUGUGUGGAGUAAUAGUAGUAGAUGCAGAAUCGUUUCGGUCUACUUGAUACGGACGUGAUGCCUAUAUGCAUAAUCAUUCCCUUGGAUAUCUUCAUAAUUAUUUGCUUUUCUAUCCAUUGCUCAACAGUAAUUUGUUCACCCAUCGUAUUAUUUUCCUUUAUGAGAGAAGCCUCUAGUGAAACCUAUGGCCCCAGGGUCUAUUUUUCAUAUCAUAUUUUCAGAUCUAUAAACCAAAAAUACCAAAAAUACUUUGCUACAAUUUAUUUACUUUAGUUUUACUUUCAGAUCUAUCAAUAUUUAAUACCUAUCUCUAUCAGAUCUCACCCUUGCAAAUAACUCUCAAGGGAUUGACAACCCCUUUAAAGCUUUGGGUGCAAGUUUUUGAUUAUUUGUGUAGGUACUACUAUUGGAGUCUUGUUUGUUACUCCUACUGGAUUGAUACCUUGAUUGUCAACAAACUGAGAGAAAUACUUAUCUACUUGGUUGCAUCACCCUUUCCUCUUCAAGGGAAAAUCAACGCAAGCUCAAGAGGUAGCAAGCGCCGCCCCAAUCCCCUACACUUCAUUAACCCUGAUGCCCUCGGCGCCGUCGCCUCCCACACCGUUGCCGACGCGCCCCCCACGCUAUCCCCGAGCCCUUCCUCGUCGCCGACGCCUCUUCGCUAUGAGUGCCCCCCGAUCCCCUCCUCCCGUCGAGGGAGUUGAAAAUGUUUUGGCAAAACGUGGGUUCAUUUAUGUAUCAUCGAAUUUCUGGCAUUCAGUAUGUCCAUUUUUUACCAAUGGUCUUGUCAAUUUUUCCAUUGAUUUUUUAUUCUAUGCAUGCAACACAAAAUGGAAGAAUGCCCGUAUAGUUUUGACGCAGCUGUAUGUGCGACGAUCCUCACCUUGACUAUAGUAAAUGUUAUUCCAUCACUCUACAAUGUGACUACAACUAUUAUAAUUUUAAGUUUGCUAGCAAAUACAAUUUUCUGUUUUCCUUCAAACUGUAAUUUAUGUUUUAUAUUUGUCAACUAGUGUGUCCCUUGCUAUGCAAGACCUUUUCUCCUAGACAAAUUUUUUGUUAGUGACAUGGAAGAAGUGACUCAGAUGACUACUUACCUCAAGAUGAAAGGUGGUUUCAAUUUCAAAUGUACGAUCUAUAAUUAGGUAGAUCAUACAUAUUCUAGUUGUGCUAAUAGAAAGGAUUGACCAAAGCAUACGGUUUUGAGCCUGUUAUGAAAAUAACAUUUGAUAUUGGCACAUAUUCUGUAAGUGAUGACGACACAUGGGUGAAUUUAGACAUGAUGCCCACCUCCGUGUAAGUUUCUUAGAUAGGCUUGUUAAAUAACACUUAGAUUAUACACCAAAAUAGAUGUUAUUCAACUAGAACUUAUCUUCUUUAUUUAGAAUUGAUAGCUUAUUUUCUAUCUCCAAGAAAUAUAAGGGACAUAGUAGACGACACCUAUUACACUAUCUGCAGUAUGCUUACUUGGCAGGAAAAAUGUUACCUUAUGUUCUUUCUUGCUAACAUUGAGUCCCUUAAGGGCAUUUAUGGGGCUUGUCCGAAUGAUGCACGACACCUGCCACUAGUCCAUACCUUGAACAAAGGCAACAUUUGUGGAAAAUGCAUGGUAAGAGUUUCGACUAUAGCAUGUCUUUCACAUAUUUGCUUUCUUCUUACAGAAGUCAAGUGUCGGUUACUAAAUGUUGCUUAGUAUGUUACUAUUUCGUUCAAGGACAGAAGCUCUCAAGAUGGGUUGUGCCUCCGAUGAUGGAUGACCACGAGGAUGUUAUGGCAAUUAUUUUUGCCCACAAGAUCUAUUUCAGAGGUACAUACUUGAUUACACUAGAUGGGCAUCUUAAAAUAAAUGAAUGGAAGCAACUAGUGAGUGACUGCAACUUGAAGAUUGGGGAUUGGUGGCUCUGCGUACUCCACCAUGGAGAUGCAGGGUUUUUUCUAUACUUCAAGAUUGUUCCUACAGGAGAGGAGUACCGUAUUAGUAGUUACGAUGGUUAAUGUUUGUAUAUAUAUAUAAAUGAUGUGUACCAUAAUAUUAAUUAUAUUUUACGUGUUGUAAUAUCUCAUCGGCAUCAAUUUGGGAUGCAAAUGUGGUUCUCUAUAUAAUGAUACAAAAUUGCGUUGUCGUGGAGGCAUUUUUCGCUGCCAUGGCAGCAUUUUUGCUGCGUUUUGUCAAUUAGUAAUGACGUGUGGAAAAAUGUACGACGUCCGUAAUGAUCUCCCUAGUUUCUAACAUUUGGAAAGAUUGCACGCUAUAUAUAUGUAUGAUAUUGUUGUCAUGGAGAUAUGACCAACGCCAUAGCUACCUGAAAUACUGUUGGCGCUGGCUCCAACGUCACCACAAUUUUUAAUUGAUGCGCCAUAUUGGUAGUAUCGGGUGUCCAUGCCAGUAAGGCCGUUUUUACCACUCCAUAGAGAAGCUUUUCUACACUAGUGUUAAUUUCAAUCCAGUUGAAAGUCACCCUUUACUCGCAAGUAGUCUCGUACUUUGUUCUUCUCCUUGUUGCAAAUCCCUUCUCGAGUCGCAAUUGGGCCUGUAGUAGGUGUUUUUGCACUUGCAAGUUCAUCCCUCGACUCGCAACUGGGCCCAUACGUGUUGUCGACUUACCGUUUUGAAGCCCAUGCCUGGGCUCGCAACAAGGCCCAUAUGUGUUGUAGUCUUCCUCUUUGCAAGCCCACCCCCUCGACUCGCAUCCCUCCCUAUAGUUUUUUCUAACCCAGUUUCAAGUCCAUCCUUCACUCACAAACCGGGCCCGUACUUUUUGCUCUUUCCAAGUUAUAAGUCCCCCUCGAGUCGCAACUAGGGCCCAUAGGGUGUAGUUGUUGUCCCACUUGCAAACCCAUCACUCGACUCGCAAUUCGGGCCCAUGGGUGUUUCCAACUAGGUUCUAAGUUCAUCCUCCUCUCGCAAUUGGGACGUAUCUUUUGUUUUUGUCCCAGUUACCAGUCCUGCUCGAAUAGCAACUCGUCUCAUAGGUAUUCUUUUCUUCCCAAUUUCAAGCCAAUCCCUUGGACUCGCAACUUGGCUCCUAGUUAUUUUCAACCGAGUUGCAAGUCCAUUUUUGACUUGCAAAUGGGCCCAUAUUUUUUAUUCUUGCACCCAUUUCAAGUCCCCCCUUGACUUGUAACUCGACCUGUACUUGCCCUUGUCCUAGUUGCAAGUCCCCCAUCGAUUCGAAAUGGGCCCGUCGUAAGUGUGGUCCGACUUGCAAUGCAUUCCUCGACUCACAACUGGCCCCAUAUGUGUUGGUCUUCCCUGUAGCAAGCCUACCUCUCGAUUUGCAACUUGCCAUGUACUUAUUUCCAAUCCCGUUGCAUGACCAUCGACUAGCAAGUCCACCGAUGUUGGUGUCGUCCUGGUUCCAAGCCCGCCCCUCAAAUCUCCUUUACGCCAUUCACUGCGGCACAAUGUCAUUGUAUCACACAACGGUAGAAGCGAGCAAAUUGCAGAUGGAUCGGCCCAAGUCGCUAUGAUCCAUUUUGCUUGUCUUGUUUUUCUUCAUGGUUUGUCCUUGUUUAUCAGCCUGGGCAUUUGGGUACCCUAACCCGCUACCCGAGCCCGAACUGAACCGAAUUACUUGACAAUUCGGGUAAUUCGGGUAUCGGGUUAGGGUUCGGUUCUCAUUUCCUGGCUAUUCGGUUUUCGGGUUGGGGUUCGGGUUCUAGUCUGAAAAACCCGAAAUACCCAUACUACUCGAAUUAUUCAUACUAGCCAAAUUAUUCAUGCUAUUAUUACACUCACAUGUUACCCAUACUAACUAAAAUAGCGAGACUAUCCAAAAUACCCACACUACCCAAAUUAUUUAUACCAAAAUUUGAUGUGUGCUCCAAAUAUUUUGGGAUCUUUGGGUACCCAAAUUAUCCGAACCAAAAUUUUGGGUAAUUUGAGUUUGGGUACUUUUUUGGCAGAAAAAUUCGGGUUCCCAUUUUGAGUACACAAAUUACCCAUAAACCGAACUAUCCGAACCGAAAUAACCAAAGUACCCGAACGCCCACGUUGACUUGUUUAUCCCUUUUUUCCUUUUUUUUCUUCGCUAGCUUUUCUUUCCUUUUUAAUUUUUUUGUUUUUUAAAAAUAUUAUUUUUUAUUUUCAUUUUAUUAUUAAUCAUUGUUUAGAAAGUGUAUAAUUUGAAAAAAAAAAUCUUUUUCAAAAAGUGCUUGGAUUUUUCAAAAGCAAAUUAAGUUCUUGUUAUUCAAAAAAUAAUUGCAGGUUUAAAAAAUGAUUGUGUUUUAAAAAAAAUACUCAAAUGCUGAAAUAUUUAUUCCAUUUUAAAAAAAUGUUCACAAAUGAUGUCCGUCUGUCAGUAACUCUUAAGCUUUACAUAUACUGGACCAAGGGUGACACCAUGUUAGAUGACCCCUAGUCACAAAAAACAAUUCAAAAACUUAAAAAUUGUUUGUAUUCUCAUAAAUAUCCCUCAUAUUUCAAAAUUCUUCAUAAUUUGCAGAAAAAUUAACUUCUUUUCAAAAAUGUCUACAAAUCUUCACGCUUUACUUUGUUCUUAAGUGUUUCCCGCUUCUAAAACAUCACAAACAUUGAUGUGUUGUAAUGGUAAGAGUUGGUGCUCAGCAGUAUGAGGUCCUAUGUUUGAUUCUUUAGGAGCGCAAUAUGUAUCUCUUUUUGUUGCACUUAAAAAGAAUCCAAAAAACAAAUAUUCCCUCGGUGCCUAAAUAUAAGUCUUUUAGGAGGUUUCAGUAAGGGGACUACAUGCGGAUGUAUAUAAACAUAUUUUAGAGUAUAGAUUCACUUAUUUUGCUUCGUAGGUAAUCUCUAGUAAAAUCUUUAAAAAGACUUAUAUUUAAAAAUGAAGGGAGUAAUAAAAGUUAGAUGUGAGGUAUUAUGUCACGUCUAGAUGAGAUGUGACAUAGUUGGAUCCUUUCCUUUUGGUGGAGUAUUUUGCCCACGGCCUGGAUGCAGGAGGCCCAACCGUGGCUUGAGAGCAGAAAUAAUAAAUCACGGCAUAAUGAGCAUUGUAGUUAGCAAGUCCUUGCCGGUGGUGGUCGUCGGCCCUUGCGCCGGCAUCGUCCAUCUCUCCUCUUUCGACAGGUGCAUGCCUCCCUUCCCAGUCACUCUGCUUCUUGUCUUCAACCAGCCAAUCGAAGACCCCGUCGAGACCAUCAAGAAGGCGCUGUCGCAGGCGCUGAUGCACUAUCCCCCGAUGGCCGGCCGCACCGGCGACGACGGGGAGGGGGAGCUCCACAUCGCUUGCACCGGCGAGGGUGUCUCUUUCGUGGGUGCGUCGGCUAGCUGUGCCCUCGACGACGAGGCCACGAGAUCGGCGCUGCUCCUCAGCGACCUCGCCGUUGGCUACCCCGCCGAAUACUGCCGCCUCAGCGACCCCUUCCUGCUUAUGCAGGUGACCGAGUUCUCCCGCGGCGGGUUCAUCGUCGGCGUGACGUGGAACCACGUCAUGGCCGACGCGGCGGGGAUGGCGCAGUUCCUGCGGGCCGUUGGCGAGCUCGCCCGGGGGAUGCCGGCGCCGGCCGUCGCUCCGGUCAGGUCUGAAAUCGACGGCUCGGUGCCACGACUCCCGCCGCUGAUGGUCGCCGCUGUGAGGUCCCAGAUGCGCAUGGAAACGGAGGAACUCGCGAGCCUCGACGUCACCAUCCCCUCGAGCUUGAUCGGCCGCAUCAAAGAAGAGUGCGCCGGCGACUGCACGGUGUUCGAAGCCGUCGCAGCCGUGCUCUGGCGGUGCCGCACCCGCACGGUCAUCUCCGAUGCUGACACCGACGACCCUGUGGCCUUCGCCUUCCCGAGCAACGUGCGCGGCCUCGUCGGCGCCAAGGAAGGCUACUACGGCAAUUGCGUCGCCAUGCUGCAGGUCCAAGCCAGUAGCGCCGCGGUGGCGAGCGGCGACAUGAAGGACCUGGUGAAGCUCAUCAAGCUUGCAAAGGAGAAGGUAUCAGACAUAUUCGUGAAUGCCGGCGACGAGACCAGCGACGGUGCCAGUAGAGAUGAGCAGCAGCGGGCACACCCGCGCUCAAGGUACAACACGCUGAGUGUCACGAGCUGGAGGAACCUUGGGUUCGAAGCCGUGGAUUUCGGGCCUGGGAGGCCGGCGCGCGUGAUGUGGAAGCCACACCGGACGAUUGGGUUCGUCUGCGUUGUGUGCCCGCCGUGCAAUGCAAGGGGGGAGGACGGCGUCAACGUCGCGUCCUUUUGCGUCAAGCCGGAGCACGCCGGCGCGUUUGUAGCGGAGUUGGCGGCCCUCAACAUAUAAAUGCGAAUUCGUAGUAUCAUGUACUAGUAUCAUAUAAUCCCUCCGUUCCUAAAUAUAAGUCUUUUAAUCAAUUUCACUAAGAGACUACAUACAGAGCAAAAUGAAUAAAUCUACAAUCUAAAGUAUGUCUAUAUACAUCCGUAUAUAGUCCUUUAGUGGAAUAUCUAAAAAGACUUAUAUUAUGGAACGGAGGGAGUAUAUGAUAGUAGUGUAUGAUACCACAUCCGUAAUGCAUAGUAUCAUACGUUACUAUCAUAGAAUAGUUCAUUUAUUGUAAUGCAAGACACAUACAGUAGACCAAGCAGCUAGCUUGGUAAGCUACCAGCAAAAACUUGCAAUCAAUCAAAAAAAAAGACACAUACAGUAGUAGCACAUCAUUUAAUAUGAUACGAUAUCAUGGUAUGGUACUCAACCCUUUCUUUUUUCAUUUAAUUCUAUGUCACCUCAUCGAAAUUGCCUAGUUGGCAUGCAUGUACUACCUAUGAUACUACCAUUACGGGCAGCUUAAUACUUCAUUUUCAAUCAGAGUGUAAACCUAAAAUGGACGAAUUAAUUAGUCUCGCACUUUUUUUCAUACUACUCCAUCUGUCCCGGUGUAUAAGUCAUCUUACGAAACCAAAUAAUUUCAAAAUACUUAACCGCGGUAUUUUUUUUUAAUUUUUUGACAUGAAUAAAGGAAUCACCAAUAAAAGGCGGGAGACAUGUAUGUUUUUAAUGAUGUGAGACUAACUAGCACGACAUGCGGUGAUCAAUUCAUUGCAUGUAAUUGUAUUAAUUAGAAAACUAGCAUUGAUUUUUCUCGUUUUCCUUUUCGUCUUUGUCACGGUACAUAACCUAAGAUGACUUAUACACCGAAACGACGGGAGGAACAAACAUGCAUGCCCACACCACGUCUCUCUUCUCGUACUUGUAUGCCGUGCCCUUUUGCAUAAAGUCCGAGCAAUUCGACGCUUUGUUAGUGGAGUUGACUGCCCCCAAAAUAUAAUGCCAACUACAUCUUUGAUGGUGCAUGUUGCAAGAACCGCCUAUUUUUAUGAAAUAAUAAAUAGUUUUUAUUUAUAUAUUUGUCCAUAAAUAAAGUUUUAAAAGAUGGAUAUAAAUUUAUUCUUAAAGUUUAGAUGAUGCAAAUAGUUGAAAAGUAUUUGCCCUACUCAUACUAAGUAACAUAAUACAAAUAACAUUAGGAAUCAGUUCUUUGAGCUUGUGUUGGACCCUGAAUUUUAUGAAACAUACUUACAUUAAUAAAAUGGUUGCAUGCAUCGUCAUGAUACAGAGACCGGGGACGAUCCUUGUUUUAUUUUUGAAAAGGCUUGCAUGGCAAGUACAAUAAAGCCCAAUCAACCACAUGUCUUCAAAACUGCCACAAGAAUAGUGGCCCAAUAGGACAAACAUGCCAGAUCACGGUAAACUGAAGCUGGAACAGAGAUCUAAAGGCUAGAAAUGAUCUAAACGUGAAAUACAACGACCGAAAUUUGUUGGGCGCUCAGUUUAGAUGCACUUUUAUUGUCCUCAAUUCAUAGUGCAUUUACAAUUCCCAAAAUAAUUUCUUCAAAUUUUGGGGUGAACCUAAAAUGGACCAAUCAAACGAUCCCAAACGGUUUUCUCAUAUAUGGUUACCUUUGCUUAUUGAUUUUUUUAGUACGGUUCAUAAGUUUUUCUUGAAUGAUUUUAAGAUUGAUACGCCUCUGCGACGAGGACCCCGACGCCUCUGCGCCCCUCGCGUUCACGAGCAACGUGUGUGGUCUCAUCGGCGCCAAGGAAGGCUACUACGGCAACUGUGUCAUCGUCCAGGUGAUACAAACAACAAGCGGUACAGUGGCGAGCGGAAAAAUCAAAGACCUCGUGGAGCUCAUCGGGCUUGCCAAGGAGAAGGUAUCAAACAUAUUCGUGAAUGGUGGCGAUGAGACCGGUGCCGGUGGUGGAGAUCAACAUCAGCUGGCAGCCGCGAGGUACAACACUCUUUGUAUCUCGAGCUGGAGGAACGUUGGGUUUGAAGCUGCGGAUUUCGAGGGUCGGCUGCGCCUCUAGCCACACAAUAUACAGCUCUUUUUAAUAUUGUACAAAGUAAGGAUUCUUAUGUUGCUACAAUUAUGCAACCAGUUCCUCUCAAUAUUCAGUUUAGGAGAUCUCUAGUAGGGGAAUGAUGCAAUGCAUGGCUCCAUCUAGUUCGCAGAUUGAUGGAAAUUCACUUGUCGGAAGAACCUGACACGAUUCAUUGAAGAUUAACUAUAAGCGGUAGUUUUUCAGUGAAAUCAAUGUAUCUGGAUAUUAUCAAUGCCGUAAUAAUACCCACUUGUCCACACAUUUUGAAAAUUAAAGUAUCUCUGAAGAUUAAGAUUUUCACGUGGUUUGUUCAUAAAGGACUUAUACUUACAAAAGAUAAUUUGGUUAAACGAAAAUUGGUAGAGGUAAUUCUAGAUGCUGCUUUUGUGAUCACAACGAGACUACUAAACACCUCUUUCUCGAGUGCCCUUUGACAAGACUUUUUAUGGUGUAGAUACGUCUCCAGCGUAGCUAUAAUUUAUAAAGUAAUCAUGCCAUGUUUAUCAUAAUUCUAUAUGAUUUUGGUAUGGUUUGAUUAGAACUAACCCGGACUGACGUUGUUUUCAGCAGAACUAUUGUGGUGUUGUUUUUUGUGCAGAAAUAAAAGUUCUUCAAAUGCAACAAAACUUUUAGACAAUUUUUUAUAUAAGGAAAUAGCCCGAGGAAGCUUCGAGGAAGAACCAGAAGAUGCUCAGGGUGCCCACACAACACCAUCGCACGCCCCCUGGGCGCGCCCUGAUGUUGUGUGGCCCCCCUGAGGCCCAUCUCCGCGUGAUUCCGACACUGAAAAAUCAUAUAUAUCAAGAAACCUCCGAAAGUUAACUAAGAACUUGGACUCCGCCGCCGCACGCCACUGUAUCCUCCAAAAAGCAAUCUGGACCCUCUUCCGGCACCCUGUCGGAGGGGGAAAUCAUCACCGGAGGCCAUCUUCAUCAUCCCGACAGCCACCAUGACAUGGAGGGAGUAGUCCACCCUCGAGGGUAGGGGUAUGUACUAGUAGCUAUGUUUUUGAUAUCUCUCUCCUGUGAUAAUGAGAUGUCACGAUCUUGAUGUAUCAUGGGCAUUGUUGAUAUAGAUGGAUCAUAUGAUGUUUCUCUCCUCUCCAUCCUUGGUGUGAUGAAUUGAAUCUUUUCCCUUUGAAGUUUUGUUAUUGUCAGAUUGAAUAUUCAGAUUUGGGAACACAUGAUGUAUGUCUUGCAUAAUCAAUAUUCGAGGUGACAAUGGGGUAUCAUAUUGAUUCACUUGAUGUAUGUUGUGGCACUCAACUUGCUGAUUCCUGUACUGACAUUGGGGUAAUCUAUGCAUAUGGGUUGAUGCACGUUUUCAUUAUCUUUUCUCUGAUAGAAACUUUGGGGAGUCCUUGUAGUUCUUUGUGUGGAUUGAAUAUUAUGAUUAUGAAGUUGUUUGAUGCAUAACGUAGAAUCAACUCACGAAUACUUGUGGUGACAUUGGAGUAUCUAGGUGACAUUAGAGUUGGUUGAUGUUGGGGAUAUAACCCCACGGUAUAAACCGUCCUAUUGGUCUGGGUUACUGAAGAUGGUGACUCAACGUUCAUAGUCAGGGCGGCCCCUGAUGUGCAAGAUUGGAGGCGCAAGGCGGGUCACCAAGAUGAGACCGUUGGCGGCCCAGGACACGAAGAUGGCGAUUUAAGGCCCAAAAGGAAGAAGGUCGCCAGGAGUUUCCUUGCUUAGGAGCAAGGCGAGUUAGAGACAUAUCGGGUCACAAAUCAUAACGUGACCCGGGUUCUUGUAAGCUUAGGGUCUCGACCUGUAUAUAAAGGCGAGUCCCCAAGGACAAUAGACUUAAGUUACAAUCCAUCGAGAGCCAAAUCAAGCGAAUUCGCACCCUUGUAAUCAAUUUCAUCAUCAAUAUACACAAAGCAGGACGUAGGACUUUACCUCCAUCGGAGGGGCCGAACCUGGGUAAACUCGUCUCUCGUUCCCGAUCAACCCCUUUGAGUCGCCGCAUAGUUGCGAUGGCCUCAUCACUAAGUCCUUUCACGAGAAAAUAUGUCGUGACAAAACCAUGACAGUUGGCGCCCACCAUGGGGAAGUCGCACGAUGGAGUUGAGUUCUCAAAGGGAGCCCUUCUAGGGUUCUGGAGCUACGCAGUUGGUCUUGUUGGAAAUAUUCCGUAGAGGCAAUAAUGAAAUAGUUAUUAUUAUAUUUCCUAUUUCAAGAUAAUCGUUUAUUAUCCAUGCUAUAAUUGUAUUGAAUGGAAACACAAGUGCGUGUGUGGAUACAUAGACAAAACAAUGUCCCUAGUGAGUCUCUAGUUGACUAGCUCGUUGAUCAAACAUGGUUAAGGUUUCCUAGCCAUGGACAAGUAUUGCCAGUUGAUGACGGGAUCACAUCAUUAGGAGAAUUAUAUGAUGUACAAGACCCAAACUAUAACCGUAGCAUGUGAUCGUGUCAUUUUGUUGCUAUUGUUUUUCUGCAUGUCAAGUAUAUGUUCCUAUGACCAUGAGAUCAUCUAACCCACUGACACCGGAGGAAUUCCUUGUAUGUAUCAAACAUCGCAACGUAACUGGGUGAUUAUACAGGUGUUCUACAGGUAUCUCCGAUCGUGUCCGUUGAGUUAGUAUGGAUCGAGACUGGGAUUUGUCACUCCGUAUGACGGAUAGGUAUCUCGGGGCCCACUGGGUAAUAGAACAUCACAAACAUGCCUUGCAAGCAAUGUGACUAAAGAGUUAUCCACGGGAUCUUGUAUUACAUAACGAGUAAAGAGGCUUACCGGUAACGAGAUUGAAAUAGGUAUGGAGAUACCGACGAUCGAAUCUCGGGCAAGUAACAUACCGAAGGACAAAGGGAAUGAUACACGCGAUUAACUGGAUCCUUGACAUAGAGGUUCAACCGAUAAGAUCUUCAUAGAAUAUGUAGUAUCCAAUAUGGGCAUCCAGGUCCCGCUAUGGUAUAUUGAACAGAGAGUGUCUCGGUCAUGUCUACAUAGUUCUCGAACCCGCAGGGUCUGCACACUUAAGGUCCGGUGACGUUUUGGUAUAGUUGAAUUAUUGAUAUUGGUAACCGAAUGUUGUUCGGAGUCCCAGAUGAGAUCCCGGACGUCGCGAAGGUUUUCCGAAUGGUCCGGAGAGGAAGAUUAAUAUAUAGAAAGUAUCCAUUUGGCUUCCGGAAGGUUUCCGGGCAUUACCGGUAAAGUACCGGGAGAGACGAAUAGGUUCCGUAGUUCCACCGGGAGGGGCCACUCACCCGGGAGAGAACCAAAGAGGCCCAGGGUGGCACACCAUCCCCUGGUGGGCUGGUGGCCAGCCCAAGUGGGCCUGGUUCAGACGAAGGAGGAGAAAGGAAAGGAGAGGUGGGGCAAACCGAAAUAGGAAGGGACUCCUCCUCCCAAUCGGAUUGGAGGGUGACUCCUCUUCCUUCCAUGGCGCGCCAGCCAACCCUAGGGAUUUUUCCCUAGGGCGCCACCCCUCCCUCUCUCCUAUAUAUAGUGGAGGUGAGAGAAGCUUUUGGCACCCAAGCCAUAGUACAACCCUCUCUCCCUCCACCACUUCGUGACACCCCGUAGCUAGUUCGGUACGGCACGGCGAAGCCCUGCCAGAGUAACUCCACCACCAUCACCGCCACGUCGUUGUGCUGCUGGAGAGUUCAGCUACCUCUUUGCCUCUCUUGCUGGAUCCACAAGGCAGAGAUCGUCAUCGAGAUGUACGUGUGCUGAAUACAGAGGUGUCGUCCGUUCGGUACUAGAUCGGGACGGACUUCGUGGGACGCUUGCGAUUCGGAUUGCGAAGACGUUCGACUACAUCAACCGCAUUUAUUAACGCUUCCCGCUUAGCGAUCUACAAGGGUAUGUGGAUCCGAUCUCCCCUCUCGUAGAUUAUCAUCACCAUGAUAGGUUUUGCGUGUGCAUACGAAAUUUUUUGUUUCCCAUGCGACGUUCCCCAUCAGUGGUAUAAAAGCUAGGUUCAUGCGUAGAUGAUAUCUUGAGUAGAACACAAAAGAGUUUGUGGGUGUUAAUGUUCAAUUUUCUGCCCUCCUUAGUCUUUUCUUGAUUUAGCGGUAUUGUUGGAUUGAAGCGGCCCGGACCAACAUUCCUCAUGCGCGUACGAGAGACCGGUUUCAUCGACUAACAUUCAACUUGUUGCAUAAAAAUGACUGGCGGGUGUUUGUUUCUUCAACUUUAGUUGAAUCGGAUUUGACCGAGGUGGUCCUUGGAGAAGGUUAAAUAGCAAUUUGCACACCAUCGUUGUGGCUUUGCAUAAGUAAGAUGCGAUCAUACUAGAUACCCAUAGCAGUCAUGUAAAUUUUGCAACAACAAAUUAGAGGACGUCUAACUUAUUUUUGCAGGGUAUGCAUGUGAUGUGAUAUGUCCAAUGACAUGACAUGAUAUAUUGGAUGUAUGAGAUGAUCAUGUUGUAAUAAUUAAAUAUCGACUUGCACAUCGAUGCUACGGCAACCGACACGAGCCAUAGGGUUGUAUUUAAUUAUUUUGUGCUUGGUGAUGCUUUUCUUUAUCGCUAGUAGUAGCUUUAGUAGUAACAUCAUAGUUAGCGCGACAACCUCGAUGGAAGCAUGAUUAUGGAGAUGAUGGUGUGGCGACGGUGACGAUGGAGGUCAUGCCGGUGCUUUGGUGAUGGAGAUCAAGAAGCACAAGUUCAUGGCCAUAUCAUGUCACUUAUGAUUUGCAUGUGAUGUUAAUCCUUCUAUGCACCUUAUUUUGCUUAGGACGACGGUAGCAUUAUAAGGUGAUCCUUCACUAAAAUUUCAAGAUAAAAUUGUUUUCUCCCCGACUGUGCACCGUUGCGAUAGUUCGUCGUUUCGAGACACAAAGUGAUGAUCGGGUGUGAUAGACUCUACGUUCACAUACAACGGGUGCAAAACAGUUGUACCACGCGGAACACUCGGGAUAAACUUGAGGAGCCUAGCAUGUACAGACAUGGCCUCGGAACACAAGAGACCGAAAGGCCGAACAUGAAUCAUAUAGUUGAUAUGAUCAACAUGGAGAUGUUCACCAUUGAAACUAAACUCAACUCACGUGAUGAUCGGACUUGAGUUAGUGAAUUUGGAUAAUGCGACACUCGAAUGACUAGAGGGAUGUCAAUUUGAGUGGGAGUUUAUUAGUAAUAUGAUUAGCUAAACUCAAUUAUCUUAAACAUAGUCUAAGUAAUCUUUGCAAAAAUUUAUGUUGUAGAUCAAUGGCUCGCGCAGUAGAAACCCUUAAUUUUAAUGCGUUCCUAGAGGAAGCUAAGCUGAAAGAUGAUGGAAGAAACACUGUUGACUAUGCCCGUAAUCUGAGGCUUAUCCUCACGGCUGCCCAAAAGCAAUAUGUCAUUGAUGCAGCACUAGGUGAUGCUCAAAGAGAGAUAAAUUGCCAUCCAGGUACUGGCUAUGGACCCGUAGGUCUGUGGUGAUCCACUUACAUAUCAUCAUGAGGGCAUCAAGGUUGAUGAAGAAGCCCUCGGUGAUCGAUCCGACCUCUGGCAGAGUGCCGAGACAGAGCUCUAGAUGGACCCCCGUCAGAACAGAGACUUGUGGCAGCGUAAAAAGUGUUUCCGGACCUCCGUCGAUGUUUUAGGAUAGAUGAGAAUUUAUAGACUAGAGAACAGAGUCGGGAGAGCCGCGAGGGGGCCACAAGCCAUUAGGGCGCCCCCUGACCGCGCCCUGUUGGCUUGUGGGGCCCUCGUGCACCCUCGUGCCUCCUUUCGAUGCUCCACGGUCUUGUUUUAGUCCAGAAAAAAAUCACAAAAAGUUUUAGGUCAAUUGCACUUCACUUGGUACUAAACCGUAAAAAGUGGAAAACACGCAGAAAACAACAACUAGCACUUGGCACUGGGUCAAUAGGUUAGUGCUCAAAGAUAAUAUAAAUUGGUAGAUAAUUAGUUCAUAAAAAAUGUUCUAAAAUGAUAACAUAAUAGCAUGGAACAAUCAAACAUUAUAGAUACGCUGGAGACAUAUCAUUGUACCGCUCGCUAGGGUUUUCUGCAUGGUACUUGUGUGCACUGAUUGUACCGGUGCACGAAGAGGUUGUACUGCUGUAGUGUAAAAACCGUUGUAACAGUUGAAUUUGGGGGCACUAUAAAAGGGGAUGGUUCUUCCACCGACCUUCUUACCUCUUACCUCUCUCUUUCUCUCUCUUUCCUUCAUUAAUGCCCUCCAAGCUUUCUUGCUCGAUCUCUCUUCCACUCAUUAAUGCUAGCAUCAUCGUACAUUUGGAGUCGACACACUUUGCUAGAGGCCGCUACCGGCUAGCCGAGCUGGAUGUGAUCUGACUUGCAACCAAGUGAACGAGAACCUAAGGGGUCGUGCUCUUAAGAGAAGGAUUCUACGAGGUCAUAUACGAGGACACUGGUCGGAUGUGAUCUGAGCUGGACUUAGAUCAUGACCAAGUAGACUUUAGGCUUUAGGAUCCAUGUGAGGCCCAAAAUUGAGACCGCGACGGAUGCCUAUAUAUAAUGGGGGUACCACACACAUAUUCGGUCGAUUGCUUCAGCAUCGUCAUUAGGGCGUUGCAUGUGUUAGAACCACCCACCUCCACUCGCCGCCGGUUGUGUGAUCGGACCUAGCAGUCCGCCACAUGACGUUCCUCCUGCACGUGCGAAUACCGUUAGAGGUGGUGCAGUUGCGCAGCUCCAACGAAGUUGUCCACGGGAUUCAGCGGACGACUGUUUGAGAGACCGGACGAGGAGGGGGCAACUCCUGGGACGCGCUAGCACCACUAUUCGUCCACUACAUUGCGCUCUAGUGGUAACAAUCUGUGAUUCCUCUCCUUAGCAUGUUCCCGGUUAUACAGUGCAUAGGAAUUUUUUUUAUAUUCCAGCCGAUGCACCUAGCGUAGCCCAACACUAUCCCUCCGUCCCUCCCUUCCUUCCUCUCUCUCUCUCUCUCCCUCUCUCUCUCUCAAACACUUAAUACAUGCAUACUUACAUUAGUUUGAUCAUGUUCAUGUGAUUUAAGGUUAAUUGAAUUUGUGGCACUAUCAUAUGAACAAUGAUGGUGCCAAAUCCAUGGCCUAAAUAAGUUGCAUCCAAAUGUACACGGAAAAUAGUUAGAUAAAAAGUAUGAACACAUCGUAGAACAUAUUACAUCGAGAAUCGAUUAUGGUUCUAUACAUAAAAGAACAAAAAUCUCGUGGUGCAAACUAAACAUACGUUUAUAUUAAUUAAAUGUAUGCACAUUUCGUUCCUGCAAAAGAAAUUUGUCCUAUUCGGAAGAAAAGAAAACAAGUUUUGAAAAAUCAUGUAGCAAUUACUAGAAAGAUUACCAGAGUUGAGAUACACAACUAUGGACGUAGCCAUUUGAGAUUAUCCUGUCACUGUCCACGGACCCGCCCGCAGAUGUAUAUAUGUAGUGCUCCAUUUGGCAAUUGGAGUUGCAGAUGCUCUAACUUCCUUCUUUUUUGUGAACCAUGUGAUGAACAAGCUCUCUCGAAACAGGCUUUCGCCCCGCUUUAUAGAUAAAGCACAACGGCCAGAAUCCAACCCACAUGUUCGAACACAAAAAAUAAAAAAGAGAGUCAGGUGGGGCAACAACACAGUCCAGCCCAAAAUAAAGAGAAGAAACAAAAAAUUCCCACACAGGGGCAAGCUAGGCAGCAAGCAAGGGAGAGGAGAGCCGUCGGGCGGCCGCCAUCAACGCGUCCAGGUAGAGCUGAAGUCGGCCUCGAUCCCGGGUCCUAACGAGCGGAUGCCAAUGCUGCAAGAAGGCAAGGAAUUUGAAGAACGAGUCAGAAGCACGCCGCGGAAACACCUUCUCAAUCAUCAUUUUAUUGUGAGUAGUCUAGAGGGUCCACAUCAUAGCCGCGAAGACCAACCAAAACAGUCGGCGUUUAUGACCGACCUGGGUGGCCCGCACCUGUAGAAAAUCUGCAAGGUCAGAGGCCUCCCACUCUGGUCCCAGAGCCUCGCGUACAAAGCAUCAUAGUGCAUGUGCCGCAACGCAUGAGAACAGAAUGUGAGAGCCAUUCUCCGGGACAUGGCACAGGGGACAUAUGCCGUUACCCGGACCAUGGCGUUUCAGCACCUCGGUCCCUGAAGGUAAACGGUCUCGGAGAAGCUGCCAAACAAAAAUCUUGAUCUUCAAGGGCAGCGGGGCCUUCUAGAGUGGGGAUAACCACGGGAGGACCAGCAUUCUGCACAGGGCCAGGUAUGCCGAACUAACAGAGAAUUCUCCCGAGGGAGAGAGGCUCCAAGAGAUACUAUCACUGACCGCCGAGGUCGAGAGGGGAAUCACUGCCAAGAGUAACUCCCAGUCCAGGACCUCAACAGGGCCAAGGGGUCGGCAGAAUGCAACAUGCCAUCCGUCUUCCAGAGCAGCAGCAGAAACCAGGACAGCAGGGUCGGCGCAGAUAGCAAAGAGCCUCGGGAAACGGAAUCGUAAAAGCUCUCCUUCCAACCAGGGAUCUAACCAAAACUGGGUCCCAGAUCCAUCGCCCACCGAGAUCCCCAAACUCAACCUAAUCUCGUGCUUAAUGCUCUGGAUAGACUUCCAGAACUGCGAACCAUUCGCGAGAGAGCAUGCCAAGAGUGGUCUGCCUCGAAGGUAUUUGGCCUUAAUCAAUUGAAGCCACAGACCCCCAUCUCCGUGCAGAAUCCGCCAAACCCAACGGAGCAUCAGGGCCACGUUCAUGAGGCGGGACGCAGGAAUGCCUAGGCCCCCUCAGUCUUUUGGCAAGCAGAUGUCUGCCCAUUUCACCAUGUGAUACUUGGGCCUACCAUUCCCUGCCUGCCAAAAGAAUCUAGCCAGUUCCUUGUCAAAGGCGUUGUGCACACCUUCGGGCAGGAUAUACAACCCCAUCAUAUACAUGGGGAGGCUAGCGAGGUUAGAGCUAAUGAGGAUGGAUUUGCUGCCUUUAGAAGUGAACCUGCCGCACCAGGGUUCCACACGGGAUGCUACUCAUCCCACAAGCGGAUCGAACCCGCUAACCAGAAUCCUGGACUCCGCCAGGGGCAUUCCCAAGUACGAGAUAGGGAAAGAAGCCAGCUUGAAGUUAAGGUUGUCUGAAUCCUGUGAUGCUCAGCCUCAGAGUAGCCGAGGACCACCACCUCACUCUUAUCAAAGUUAAUCUUAAGUCCAGACAUUUCCUCGAAGCAGAGCAAAAGGAACUUAAGAUUGGCAAUGUCCGAGUCCGAGCCUGAGACCAUGAUCAUGGUGUCGUCUGCAUAUUGGAGGUGUGACACCCCACCCCCCGGGAUGAGGUGACCAACCACCCCCUGGAUAUGCCCGGCUAAUCUCGCCUUAUCCAGGAUGCCGGCAAGGGUGUCCACGGCGAGAUUAAACAGCAGGGGGGAGAUAGGGUCCCCUUGCUUUACCCCCCUGGAAGCCCAAAAAAAGGGGCCUAGUUCACCAUUGAUAUUGAUGGCGGUGCUACCAGAUCGAACCAGCUGCAUAAUCCAGGUGCACCACCUCUCGUCAAAUCCGCGCCGCUGCAACACUAACCUCAAGAAGGACCAACCAAGACGGUCAUACGCCUUAUGGAAGUCCAAUUUGAGAAUGACCCCCUUCAAUCCCUUGGACGCCACCUCAUGGACAAUCUCGUGAAGGGCAAGAAUUCCGUCAUGAAUCUUCCUACCCUUCAGGAAUGCGGACUGAAGGGGGUGCGCAAUCCGUUCGGCCACAGGGGACAGACGAGUGGCGCAGACUUUAGCAAAAAUACGCGCCACCAUGUUAAUCACCGUAAUAGGCCUAAAUUGCCGAAUCUCUGCAGCCCCAAGUAGUUUGGGGAUGAGGGCAAUGACUCCAUAGUUAAUCCUGCCCAUGUCCAGAGUGCCUAUAUAGAAUUCAUGGAACAUGGGCAUGAUAACUGGGUGCACGGUCUCCCAGAAUUGCUGGAAAAAACCACCGGGAGGCCGUCUGGCCCCGGGGUCGAGCACACCUUCAUAGAAGCGAUUGUCUGGCCAACUUCCUCCGAGGAAAAUGGGAGAGUGAGUUCCGCAUUCUCCACGUCGGACACCUGAUCAGCUAGCGGCCAGAAGUCCUCACAGAGAGAGGAGCCUCCCCGCAGAUCGGCCGAGAAUAACUCCUUAUAGAAGGAGUAAAUAUGGGAUGAGAUGUCUUCCGGCUUUCCAGAACAGCAUCCCCAUCCCGGAGGAAAGGGAUGACACAUUUCCGCCUUCGGCCGUUGGCGAUGGCCUGAAAGUACGCGGUGUUUGCGUCCCCCUUGAGGAGCCAGUUCUGGCCACCUCGACGUUGCCAGAACAGUUCCUCGGAGCUGAAGAUGCCCAUGAGCUCAGCGUCGAGGGAUUAUGUCUGGAUCCAGUCAUCCGGGGACAGACCUGUACCGUCCGCCAAGUCAUCUAGGGUCUUAAUCUGGCCUAGCAAGGCCCCUUUACGGGCCCGGAGAUCAGCGCCCAAGUUAGCACCCCAGCCCUUCAUGGCCUGGCGCGCCAUCUUGGCACAGUGAUGCCAAAUGUCCACCGCACAAUAGACACGCGGCGGGGAGGCGGCAGCCCAAUGCCACUGGUCGCGGACCAACUCGCGGAAACCAGGCUGAUCCAACCAAAAAGUCUCAAAGCGAAAGCGCCGUGAUCUAGGGGGGAGCCUUCCCCCGACGAGAAGAGCAGGGGCGUAUGGUCUGAGCCAAUCUGCGUGAUGGCCCUAAGCCCGCACAGGAGGAACAUCACUUCCCACUGAGGCGACACAAAGACCCGGUCUAGAACACUCCGGACGGGGUCCGCCUGCUUGUUCCACCACGUGAACCUGGCCCCUACGCGAGCUAUCUCACGUAGCGCCAAGUCUGCAAUGCAGUCAUUAAAAAGACGCAUCUGGGGUCGAUCUACAUUCUGAGAGCUUUUAUCAGAAGCCCACCUAAUAAAUUAAAAAUCACCAGCCACCACUACAGGGGUGGUGCACCUAUCCACCUUAUUCUUUAGCUCGGCGAGGAAUUCUGCGGAGCGGGCAUGGUCUGCCGGACCAUAGACAAUAAUCACCUCCCAGCUGAGGUGGGUACGUCGGUCGGUGAUGGCCAUGCUCACAAUGAACUCCCCCCGGUCCAUGUCCUCCACCGAGAACGCCUCCUCCCGAACACCAAGCAGGAUUCCCCCAGAGUGGCCCGAUGCAGGGAGCCACUGCCAGGAGAACUGGUGGCGGGAGAGCCUCUGAAGCUCGAGCAUGCUAAAGUCCUACCGAAUCGUUUCUUGCAGCCCUACUAUGUCAAUCUCUUCUUGACGCAAAUACUCAACAAGUUGCCGCCGCCGGCCAGGGAGGCCGAAGCCCCUAAUGUUCCAACAUAGGAGCUUCAUUUAACAAUCUCGCCUGGAUUUCUAGGCCCCGCAAGCGGGGCCGAACUAGCCCGCCCGUCAACCUCGAGGCGGGGGAGCGCCUUAGAUGGACGACCCCGGUGUCCCCGAGAAGAGGGGACAUCGGAGGUCGCCGGGCCAGAGGAGGGAGCUCCGGGGCCUGACACUCGCUCCUCUCCACGUGUCUCAGUGGGGUUGAGACGGGUAGGCGGCCGCCCCCUGGGCUUCCGGACAGAGGGAAGCCCACCUAUGGGCGGCACAGGACCAACUGCAACCGCUGCCGGAGGUGCGCCACCAGCCCUGGUCUCUCUAUGACCAGGACCGGCGUGCACCGGGGGAGAGGGGGAGUUGGAGCGCGCGGCGAGACAGCGCGCUUCCGCUAACACCCCCUCAAGCCUCUCUUUCGCACAGAGGGCGGAGAUAUGCUCAAGAGGGGGACCUUUCUCCCCCCGAAACACAAUACUACUGUUCGCAGCCACAACAGCCAAAAGGGGCACCAAAUCGCUAGAGAGAACAGAAAACCAAGAACCAGAGCCAGAAGGGGGAGGAGAGGAGGCGUACCUGGGAACAGAUCGCGGGCCGCAGCACGCCGGGCCGCCAGCUCAGGCAUCGUCGGGACGCGGCCGUCCUGAAGGGUCCGGGACUGGCUGAUCCGAGCGCUCUGACGUGCCGACACGAUGGGGGAAGUGCCCUCCCGAGGCCGAGAGCGGGGCACAGGAGGGUACUCGGGCGCCCAACCAGGGUUGACGACCACCGGAGGGCGCGAAUCCGGGGACCCCAAGGUUGGGGAAGGGGGGAACUCGGAGAGCACGAGUAGCAAACCACCCCUGGCGAGCGCGGGGACGAAGCAGGGCAGACCUCCAUACCCACACUCACCUCCUCCUCAGCAGCGACCACCGGGAUAGGGGAAGCAGGGAGAGUGAUCUCCAUGCCUACCACCACCACCGGCGCCAAAGUACCCACCGUGGAGCCUCCUGCGAGCCCCGACUGGCCAACACCCGAGGGGGCGGGGGUGCGCCGACCGCCAGAUGGCUCGGGCGGAGCCCCGACCGUAUCAUCGUCCCCCUCAGAAGAAGGCCCCUCCUCCGACGAGCCCCCCUCCUUGUCAAGACCCCCGUCGGCAGGCUCCAGCCCAGGCGGGACCGGAUCUAGCUGAGCCGCUGAAGCCGGGGACUCGAGCUCGAAGGUCAGACGCCUGCCCUUGGACCCAAAGUAGAAGACCAAAGACAACCCGUCAAUCUCAGCAGGAGCCGGGCAGAGAAUCUCAAUGCGGGCAGGGCCAUCAUCCUCGAAAGAUGCCAGGUCGGCGGUGAUCAGUUUGCCCAUGGGUUUAGAGAUGGCUUUCAGAAUAUGACUGAGCUUGCCACCCCGCGGAGCCGCACUGCCCCCCCUUGGGAGGCCAUAGACGAGGACCCAAACCUUCUCCAAGGGAGGGACGGGGUCAGGCUCUGACAUGGCCGCCUGGACGCUGAUCGGGAGCUGGUUGAGGGGACACCGGAUAGGACCAUGCGAGCAGACCCGGAGUAGCUCGGCCGAGGGGAAGGGGACCGAGAAGACCAGGGGAGCCGUCUCAGUCACCUCCCAUGCGAACUCAGAGCCGCGAAAGUCGCCAAUGUAGGCCGCAAGCUCAUCCUGGAUGAGGUCAGACGAGAUCACCAGGCCAUCCGGGAUAGGCUGCUCGGGCUCCAAGGUGACCGUCGCUAGGUGAGGACGAGCAGCUACCUCCUCAAUCUCCGCAUCCACGAAGUAGAAGCUUCCCCGCUCAGUGCCAUACCCAAGAUAGGCAAGAAUCGUGGGGCACCGUGGGGGAGCCUCACACUCCGAGCGGUAGUGCCCGGUGCACCCGCAGUUGAUGCACAUCGUGUCCUCGCGGGAGCGCUGGCGGGUAGCACGAGCAGGGGGUCUAGAGCCUCAUGCUCAGGAGCCCCCUGAGCUCCUGGCGACGUCAGGCCGCCAGCACCGCCAACAGCCUUCUUCUUCUUCGACUUCAUCUUCUUCUUAACCGGGGUCGGGCGGGAAGCGGAGCAGCAGGCAGGGCAUCUGGGGACACGUGCCUAGAAGGCCCGUCGUCCCGGCACCAGUCCGCACCCGUCGCCCGAGAGGAGCGCCAGUCAGCCCGACGUCCAUCAUCACCGCGCCGCAUUGGCGGCCCGCCCCACCGCUCCCCCGGGCGGUGGUCCUGGCGAUCACGGGGCGGCCCGCCCCACCGCUCCCCAGGAAGGCGCCGCGGGGCGGUGAGCGAGGUCCCGAGCCGGGGGGUAGCGGGGCGCUGGCUCCUCACACGGCUGAGAUGCCGGAGUGGGGCGAGCAACCAACUCUGCACACAGAGUCGCUUCCCGGUCCAGGUCGGCCGCGCGGGCGGCCUCCAGGCGGCGACGGUCCCCCGGCGAACCCGGCAACGGCAGGCGGGGAUCCCUCUCCGGAUCACGAGGGGGAGGCGGACGGCGAAGGGAGGUCCCGGAGUAGUACUCCGGGGACUUCCCCGGCCGGGCAGACCCACCGCGCCCGGAACGGGACGAGGCAGCACCCCCUUCCAUGGCACGGUCACGGGCGGCGGGCAGCGCCUUCAACACCGCGCGAGCCUGGUCACGAGAGGUUGGCGUAGGGAGGAGCCCCUGCCCAGCCGGGAGAGGCCGCUUCGGUCGGGCCUGGCCGUUCCCGGCGUGGCGUGUCAUGAGCACGUCCCGGUAGGAGCGCCGUGGGGAGGGGAUGGGGAGCAGGUCCGGGCGCCGGGCAGCAGACGAGGGCGCGUCGCCGGCAGUGCAGGCGAGGACGGACGAGGUGGAGGGAGCUCUAUGGCUGACGGGACGGGGCGAGCGGGGCCUGGGGAACGGCCGGCGGGACGGGGCGAGCAGGGCCUGGGGAACGGCGGGGACGUCCGCGCCCGACGGGAGAGAGCGAGAGGAAAGGGAGCGGGAGCCCGACCGGAGAGAGCGAGAGAAACGGGAGCGGGACGGGGCGAGGCUGCGAGGUGGCGGUGGCGCACGCUCGGCAGGGUAAACCCUAUCCCCGAGCCGGUCCUCCCGACGCAGGCCUGGGCCGGGACGCGAGCAUGGGGGAGGCCCAGGUGGGCAUCGGCCCACUGCCGGUUAACCUUCUCCAGGACUCGGGAGACGCGGCGGGAGGCCCAGGCCAUCUCGCUAGCUGAGAUGGGCCCAGGCCCCGUUCGCAGCGGCCCAUGGGGAGAGCCGGCCCAUCCGUCCGCCAGCCGGCCAGGGGAGUUAGGGCAUGGGGGAGGGGACUGACGAGGCACUCGGGCACCUCCCGCUGCCGCCGGCACCGCCGCCGCCGCCACAGGAGGCAGGGCACCAGCGCCUGGUCGGGGCUCGCGGGGGCCCUCUCCGGCGACCGCCAUGGGGGACAACCCAGGCAGCAAACCGGCUCGGGCCAAGGAGGGGAGAGGGGGAACCACAGGGGGACAGUGCACCGGCGACCGCCGCCCGACCUCCUUCCCCGGCCGCCGGCGGGCAGGGCGCGCCGCAGCCAGGAACGAGCCGAGCAGCGGCGGUGCCAGGGACACCGGCAGCUCCAACCGGUCAUCACCAUCCGAAGAGGCCUCCAUGUCAUCGGGGUCGGGAUCGUCCGUCCAGUCCGCCCAACGUCGCGGCGACCGUUGGAAGCAGAGGGAGGGCGCCCCCGGCGGGGGAAGCGGGGGCAUCGCGCUCACGCAGCACGCCGGCCGACCGCCGUCAGCGGGCACCGCGCAGCUUCAGGUCUCGGCCCGCCGGAGAGGAGCCGCCCAUCGCUUCUUCUCUUCAGGAAUCUAGUCGCCGGCCCACAAGUGGGGUGAUGAACAAGCUAAUGCGAUUUAAAGUAAUCAUACCUCGUCCUAAGAAAUUAAAAGUGAAUUCAUACUGUGCAGCUAGAAAAAGAAUCAUAAAAGUAUACAAGCGCAUGUGAAAAGAAAAAGAUGAACAACUUGCCACUUCAUAUAGGUGAUCUAAUUAACUAAUUUAGGGUUCGAAUAACUUUGUUUCCCCACAAUCAUGACAAAGUGAACCUUUUGUUGAAAGCCGGAAUUCUGCAAUAAAGCUGCAAUGGUAGAUCUAUUUUUAUCAGGGAAUCUACCAUGCUGAGCUGCUGCACACAAGGCGUUCUCACUCACGAGUCGCAAAAAAGAGUUGGUGAGUUAUUAAAAAAGAAGACAAAGAGGACGAGUGAGUUGCACCAAAAUUAAAUACUUCCUUCAUUUCAAAAUAAAUGUCUCAAUUUUAUACUACCUCUAGUAUAAGAGCAUGGUUAAUAGUAUAGUCAACUGCUGGCUAUAAGCUAUCUUAUAGCCUAUCUUAUAGCUAGCUUGUACAAUAGUUAGCUAUAAAAGAGUACUACUUUUAUUCUAUAUGGCCCACCUUUCAUUUUCACAAAGCACCUACGAGCACGUGCUAGAGCUGGCUCUUUACGAAGAGCCCGCUUCCCUUCUCACUCCUAUUCUCUCUCAUCCAACUCAGCAAAAAUACAGUAUUUUAAUCCUUACAGCCUGCUGACUGUACCUUAUUGUACUUGCUCUAAAGUUGUACUCCCUCCGUUCCAAAAUAUAAGACCUUUUAGAGAUUUAUUAGAAGACUACAUACGAAGCAAAAUGAGUGAAUCUAUACUCUAAAAUAUGUCUAUGUACAUCCGUAUGUAGUUCAUAGUGCAAUCUUUAAAAUGUCUUAUAUUUAGGAACGGAGGGAGUAUUAAGUUUGAGGCGGUUAUAUUGAGACGGAGAGAGUACUAGAUAUACGUAAUCUGAAAUAGUGGAGUACCAAAAUUAUAGGCCUCUAUGAUUAGGAGGAUUUUCAUAAAACAUUUGGAAAGUUGUGAUACUUGAGAAUUUUUCCUUUAUCGCUUAUCUGAUUCGUAGAUUGACUCCUAUAGGAUUUUCUCCUAUGGAUUCCCUUUGACUGCACAUUUCAUGAAAAAAAACAUUAGUUUGCCAUGAUAAUUUUUCACCAGGAUGCACAAAAAAUGAACUAGUUCUGAAAGGUUUAUUGGCUUCAUUUGGAUUUACUUAGAAUCAGCUCAUAUUAGCAAUAAUUAAAGAUGGCCGAACGAUGGCGCCGUCUCCCUCCCGACCCGGGGCCGCAUGCAGCCCCUCUCCCUCUGCCCCCCUCCUCCUGUCGGUGCCCUCGGAUCUGGUCCGGGUGGUGUUGGCGGUGGCGGGAUCUCCAUUACCUGUGCGCGGACGUCCUUCCCGAGGCAGGGGAUCGACGGUGGUGCGGCUCGGCCUGCUGUGGUCCGACGACCUAGAGGUGGUGGCCGGCAGCCGACGUGGUGGUGGCGCUGCUCCUUGGCGGCGGGGUGGCCUAGCGGCACGGGGUGGCCGGCUGCACGACCCCGGGCCAGAUCAGGGCCCAUAAGGCCUCAUCUAGGUCCUAGGGGACUGGCUCUGGCAUGGACUUGCUGCCUCCUGUACAGGGAUGAGGAGGGGCGGGUUGAAAGGGGGGCCGCGAUGCCGACGGUGUGCUUUCUGCAGCGCGAUGGCAGGAGCUUUAUGGGUAUUUGUGGGGCCAUGAGCCUGGUUUGCUCCUGCCGAUGUGUCCGGUCGGUUACUGUCGUUGACGAUGGAAGUCGGACCCUCCCGCAGGCCGCCGGUGUUGCUUCCCCUAGUCCCGACUCUUCUUCUUCGAUGUGCAGGCCUCACUUCUCGGUGUCCUGGUGAGACAGUGUGGGUCGCUUCAAGAUUGUGCUUGCGCAGGGCGGUGGGUGGUAUGGUGGAGUCCUCCGGAACGCCCGUGGUGAUGCGUGGGGAUCGGGACGUACAAAUCCUUGUCGGCCUGUUCGACACCGACACGGUGACGCCUGAGGGUGUCGACGGACCUUCCUGGAGGGUGUCGGGUGCUACCCUUUCUUUGUCCUCGUUGUGUAUCGGGGGAAACCCUUGGCAGCAGCGCAGUCAUCGUCGUGUCCCUUCUUGGAGGUGUUGAUUGGUAUCGGCGCUUCGAAGGCUAGGAUCUUGGUGGAAGAUCUUCGAUGGGCGCAACGAUCGCGGGGCCUCUUCAUUUUUGUCGAUCCAUCAUUGUUGGCAUCUAUUCCUUUUGCAUUUUCUUUUUCCCUUCCUUUUGGACGUGAUUGUGAUGUCUCCGUCCCAGCACUUAUUGAUGGAUAUAUCGGGCAUUUGCUAUAUUAAUAUAGCGAGGCGAACGCGUGCUUCGAAGAAAGAUGGACGAACUUACCAACCAUAUUACUUGUGCUUAUUUAUUUUCUUCUGUUACAACGCACAAACAUAUUUGCUAUUUGAACUAAAUCACAUUGCCAAUUGCUCGUCUAUCAUGUCAAAUCAGAACCACGCAUCUAACCCUCCCAAGAUGUAGAUCGAUCGGUUUUACUCGGCAUUCAUUAUGGAUCGGAGGGAGUACUCCUAGAUCAUAUUCAAAAUUGCUCCACGCCACAAAUAAAACUGCACGGUACAUAUGGUAAAUCUGGGAAAGUGAUUUGCGUGGUAUGUGUGCCAUAAUCAACUGAAUUAUUGGACUAACCGCAUCAAGAUCGGAUCACAUCGAUCCUAUCCCCGUCGACGAGACUGUCCUCGAAUCAAAAUAUUUCUCCAAUGGACGCUCGUGUCCCACGCUCUGAAAGCGACGCCUUUUGUUUUGUCAGUUAAUUUUCACGUCAAGCUCACACCCACGCACGCACCGUGUAGGAUCCACGGCUCGACGCACCUCCCCUUCCCUCCCCUUCUCCCUAUUUAACGAGCUAGCCACCCCCACGCUUUUUGCACCUCAGCAAGCACCAACACACACACACACACAAGAAAUGGCGAUGGCUAGGACGACGACGCUCCUCCUCGUCGCCGCAGCUCUCCUCGCGGCCUCAUGCAGCGCAUGGGAGGUCAACAUCCGCAUGCCGACGUCGGCGGCGGACGUGGACGAGGCGGUGGUGGCGCCGCUGAUCCACGCGCUGCGGCCGCUGCUGGGCUCCGGCAAGCACGCCGGAGUGGCGUGCGACAGCUGGGUGCUGGGGGUGGAGGCGCACAACGUGCGGGACUGGAAGACGGUGCCCGCGAGCUGCGAGGGCUACGUCGGGCACUACAUGCUCGGCAGCCAUUUCCGCCGCGACUCCAAGGUCGUCAUCGACCAGGCCCUCGCCUACGUCGACUCCCUCAAGCUCGCCGGCAACGGCAAGGAGGUCUGGGUCUUCGACAUCGACGAGACCACCCUCUCCAACCUCCCCUACUACGCCAAGCACGGCUUCGGGUACGUACUUACACUCUUGUAUACAUUACAUAGACACUACUGAUUCUACGUGUAGUGCAUGCAUUAGACUUGCUAUUUACUGCAGGUACAUCCGACCGAGCAGGGACUUGCACUCAUCUUUUCACUAAGAUGAAGUGUAAAUAAUCUGACUAGAUAUAUAUUGUAAAAAAUCAACUCACUAGCUAGCUAAAAAAUACCAGCGAGAUCUGUAAUGAAUGAAAAUUGGAAAGCACAUAAGGAUAGAAAUAUUGGAAAUAAAAAGGAAUAUAAUCACUAAGUAGAAAAGUACUUUAAUCACAAGUGUUGGACACUUGGACAUCAUCAUUGCCAGUAGGACUCGGGCCAUAUGUCCCUAGUAUGAAUGGCCAACAAAACAAGAAGGAAACAUACUAUAUUUUGAGAUAGAGAUGUGAUGUUGAUGGGCAUGCGAAUGUGGUGGCCGGGUAGGACCGUAUAUGUUGUCCACUUGGCUACUUUAUGGAAAUGUUCUAAUUAUGUUAUGCUAGUCAACUCAUACUUUCUAAUUAUGUCAUACUUUUGUACACAUACACACUAUUGUAGUGCAUUAUACUCCCUCUCUAUCUAAAUACUUAGAGUUCGAAAGAACUAGGUGCAUUUCAGCAGGGGCUUGCACUGAUCUAUUCGUUCAGAUAAAAUAAAUAUCUUACUAGACCUCGUUCAAAUGAACUCACUAGCUAGAAAGCACUAGUAUCAUAAGAUUUCUAAUGAAUGAAAGUGGGAAAACAAAUGAGACUAGAAGUGGAAACAAGGAAUAUACUCACUAGCUAGAAAAGUAUUAAUUGGACGUGUUGGACACACUUAGGCAGCAUCAUUGCUGGUUACCUCAAAUCAGUCACAGAGACGGCCAUCAGGACCAUAAAUAUGUCCCGCCUAUGAAUGGUCAACAAAACAAGAAGGAAACAUAGUACUAUAGUUUGAGAAUAUGGUGGCCGGGGUAGGACCGUAUAUGUUCUCCACUUGGCUACUUUAUGGAAACGUUUAUUUCCAGCUGUCCUUAUCAGCCGAUACGUUCUAAUUAUGUUAUGCUAAUCGAUUGAUAUUUUCUGAUUAUGUUAUGCUAAACUUAGUUCAGAUGGAUAGUACUCCGAUACGUUUUCAUUAUUUUAUGCUAAUCUGAGUUUAGAUGGAUAUAAUUACUUAUUUUAGAAGAUGUGAGAGGUCAGAACAUCUUGUGCAUAGUUAGUAGUUACAUGCUACUCCCUCCGUUCCUAAAUACAAAUCUUUUAAAAGAUUUCACUAGUGGUCUACAUAUGAAGCAAAAUGAAUGAAUUUAUACUAUAAAAUAUGUUUAUAUACAUUCAUAUGUAUUACUCUAACCUCUAAAAAGAUUUAUAUUUAAGAAUGGAUGGAGUACAACUCUAUUCCUCUUUUCUCAAAUAGUUGAACACUAUUCCUCUUAGUUAAGAAGAUUCUCUUGAACCAAGAUGGAAACUAACUUGAAAUGUAGUAGAAGUCUAGGUGAUAUCUAGCCAACAUGAUGAUACCAGUUUAGUUCAAAACAUGAUUAACUAGCUCCGGAUAGCUUGCUUGUGUAUAUUUUGAAUGUGAUGAGGGAGCUAGUUCGUUGUGAUUUAAAAUAAACUGUACCUUGCCGUAAGAACUUUAAAGUGGAUCUACACUGGGCGGCUGGAAAAAGAUACAUAAAAGUAUAUAUAUGCGCAUCAAGGAAAAAAGAAAGAUCAAAAGCUUAUAACAGCAUGUCUAACUAAUCGAGCGGUUCAAAUAACUUUGUUUCAUCACAAUCAUGACAAAAUUAACCUUUUUUGUUGAAAGUCGGAACUCUGCAAUAAGGUUGCAAUGGUAGACCUAUUUUACCAAAGGAAUCAACAAAGCUGAGCUGCUGCGUACAAAGCUGUGCACGAUGAGAUUAAAUACUACAACUGCGUUUUCGGUCCAACAAAACAGUAGCGUGAUGAUGCCGGAGUGAACCUCGCUAUGUCACAUUCAUUGAUUUACUCCACUUGACCAACUUAAUUUACGACGUCCACAACUACGUACUGCUCAUGCACGUGCGUUACGUACAGAUACAGAGCAUCAUUGCGUUUACGUAUUGCCCAUCCCCUUGGCCAUUUGGCCACUUGGGCCAUAAUCUAGGUUGCCUAUGUUCCUUGGAUAUGCAUAAUUACUACUACUUCUUAGUAGCUGAUAUGAUUGAAUCUGCCAUUAAUCUAUCCUCGUAUACAUGUGCGUGCAGGGCUACACCGUUCAACGCGACCAGCUUCAACGCAUACGUGCUACAGGGGAGCGCGCCAGCCCUGCCGGAGACGAAGCGGCUGUACAACAAGCUGCGCUCGAUCGGCGUCAAGCCGGUGUUCCUCACCGGCCGGACUGAGGACCAGAGGGCCAUCACCGUCACCAACCUCCGCCGCCAGGGGAUCUCUGGGUGGAUGAACCUCUUGCUGAAGCAACCCGGGUUCAAGGGCUCUGCGGUGACCUACAAGUCCGGCGAGAGGCAGAAGCUGCAGGACGCCGGGUAUGUCAUCGUCGGUAACAUCGGCGACCAGUGGAGCGACAUCCUCGGCGCGCCAGAGGGUGCCCGCACCUUCAAGCUGCCCGACCCCAUGUACUACAUCGGCUAGGCCGCCUCUGGCUCGGCCGGGCAUGCUGCCAUUGAUUUCUCGAAUAAGCUCCAUGCUCUUAGUUAUAUGCAUGUUUCGUCAGAUAAUCAAUCCCCAAUUGUUGCUUGGUUCAUUUCCAUUGUUGAGAGCUUGAGAUCAAUUGCUACUAUGAAUUAGACGUGUAAGUGGAGAUGUUGCAUGCUGCUUAAUCAAUGGAUCUUUGUUAUGUUGUUUUUCUUUUUGCUCUAUUACAAGGAAUCCAUGGGCAUUAUUACUAUUUGAUAUCUUGUUCUUAAGUCUUAACUUGGAACUUAUAUUGCUGGUGGUAGAUUUUUCUGUACUAAAUUCUGCAUAUGGUGUAUUAAAUAUCAGGGACACAUAAUAUUGUCACACAUAUGGAAUCACUACUGCUAAAAUGACCAGUUCCUGAACCCAUCUGCUAUUGGGCCCAUUUUGGCCCGUCGGAGGAAGGGAUCAUCGUCGGUGGACAGGCAAAGAAGUGCUCGCAUAGACUCCUUCAAAAAAUGUGCCCUCAUAGACGACGGGUAUUUUCCACUGAUGUUGCGCAACUGGUGAUUGCAAUGUAGUUUGUGUCUUGCAUGUUGUAUGCAUAUGUAAUGAAUGUAACAUCUAAUAGUUAAUUAUGCAAGACAAAUAAAGCCCACCCUUUUCAGUAAGUUUAGAGCUAGAUUUGAGUUUGUCUUGGUCUCAUUUUUCUAAACAUACAAUCCUGGAGACAACUCGGUGAAGAAAUGAUGGUCCAAAUAGGUGUCUAACACGAAUCGUCAUCAAAGAAACCCUAUGGGAACCCACACUAUUCUAGUUACUUGGAUGAUUUGUAAUGAAAGAAAUAUAUGUGUCUUCCAAGUUAUUUUGACCAUGCCAAACAACAUCCCUGCUAAGAUAAAAAACGAUGUGGAGACUUGGAUAAAGGCCGGGCGAAGGAUCUGGGAAACAUUAUGCCAGGAGAGUAGUUCCGUUCUAUUAAUUUAUCCUUGGAUGACGUUUCGCGGAGAGAGGGGAGAGGGCGACCUGGGCGAUCUGGGAGCGUCGGGGGCCGCCGUGGGCAUCGUCGGAGAGGGGGAACAUCGGUACUCCUCCUCCGAUCUCGCAUCCCAGGCGCGGCGCCGGAGCCCGAUCUCGGCGGUGGAGGGACCUACUGUCCGUGUCCGAUGGAGAGUUGCGUACUCAGAGGCUGGUUAUUCGGAUCUGCGUGAGGGGCAGAUUGUUUUUCAUUCGGUUUCUCGUUGGAUGACACUACGGGAUGACGACGACGACAUCCUCGCCGGCUGCCAUCUCCAAGAGGAAGAUCUCAUCUGCGAAGGUGCGCAUUUCAUGGUGGAUAUCUUUUCUGUUACUUGUAUUUCUCCUUUCCUGCAGGUGAAUUCACAAGAACGGAUGCAGCCUGAUUUGGUGGACAUAUCUGACGAUGAUAAGAUCGCCUCACCAAGACUUCUCCCUCGAGUUGGGGGGAGGUUUUGGGUACUGGCUAAAGAUGAAGACGACGAGAACCACGACAUUGCCGUAGCACAGGAGGUCUCUGCUCCUUUCUGCGACCAGGUUUUCCAUCCGGCCACGAGGGAUUUUAUUCAUGCAUUGCCUGAUUCGAAGGUCGUUAAGGUAGUUCAACGCAAGGAGCGAUUGGCGAUUAAACCUUGGAGCGGUCCUCUGCCUAAGGUUCAUCUCGAACCAUUGCGGAUCUCGGACAUCAUACCUUGAGAGGCUUGGACUACUGUUUUGCCUAAGAGGAAGAACAAGGGUAAGAGCCGUAAAUUGCAGACGUCAGUCCCUGACAAGGUGCUGUCGUCCCGUGAUUCUCGCGAAUUACGUUUGAACGAGCCGAUGGCUGUUGUCGGGCCGUUGGGACCGGCGCUCGAGUUGGGCUUAAAAGAAACUGGGUAUAUGGCCCAGAUAGACUCCAAUCUAGCAAAACCUGCAAGUCCUACACCUACGGCUGCCCAGAUUUGCCUUGACGAGAAUCAUCAGGACUUGGUUUCUACGUCAAGUUUGCAUAUACCGAGUUCGGCUCUGCCUAGGGUUCCACGACGGCGUUUGCCUGGCUUCCCUUCGCUCGGGCCGGGUCGUGCAGUACGGGUUCCAGCGCUGCGGUGCAUGGCGGGGCGGGGAAACAAGCAGGCGCUGCCUCCCCCUCGACCACCGGCGGUUUCCCAGGCUGUGGGGCGGACUAGGCAGCAGCCCGUGAUGCCGCCAGGGCGCCAGACGGGCCAGGCUUCGGCUGCACCGGUUCCCGCUGCUGGUCAGGGUUUGCCCAACGCGGCUCGGGCGGAUACUAACAGGAUGCAGCCGAGAGGUCGAUGGGGGGAUGAUGGUGUUAAUGCAUAUGGUGAUGGACAGCACCGUGGAUCCUCUUCGUCUGGAGGAGGACGUGGCUAUGCCUGGCAGAGCAAUGGCAGCGCUGCUAAUGGGUUCGCCGGUCCUCCGGGACAGUUUGUGCCCCGGGUCUCGGGUCCUACUCACCCUAGGGAGGUGGAUAUAAGCAACAUUGGGGAGGGAGAGGUGGUGGCAGGAGAUUGAAGCCGCCCACGCCUCCAGUAGAGGUAGAUGCUGCCAAGACAACGGCGGGAGUACCUUCCAAUGCUCCUAAGGGGAAUACACUGCUGCCACCUGUUUCCGAGGAGGAUCCUUCCUUGGCUGACAAGGGAGUAUCGCUUGCGAAGGCAGAGGGGGGGGGAUAGGCCCUCCAAGUGGGCACGCAAAAAAGAAAAGAUGACAUGCUACCGUUGCAGUGAGACGGGUCAUUUUGUUUCCGAAUGCAGCGCGGAUCUGUGUGACUUUUGCUUAAAGCCUAAGCAUGGCUCAGCUAAGUGCCCCCUUACUGUUGGUCCUAUACAUGUCGUCACUUUAUAUGGGGUUUGCUGCCAAGAGUUGAUGUUCUUUGAAUCUCCCUCUGCUUCAACGUCGUUGCAUGUGCCAGACGCGGCCUAUACGGGGACGGUUACGGUGGCUCGUGGUAAUAUGUCAGCUGAGCAGGUGGUGCAACAGUUGAGGGAUCUUGUUUCAUCAAUGUUUCGGUGGGAACUGGUCCUUAUAGCAGAUAAUGUGUUCAAGGUUGUGUUCCCUACCAAGGAGGACCUAGCUAGACUGCUCAAGUUUGGUAUGUGUCGGGUUCCUAGUACUAGUUGUGUGCUAGAGUUCGAUGCUUGGAAGAAUGAGGAGCCAUAAGGUGUGCCACUUCCUCAGAUUUGGGUUCGUUUUUCAGGGGCCCCGUCAAAGGCUCUAAAUGACUUUCUGGUGACUUGGAGUUUGGGAUCUUUGAUAGGUAAGACUGAGAGGGUGGAUAUGCAAUAUACUCGGGCUAAAGGUGUUGCCAGGAUGAGGGUUAGUGUAAUUGAUAUUGCGCUAGUACCGGAUGAAGUUAUAUGGACUUAUGAUGGAAUGCGGUACACCUUGCAACUCGAGAUCGAGAGUCCGGAUAUGUUCGAGGAGGAUGGGACAGACAAAGAUACCGAUAUGGCUGACGGAGAUGAUGCUUCGGGUUCUAGGGAAUCUGAUAAGAAGGAUCAACAGCCAGUUAUUACAAAGAUGGUGGAUCAACCUACCUCAGGUUCUGCUACAGGGGCUGCUCAACCAGUGUCUCUUCCCUCGACGCAGCUUAGGUUCGGUUCCUUUGAACCAGCCUCGGCGCCAGAGAUUCGAGGGAGGGCUUCAGAGAAGUAUGAGCGGGAUCUGGUUCAUCUUAAGCCGCAAGGAAAGCAAGCAAAGUCAGGGUCAUUCAGUAUUAAAAAUCCUAAGGAAGCUUUGACCGUAGUUUCUCUUGGGGAAUAUUUUGUUGUCGCUAGGAAUGCUGAUACGGGCCGGUCUCAGCAACGUGAUGCAGUGCAGCCAGCAAGGCAUAUGUUGUCCGGGUUGGGUACUGUGCCGAGGGGUGCGCCGCCUGGGUCGCCUAGGCAGGGUUCGCUGCUGCUGUAGAGUCCAUCGCCAGCCACCCAGGGGGUUGCUGUUUCUCGGCCAGCCACCCCUGGGGCUGCUACCUUUUUGCCAGCCACACCGAGGGCAAUUACAGCGACUCCUCCUCCUGGCCUACUUCCGUCGUUGGAUGCUGCUGCGAGAUCCACCCCUGCUGCUGGUUUCAUGUCAGCCGAGAGAUCAACCCCUGUUGCUGCGGUUCCUAUCGCUACUAUGGCUGCAACCGGGGCAUCAUCUUUGCGGGUGUCAGGGCUGGAGGGUACUGGUCAGGGGCACCAUGGCGAGGUCGUUGCACCGCCGUCUGUUGAGCAGGUCAUAGCAUACGGAGGUAUUCAAAGUCCGCUGACUUCGGACAGGAGGUCCAGUCGGCGAAUUCAGAAUCAACCUGAUGCGGAUUAUUUACAGAUGGGACGUGCUAUGCGUGCGGCUAAAAUGAGAGAUGUCGAAACUGAGACAGGUAUGUCUUUCAGCAUUAACGAUUCUAUUCUUCAUUUUUCUCCUCAAGAUAUUCUAGAUAAGGCAGGUUCUAUUGGGGUUACAUUGGGGAACAAUGGCCGAGAAAUUUCGAAAUCUAUUAAUGAUCUAUUAGACUUAGAGGUCGAUAGAGCGUUAGACUUAGUACGAAAUUUAGCGGCAGUUAAACCAAUGCAAGAGUCUGAAGUUAACGAUCUAGGGGGACUGAAUUCUCUUUGUGAUAGUCUGGCCCCGUCAGUGGAUAUAGAGGAUGGUGCGGGCGAGGUUUUAGUUGGUCAAGGGAUGUGUGCCCAAUCUCAUAAGGCUGAGCCUCAAUUCUCUGGUUAUAUGGACCAGGAGUUGCUGGAAAAGCCGAAGCGUCCAUGGAGACGGAAAGUGUAUCCGGUCUCUGCGAUACGUAGAAGUGCUAGAUUUAAGAUUGCCAAAAAAAAUUAUGAUGAUUAAUGAGAGGAAUUUUUUGGAAUAGCAGAGGUCUUUGAGACUUGGCUAAAAGAAGAUUUCUAGCAGAGGCUACUUUAGAGCAUCACCUUGAUUUUAUCGCAGUGAUGGAGACAGGGAGGGAUAACUUUACGUCUCAUUUUUUAAGUUCUCUAUCAGCUGGGGUGGAUUUUGACUGGCACUGUCUCCCUCCAAGAGGAAGGUCCGGUGGGAUCUUACUUGGGGUCCGUUGUGACACUUUUCAAGUGCGGGAGGUGGUGUUUGGGGAGUUUGCAGUCAAAUUCAAGAUUAGAUCUAAGGAUGACGGGUUCCAAUGGGCUCUCGUUGCCGUCUAUGGCGUAGCACAGCCAGAUCUAAAGCCUGAUUUCCUAGCAGAUCUGGUCAGGAUUUGUGAUGACAAACUACCAUUGCUGGUAGGUGGAGAUUUUAAUAUUAUUAGGCGGGCUGAUGAAAAAAGUAGUGUUAAUUUUGAUGGAAGAUGGCCUUUCAUGUUUAACACAAUUAUUGAGAGCUUAGAUAUGAGGGAGACCGCUCUAUCAGGUAGGAAAUAUACCUGGGUGAAUGCUCUACAGAAUCAGACAUUUGAAAAGUUGGAUCGUGUCUUAACUAGUGUAGAGUGGGAGCAGAAGUUCCCUCUAGUAACUGUUAGAGAACUUCAACGCGCAAUCUCGGAUCAUACUCCUCUGUUGCUGGAUUCCGGUGAGGCUAGCCAUAUAGGAAACAAACAUGGAUUCUCUUUUGAAUCAAGUUGGUUCACAAGGGAGGGGUUCAUGGAUAUGGUCGAGAGGGAAUGGAAUACAGAGGUCAGGGGCGAAACCUCUAUAGAAAGAUGGCAGUAUAAGAUUAGACAUCUUAGACAGUAUUUGAGGGGCUGGUCUAAGAAUGUGUGUGGAAUAUAUAAAGAAGAGCAAGAUAAGCUCCUCAAACUUAUAGACAAUCUAGAUCGGAAGGCUGAGAGUUGUCUUCUGGAUGCUAACGAAAGGGAUCUCAAAUUCGAGGCCGGACAGCGCUUGCGUAUUCUCCUAAGAGAGGAGGAAAUGAAAUGGGCGCUUGAGCCAAAGUGAAGGCCAUAGUUCUUGGAGACAAUAACACUAAAUUUUUCCACUUGAUUGCAAAUGGCAAGCAUAGGAAAAAGAAAAUAGUGCAGCUUGAGCAAGAUGAGGGUACAAUACUAGGUCAUGAGAAUCUAAAAUUGUACAUCUCUAACUACUACAAACAUUUAUUUGGUGCUCCUGAGCAUAGCUUUGUGACUAUGGAUGAGCAAAAAGUGGCGGAUAUUCCUCAAGUUGGAGAGGCUGACAAUGAGAUUUUAUCCGCUCCUUUCUCAGAGAAAGAGGUGUUUGACGCGAUAGGGAAUAUGAAGAAUGGAAAAGCUCCCGGUCCAGAUGGGUUUCCGGCGGAGUUUUACAAGCACUGUUGGCAUAUUAUUAAGAAUGAUCUUAUGUCAAUGUUUGCUGAUCUUUUUAGUGGUCACCUUCAACUCUUCCAUUUGAAUUUUGGUACUAUUACACUCUUACCAAAGAAGGAAGGGGCCACGCGGAUUGAACAGUUUCGUCCGAUCUGUUUGUUGAAUGUUAGCUUCAAGAUUUUCACAAAGGUGGGAACAGAUAGGUUGACUAAGAUGGCCCAUUCGGUGGUACAAUCUACGCAAACAGCUUUUAUGCCAGGACGGAAUAUCCUUGAAGGAGUCGUUGUCUUGCAUGAAACUCUUCAUGAAAUGCACUCGAAGAAACUAGAUGGGGUUAUCUUUAAAGUGGAUUUCGAAAAAGCUUACGAUAAAGUCAAAUGGUCGUUUCUCCAGCAAACCCUACGUAUGAAGGGUUUCGAUGAGCUGUGGCGUAGGCACGUCGAUUGUUUUAUAAAGAAGGGAAGUGUGGGUGUCAAAGUGAAUGAUGAUGUGGGUCAUUUUUUCCAGACACUAAAGGGUCUCCGCCAAGGAGAUCCAAUGUCUCCCAUUUUAUUUAACAUUGUUGCUGAUAUGUUGGCACUGCUGAUUAAGCGGGCCAAUGAGAAGGACCUUGUAAGGGGCUUGAUCCCUCAUCUUGUUGAGGGGGGGAGUCUCCAUUUUACAAUAUGUGGAUGACACGAUUCUUUUUUUGGAGCAUGAUCUCAGUAAAGCCAGGAACCUCAAACUUAUCCUAUGCUUAUUUGAACAGCUAUUAGGGCUGAAGAUAAAUUUUCAUAAAAGUGAAUUGUUUUGCUUUGGAAAGGCCAAGGAUGAGCAGCUCACGUAUAAUCAAUUGUUUGGUUGUGCUAGCGGGAGUUUACCUUUUACUUAUUUAGGGAUCCCAAUUCAUCACAGAAAAUUAUCAAAUAAGGAUUGGAAAUGUAUCGAGGACCGUUUCGAAAAAAGUUGAGCUGUUGGAAGGGCGAGCUCUUAUCGUAUGGAGGAAGGUUGAUACUGGUUAAUUCAGUAUUAACAAGUAUGCCUAUGUUUCUCCUAUCCUUCUUUGAAGUACCUGUUGGGGUACGGAAAAGGUUGGAUUUCAAUCGAUCACGGUUUUUCUGGCAAAGUGAUGAGAUCAAGACUAAAUACAGACUCUCGAGAUGGGACAUCAUGUGUAGACCUAAGGAUCAAGGAGGUUUAGGGAUUGAAAAUUUAGAGAUUAAAAAUAAAUGUCUACUCAAUAAAUGGCUGUCUAGAUUAUCUAUGGAGACAAAGGGGUUGUGGGUACAAAUUCUGACGAAUAAAUACCUACAAAACAAGACUUUGGCGCAGGUUACAUUGAGACCAACUGAUUCACCGUUCUGGAAGGGGGUCAUGCGGUCUAAGAAUGCUUUUUUUCUCAGGUCUAAGUUUGUUAUUGGCAAUGGCCAAUCUACUAGAUUUUGGGAGGAUACUUGGUUGGGGGAGACGCCUUUAGCCAUGCAGUAUCCGCAACUCUACCAUAUUACACAAAGGCGUCAGGCGACUGUUGCGUCAAUUUUGCGCCAGGUUCCUCUAAAUAUUCAGUUAUGUAGAGCCUUAAUAGGUAACACAUGGUCAAGCUGGCUGCAUCUAGUGAGAAGGUUGUUGGAUAUUACCCUUACUGAGAACCCUGAUAGUGUUCGUUGGAAGUUGACCACUGAUGGAGUUUUCUCGGUAAAAUCUAUGUAUUUAGAUCUCAUAGAUUCUGUGUCCAUCCCGAAGUCCUUACAUAUUUGGAAGGUCAAAGUUCCACUUAGAAUUAAGAUCUUCAUGUGGUUUGUUCGCAAGGGGGUUAUUCUAACUAAGGAUAAUUUGGUCAAACGUAAAUGAAAAGGUAAUACUAGAUGCAGUUUUUGUGAGAACGAUGAAACAAUUAAACACCUCUUUCUGGACUGUCCUAUGGCUAAACUUCUAUGGCGAACACUUCUUAUUACUUUCAACAUUAAGCCACCCAAUAGUUUAAACACGUCAUUUGGGACGUGGUUAAGAGGGGUCGAUGAUAUAACUGCUAGCCUGAUCCGAGUAGGAUCAUGUGCACUUCUGUGGGCUACAUGAAACUGUAGAAAUGACUUGGUAUUUAACAAACAUCAACAUAUUCACUUUUUGCAGGUCAUUUUCAGGGUUAUUGCCUUGAUCCGCACAUGAUCAUUACUCACUCCUGUGGAAGCCAGGGAGCCUAUGGUUACUGGGUGUGUCCGAUGGAAGAUGGUAGCUCAGGUUAUCUUCAACCGUUUUGGAUGACGGCAUAUUAAUAGGAUAGGUGUUUAGUCAUCUAGGCUUAUUUCAAUGCCUCCCGGUUGUGGCGACGACGCCGUGUAUCUUUUUGUUAUUUUCUUCAUUUACUUAUCUGAAGACUCUUUGUACUUUUCGAGGAUUUGGUUUUGAAAUAAUAUAUGGCCGUAUGCAUCCUUCGAUGCCGAGGCCGGGGCUUUGCCUCCUUUUCAAAACAAAAAAAUUUAAUUUAUCCUUUCAUUGUUAACCCCUUUUUUGGACUGCAGUUAUUCUAACUCUCUUUUAAGUAAUGUAAUAAGGCAUAUCUUUUUCCUCCAUUUCGAGACAAAGUUCGGACCUAGCACAACUGUAACAUCCGCUCUACAUCGACUCACUCUAGAGAGACUAGUCUUGGCACCUUUUGCAGAACAUGAUUAGUGUCCUGACAUGGAGUAUUUUAGCAUAUAAUGGUCAACUCUCAAGCACAUAUCACUUCAAAUUGCAUUGCUGAAAAAGAACAUACACUUGCACGUUUUUCGAACUUUCACGCAACAAUAAAGUAACUCAAUGAAAUAUUAUGAUACACUCAAAAACAAUAAUAAGCACUCAACAAAAUAUCAACAGUUUUAUUUUGAUGGACGUAGUAGGACUGUAUCUGUUGUCCACUUGGCUACUUUAUCAACAUAUUUAUUUCAACCACCCUGAUCAACAGACAAUAUCUAAGUAUGUUAUGCUAAUUGAGUUAAAAUGGAUAAUCCUUAUUUUAUAAGAUGCAAGGAGUCGAAACAUAUUGUGAUUAGUUGCAUGCUACUAGCCUACUACAACACUAUUGAUCUUAGUUAAGAAGAUUAUCUUGUGAUUAGACGAAGUCUAGAUCAUCUAGCCAAGUAUGAAAAUAUUUAAAGGAGCGUGUGGAUACCUUUUCUUCUUUAAUAAAGGAAAAAAAAUUGUGUAUAUAUGCGAGUCUGAAAACAAAGAAAAGAAAGAUGGACAGCUUAUCACAGCUUCACAUAUGUCAUCUACUCCCUGCGUUCCUAAAUAUAAGUCUUUUAAAAGAUUUUACUAAAAGACUAUAUAUGAAGCAAAAUGAAUGAAUCUACAUUUUAAAUAUAUCUAUAUACAUUCUUUAGAAAGACUUAUAUUUAGGAACGGAGGGAGUAAUAGCUAAUUGAGGGGUUCAAAUAACUUUGUUUCGCAAUAAUGAUUGAAAAUCAACCUUUUGUUGAAAUCCGAAACUCUACGUACGGUAGACCUAUUUUUAUCAAGGGAAUCAACAAAGAUGAUCUGCUACAUAAAAAUGCGCGUAUGGUCACUCACGAGCCACAAGGACGAUGCUUGAGUAGUGAUGAGUGAGGUGCACGAUGAGAUUAAAUAUUCCAACUAGUGUAACCGAAAAGUAUAGUAAGUUAGACAUCGUUCUUGGUCCACGAAAAUAGUGGCGUGAUCGAUGACAUCUUGAUGCCGGCCGGAGACUAGGAUCUGGCUGUUUGAUAGGGUACCAAUUAAUUUAUACCCUCCACUUGGCCAACUUACUUCAUCACCAGUCGAUAACUGUAUACGCAUUGUUCCAUAUUCAUGCAUGCACGUGCUUACAGCCCAAGAGCAUUGGGUUUAGCUGGUGCUGUCUGAUCCGCUUGAACUCGUAGAAAAAGGGCCUUUGGCCUGGACCCUUUAGUCCCAGCCUGUCUUUCGGUCGGAACUAAAAGCCGGCCACGUCAUCCCAAAUUAUCAGUUUAACCCGCUUGGCCACCAUUUAUAUCAUUAAAAAACCUCAAAUUUGUAGCGGGGUGAGUUUACAUGUUACCUUGGAUCGCCAUUGUUUUUUUGGCCCUGCGUGUAACGACGAUGGCCGGAGUAGGCUCGUGCAGAUUAGUCCUCCUCUUGGUAAUUAAGGAGUAUAUAUCCACUAGCUAGUGUCUGACAUUCAGAACCUCCACUCGAUGGCCAGAGUAUUUGAUAUUUAUACUCUCCUCUUGGUAAUUAAGGAGUGCAUAUCCACUAGCUAGUGAUCUAAACGUUUCUAUAUUAAUUUAUGGAGGAAAUAUUUAAUAAGGUUAUUACCCAACAUUACAGGCGCCAUCCGAUAAACCAUAUCACUUUUUUUUGCGAGGACCUAAACCAUAUUCAAAAUGCAGAAUUACUGGCACGUGGUGUAGUUUACGGAUCGAGCCUCCUCCUUCGUGGGCACCAUAGUAGUCAUGCAAGACAUCGUAGUUAUAUAGUGGUCAAGUGUGAGUUAUGAUUGCUUGUAUAUUUUUUAUGCGAUUUAUGAGUCAAUAAAAGUGCUUUUAUUGAGAAAUGUAUCUAUAUUGAUUAUUGUUGAACCUGCCAUUAAUGUAACUAUUUACACAUGUGCGGGGCCAUGCCGUCCAACACGAGGAGCUUCAAAGCGUAUGUGUGGGAGGGGAGUGCGUCGAUGCUGCAAUGACGAACUGCUCUUGGUCGGCGUCCAGCCGGUGUUCCUCACCGGCCAGACCGAGGACCAUAGGGACAUCAUCGUCACCAACCUCCACCGCCCGAGUUCAAGGGCUCCACGGUAACCUACAAGUCUCAUGAGAGGCAGAAGUUGCCGACGACCUGGUAUGUCAUCGUGGGCACCAUUGAUGACCAAGGGAACGACAUCCUGGGGGUAUCCGGUGGGGGGCACACCUUCAAGUUGCCCGACCACAACGGCUAGGCUACAUAGAGAUCGGCCAUGCCUUGAUUGAUUUCUUGAGUAAGCUCUAUGCUUUCAAUUGUAUGCAUGUUUAGUAAACAAUCCCUCCCUAGUUGUUGCUUUGUUCAUUUUCAUUGUCGAGAACUUGAGAUCAAUAGUUAGUAUUUAUAAGACGUGUUACGCUAAAAGUUGCAUGCAACAUAAUCAAUGGUUUGUUGGUUUUAUUGUUUCUCUCUAUUACGAGAUCCAUGGGCUAUAUUGUUGUUUGAUGUAUUGUAAUUCUUAACUUGGAUCUGUAAUAUUGAUCAUGGUGUACUUUUUAACUAAAGAUUGUUGAUGGUGGAAUUAGUAUGAAAGGUACAUAGUGCUGUCACACAUAGGGUGUCACUACUCCCAUUUUGGCCCAACAGAAGGAAGGGUCAUCAUUUACGGGUCACCAGACUGCGUUAGUAUAGAGGCAACAAGGUAUUUUAACCAUGCCGAACAUCAUUAUUGUGAAGAUUAAAAAUGAGGCGGCAACUUGGGUCAAUUUUUGGGGUGGAGGAUUUGAGAAACACUAUGCCCCGUGAGAAACUCCGCUAUAUUAUUUAAGUCUUUCGUUUUUAGCCUCUCUUUUUUCGGCAGCGGUUCUUCCAACUCUCCUAGUAAAUAGAAAGGGGGAAAGAAAAUCUUUUGCCUCCAUUUUGAAAAAGAAAAGGUUGAGACUAACAUCCCUUUCCAUCGACCCACUCUAGAGAGUGUCUCCAACCUUGUUUUCUUGGCCCUUUUGCAUGACAUGAGUAGUGUCCUAACAUGGACUCCUUGAUGUGUAACGCUCAGCUCUCCUGACCAAAUCGCUUAGAAUUACAUCACACGCAAAAGUUAUAUACUUUUGCAUGUUUUUCGCACGUCAAUGCAACAUUAAAAAUUUCAAUGAAACAUUAUGAUACAUUUUGAAACAAAAAAGAACUCAGCAAAACAUACUGUGGAAAUAGAAAAUUUUUGCCAACAACUAAAAAAACGCAGUCAUCAAUUUAGCCGCAACAAAAAUAAGAUGUUAGAAGUCAGAACAUCUUGUGCAUGAUUAUAUGCUAUAGGACUAUUCAUUAGAGAAACUAGUUGGGUAAAACUUUCUCCUUUUUCCGAAUCUCCUUUUUAAUGUGGGGAAAAAGCUAAUGCAUUGUGGUUUAAAGUAAAUAUUACAUCGGCCUGGGAAAUUUAAAAUGAAUCUAGACUGGACGGCUACAAAGAGAACCAUAAAAGUAUUCAAGCACGUCAGAAGAAAAGGAAAGAUAAAAUUCAAAAAAGAAAAGAGAAAAGGAAAGAUGAACAACCUAUCACUUGCCUCAUAUCUUUACCUAAUAAUAAAGAGGCUAUUGCUUCCGUCGAAAAACCCACCGCUGCCGUUUUUUAAAAAGCCCCCUGUCUUUUAGGUAAUUAAACCCGCAGUACCUUUUUAUGUGUUACGAACAUGAAAACGUUUCAUUUUUGCAGGGAGCCUCCCAUGGCAUUGGAUAAGAGAAACGCAUCUGGGCUGACGAAAACGCACGAGAGGGCUAUCGCUUCUGCCCUCAUAAUCCCACAUCGAUACUUCACAGAUAAUUUCAUCACUUUAUAUACAUGCGCCUUGGUGAUUUUACAAGAGGCAACGGAAAUCAAGAGAGGAACAAAUUCGAGAAGAAGAAAUUGAGAUGACGCAAACAGAGGUGGAGCUGCGAGACAGAGGGGGCUCGGGGCGAAGGAAAGGGUCGGGCGCCGGCGAUGCAUACGUGGAGGUGGGGGCGUCGGGGUUAGAGGAUUCAGGCAACCGGCGGGGUAAGUCUUGCCGGAGACUGGCCCCAUAGGCCGACCUCGCAGCAGCACACCAUGGGAGGUGGUCGCGAGGUGCAGAGGUGGGAGGCGGUGGAGGAGCGGAGGAGGAGGCGAGUGCGGGCGCCAUUGGAAGGGGGGAGUCGGGGAGAUUGGGGAUCCUGUGGGGCUCUCUCCCCUAGCGGCGCGAGGUGGAGGAGAGGAGGGGGGCUGGGGAUCGGGCUAGGUUAGGGGAUUUAGGAGUGGGUAAGGCUAUGCCUUGGCACGCCUAAUGGGUUGUGCACUACUACUCAUCUCUCUUUCCUUUAAUUUCUUUAUCUAAAUUCUUUAAUUAAAAAUAUGUGGUAUUAUUUUUUUUCCGUUGCAACGCACGGGUCCUUUUGCUAGUAUCAUCUAACAAAUCGAGGGGUUCGCAUAGAUCUGCUUCGCCACAUAAUAAUAUAAUCAUGACAAAAGGCUACCUUCUGGUGAAAGCAGAAGCUCUGCAAUAAAGCUGCAAUCGUAGACCUAUUUUAUGAAGGGAACCAACAAAUCGAGCUGCACAAUCCAAUUAAAUACUAAUUCCUCCGUUCCUAAAUAUAAGAUUUUUUAAAGAUUAUAUUAUGAACUACAUAAAAAGAAAAAUGAAUGAAUCUAUAUUUUAAAAUAUGUUUAUAUACAUUUGUAUGUAGUUCAUAGUUAAAUCUAUAAAAGGUCUUAUAUUUAAAAACAGAGGGAGUAUAAGUACUGAGUAAGUUUGACAUUUGUUCUUGGUCCAACAAAACAGUCGUGUGACCCAUGACGAAGCGGCGAUGCCGGAGUUGGAUCUCACUGUCUGAUAUUUAUCGAUUUGUGCCCUCCACUUGGCCAGCUUAAUUGAUCACCAGUCUCUUUCAUUGACAAUUAGUGCUGCUCAUACACGUGCGUUGCAUACAGAUGAUAUAUUGGGUUUAGGUACGGCUGUCUGAUCCACUUGGCCACCUUCUCACUAGAAAGCUCAAGUUUGCAGCGACGAGUUUGCAUGUUACUACAUUGGAUCGCCGUUGUUUAGCCCUGCGUGUGUGAUGAGGGGCGGAGACCCGGAGCAGACCCGUGCAGAUUCGUAUUCCCUUGGUUAUGUUUUAUUCUGUAUAUUAGGUUUGUAUAAUGUAAAACCUAAAUUUGCUUCGCCACAUAAUAUAAAAUAAUAUAAUCAUGACAAAGGCUACCUUCUGGUGAAAGCAGAAGCUCUGCAAUCAAGCUGCAAUCGUAGACCUAUUUUAUGGAGGGAACCAACAAAUCGAGCUGCACAAUCAAAUUAAAUACUACUCCCUCCCUUUUUAAAUAUAAAAACUUUUAAAAAUUAUACUAUGAACUAUAUAAGAAACGGAAUGAGUGAAUCAAUACUCUAAAAUACUCCCUCCGUUCUAAAAUAGGUGUCUUAACCUUAAUACAAUUUUGUACUAGAUCUAGUACAAAGUUGAGACAAUUAUUUUAAGACAGAGAGAGUAUGUCUAUAUAUAUUUAUAUGUAGUUUAUGUUGGCUUUGGAUCCGUAGAUUAAUUCACCCAGUAGCUACCACAUACGUGCAAGCUAGCCUCUAAGCUAGCAAGCAGGCACACAAGUGGAUGGAUAUCCAAUUCGUAGAAAUAGAACGACGUACGACGAGCUAGCUAACUGAUUCGAUCGUCUUGACUGCUCGGAAUGUAACUCGUUGAAAAACUGAUCGAUGGAUUGCUAACAGGCUCGUAUCGAGCCUGGUACUUUUUUAUUGCGUUUUGAUCUCUGGUGUUACAAGCAACAUCUCUAGGAUGCCUUUUAUACACAUCCACAAGGAACUAUGAAAAUAGACUAGGACUAGGUAUCCUAAUACUACUAGAACUCGGUUUGAUUUUCUUUCCUAAUCCUAUGUGUACAAGGCAACGUGAUUAACUCACAUUCACCCCCUAAUCACGAUGUCCUUACUUCCGACCUGGGUCCCAAACACGAUUGCUGCUUCUCAUAAAUGUUAUCAUCGACAUGGCCUUUGUCGUCCCUUGCAACAUUUUAUGGACCGUCUUUACUGUCGUCGGCUCGUCCGUAGCUCGAUGACAACACUCCUUUUUGGUCGUGUCUUCAAUCUUCAUCUCUUCUUCGGUGCUUUGUAGACUGUCCUUCGGAUCAUCGAGGGUACAUCUUUUGAACCUGAGCGUGACCAUACUUUGGUCUAACUUUGAAUUUCAAGCUCUUGGCGCUUGCAUCAGCCCGUAACUUUGAACCACAAGGAAGAAGUACUUCUUUCCUCCGUGAGUUGCUGGGGUGAUAGGGCCACAUAGAUCACCAUGGAGCAGCUAGAGUGCAUCACUUGCACGAUAGGUAGACUGAGCAGGGAACGGCCUGCGGUGCUGUUUUCCAACCAAGCACCCGUCACAUACUCGAUCAACAUGGUCGAUAACUGGCAUCCCGGAUACCAUCUCCAUCUUUGACAUCUUCUUCAAGGCGUAGAAGUUAACAUGUCCGAAUCAUCAUCACUCUUGGCGAGCCAACACUCCAGUUGAGAUUGAUCAAGGUUGAGGAUAUAGAGCCUGUUCCGUGUGCGAGUAACACGAGCUAGCACGUUUCGGAGGUUGUCGAAGAUCGUCAUUACUCCGUUAUCGAUACCCACCUUGCAUCCAUUCUCGUCAAGCUUCCCAAUAAAGAUGAUGUUGUUGUGAAGCCGUGGGAUGUAGUACACUCCGGUAAGUAUGCGAUGUUCGCCUGUGAGACCCUCGAAGAGGACAGAUCCUUGCCCACAAAUCUCCACAUUUGAACCAUCACCGAACUUGACUGAGCCUUCAACAUCGUAUUCCAGCUCGAGGAAUUUCUCCUUGCACCCCGUCAUGUGGUUACUGGCACCCGUGUCGAGAUACCACAACACAUUCUGAUCACCAGCUAACUUCGGUGUCACUUUGUUUUCAUGAAGUAGCACCUUCCGGCUUGGUUUCACAACCACCGUUUCAGCGAGAUCACAAACUUCGGCCAUCAGAAGACCUGGACCUUCGUCUUCCUCCUUUGCCAAAUUUGCCUUGAUCUCUCGCUUGUCAUGCUCCGGACAAUCCUUUGCAAAGUGACCCAUCUCGUUGCAGUUAUAGCACUUGACCUCGGACAUAUCCAAGUUCCGUUGCUUCCGCCCUUUAGAUCGGUCAGCCUUACCACGACCUUGUAGCUUGCCUUUUCCUUUGCCUUCUCCGGUUUGUCCGCCGCGCGUUGUGCUGCUUGAGCCUUCGUUGCCAUCACACCUUCCUUUGCUACUUGGGGACUCCCAAUCUGCACGUGAGUACAUGAGUUGGUCACUACCUCCUCCGUUGCCUUCCCGACAACUACGAGAAUUCUCUUCCCACGUCCGCAGGCGUCCGAUCGCCUCCGUUAUGGUCAUGUCGUCGAUGUCGUAAAGCUGCUCGAGCGUGCCAAUGAUGUACGUGAAUUUUUUAGUCACCGAACUGAAAAAUUUCUCCACAAUCUCGGUCUCCUCGAGCUUUGCACCAAGCGCGCGGAUCUCUCCCACCAAAGUAGUAAGACGCAUGGCAUAGUCGUUCACCGAUUCAGUUUUCUCCAUCUGCAACUUGUGAAAUUGGCGCUUCAGCACUUGUGCCCGAGCCUUGGUGACGCGAUCUUCUCCGAUCCUCAUCUCGUUGAGUGCGUUCCACGCCUCUCUUGCCGUCUCGAACUCCACCAAUGUCAUCAGCACGGAAUCCGGCACAGACUGGGCUAUGGCGGCCAUGGCACCUUCGUCGCGCUCCUCGUCGACGUCGUCGUCCGUGAUGGCCUCCCACACUCGAAGAGAUCGGAGAAUAAUCUUCAUCUUCACCGCCCACACGUCAUAGUUGGCAUCGGUGAGCAUCGGGUACUGGAUGGGGAUGUUGCGAUGCGCCUGGACGUUGGCGCUGCUCGUUCCUCCAUCACUCGUUGCUGACUUGUCGUCCUUCUUCACCUUGUCGUCGUUCUUGUUCGCCUUGGCACCGCCUUUGCCGGAUUUGACCGACUCAGCGUCGCUGUCCGUCAUCGUAGAUCGUAGAUCGUCGAGGCUCUGAUACCAAUUGUUGGCUCUGGAUCUGUAGAUCAAUUCACCCAGCAGCUACCACGUACGUGCAAGCUAGCCUCUAAGCUAGCAAGCAGGCACACAGGUGGAUGGAUAUCCAAUAGAACGACGACGAGCUAGCUGACUGAUUCGAUCGUCUUGACUGCUUGGAACGUAACUCGGUGAAAAACUGAUCGAUGGAUUGCUAACAGGCUCGUAUCGAGCCUGGUACUUUUUGUAUUGCGUUUUGAUCUCUGGUGUUAUAAGCAACAUCCCUAGGGUGUCUUUUAUACACAUCCACAAGGGACUAUGAAAAUAGACUAGGACUAGGUAUCCUAAUACUACUAGGACUCGGUUUGACUAUCUUUCUUAAUCCUAUGUGUACAAGGCAACGUGAUUAACUCACAGUUCAUAGUUGAAUCUUUAAAAGGGCUUAUAUUUAAGAACGAAGGGAGUAUAAGUAGUGAGUAAGUUUGGGACACGCCGUUUUGGCUCCCGGACUCAGAUGAGCCCGAGCGUAAACAGUACGCCAGUUUGGGGUGCAAAAAAUGUUCCAAAAAAUCAAAAAAAAUUGUGAUGCAAGAUGCUCCUAUGUGUGAACUCUCUGUAAAAUUUUGUGAAGUUUGGACAUACGAGGAGCUCACUGCAAAAAAGACGAAAUUCAGAUGUGUGAGAAACUUUUGAAAAUCACACUAUUCAUGCCUGAUUUUGUCUUUUUUGCUGCAAACUCUUCAAAUGUCCAAACUUCAUAAAAUUUUACAGAGUUCACACAUCGAAGCAUCUUGCAUCAUAAAAAAAUAUUUUUUUUAAACUUUUUUGUAUUCCAAACCGUUGUACUGUUCACCGGGCUCAUACGAGCCCGGGCUCACAGAUGGAUUACCGGUAAGUUUGACAUUUGUUCUUGGUCCAACAAAACAAUGGUGUGAUCGAUGACCAAGCGGCGAUGCCGGAGUUGGAUCUCGCUGUGUGAUAUUUAUCGAUUUGUGCCCUCCACUUGGCCAGCUUAAUUGAUCGCCAGUCUCCUUCAUUGACAAUUAGUGCUGCUCAUACACAUGCGUUGCAUACAAAUGAUAUAUUGGGUUUAGGUACGGCUGUCUGAUCCACCUGGCCACCUUCUCACUAGAAAAGCUCAAGUUUGCAGCGACGAGUUUGCAUGUUACUACUCCCUGUGUACCGAAAUAUAAGACCUUUAAGAAAAAUUCCGACCAGAUGAAAAUGUGGACAAUUGACCAGGUUACCCCCCACCUCCGGCAGCUCGCUAAUUUCAAAUCAACCCAGAUCCAGUCGCCCCCCACCUCCGGCCAGCUCGCUAAUAACCCAGAUCUCACUACUCUGCUUGUCCGCUCCCUCCUCUGCCCCAGCUUGUCCGCUCCCUCCUCUGCCCCAGCUUGUGCGGCCCCUCCUCUGCCCCUACCUCCUCUGCCCAGCUCGUCUGCUAGCUACCAGCAGCUUCUCCAGUAGCCAGCGGCAGCAGCUCCUCCGGCAGCUAGCAGUAGAUCCAGCAGCUCCUCCACCAGCCAAUAGGAACUCCAGCAGCUCCUCCACCAGCUAGCACGAGCUCCAGCAGCUCCUCCACCAGACACCAGCACCAGCUCAUCCACCAGCCAGCGGCAGCCCCUCUGUCUGCCGGCAGAAGCAGCUCUUCCGCCUCUGCACUCCCAGCUGCCUCAACGAGGUCCUCUCCCAGUGAUGCACCCAUCGCCCAACAGAUCGCCGGAGGUUUUUCUUUUGAUCCAGGGUGCAGAUCGCCACAGGAGGUCCUAGUGGUGUUGGAUCCUGCUUAUCCCGUCUCCUGCAAACCAAAAAAGCAGGACAAUUAGAGGGUAUUUAUCACAACUUAGCAACAGUUGAACAGAAAACAGUUUAACAACAGCAGCAAAAAUUUUAGCGAGAUCAACAACAUCAGUAGCAGCAUCAAGACAUAGCAACAAUAGCAGCAAUAGGGAGACAUAGAAGUAGCGACAUGGAGUGGCAGCAGGAGUUCAUCAAAAUCAAUAGGGAGUAGCAGCAGCAGGAGUUCAUCACAAUCAAAAUCAACAGGGAGUGGCAACAACAUGGAAUUUGACCUCAACUGUACUCCGCCCGAAGAAGAUGAGAUCAGUCAAAAUGAGAUCAACAUGGAGGACUCACAGGGAGGCAAUGAUCAUGUUGAAGAUGAGAUCAACAUGGAGGACUCACAGAGAGGCAAUGAUCCUGGUGAACAUGAUAUGAACAUGGAGCAAAUAAGGGGAGGCAAUGAUCCCCACGAAGAUGAUAACAGUAAGCACAAUAUACUCAUUUAGCAGUAACAGUGUCUCAUUUACCAAGUUUUUGAAAAUGAACAGCAAGUCUAGUUUCUGAAGAUGAACAGUAACUCCACUUUCUAGAAAUAAACAGUAAUAGUAACUCAUUUGAUCAUUUGAACAUGUGACCAUUUAAAUAUUUUAUCAAUUUAUCAUUUGAUAAUUUGAGUAGGACUAAUAUUUUUUCAUUGUUGUGUUUCUUGUUGCAGUUCUUGAGCAAGGAGUUAGAAAGAGGAAAACUCUGAGUGACCAACAAAAAUAUGCUGCUUAUGUGGCAUUGCACAUAUUAUGUAUGAGUAGAGGUGGAAAGUUCAAGAUAACGGAUAAGAAAAACCUUGCACAUUUUUUUAAUGUAGAAUUGAGGAGUAUACAAAGAGUUUGGCAGAAGGCGAUGAAGCAAAUUUCAGAAGGUUUCGAGGUGGAUGUUUCCAACCAGAAAAAAGGAAAUGUGGAAGAAAACCAAAGGACAUCAACCUAGAGAAAAUCCCUACAAUACCACUCAAUAGUAGGUCUACUAUCAGAUCAUUAGCCUGGCAACUGGGAUGUAGCCCUACCACUCUCCACAGGAAUUCAAAAUGAAGUUGAUAAAGAGGCAUACAAACUGUGUCAAGCCAGCUCUAAAGGAAAAGAAUAAGAAGGAUAGAAUGAAAUUUUGCUUGUCAAUGCUUGAUGAGGCAACAACAAAAACUGCAAGGCCUAAGUUCAAGACUAUGCAUAAUGUUGUACAUAUUGAUGAGAAGUGGUUUACGAUGACCAAGAAGAAUAAAACUUAUUAUCUGCUGGAUGGGGAGGAAGAGCCUACAAGGCCUAUACAUGGCAACUGUAUUGGCAAGGUUAUGUUCUUGACGGGCGUAGCUAGGCCACGGUGGGAUAGUGAAGGAAAUGUGACCUUCUCUGGAAAAACCGAUGAACUCACGAUAAACUGCGUGCGCUCUUUGUCCCAGUUUCAGUUCCCUUGUUCUUGCUUUUCUAUAUCCCGAUGAACUCACGAAUCCAUGAUCCAUGGUCAAUCCCCAAUAUAUAUACUCAAGCAAUAUACUCUCUCAGCAGUAUAUAAUCAAUCAUACAGGAAAGAGUAUCACUCUCUCAGCAGAAUACAUACUCACGAAUCCAUGGUCAAUAGCAGCAUAUACUCCGUGUGGGGAUUAGUCUAGCUCGUAAGCCACGGGUCCAAAUCAAGCAAUAUAUCUACACUAGAAUCUGUAGCAGAGUACACAUCUGACAAAACCGAGAGAUGUGGAGAGGAAGGGGGUAAGAGACGGAAGGGUACCUGGGUGAGGUCGCUGAGGUGGAAGCAGCCGGUGGAGCGGUCGAGGUCGCCGCUAGGGUGUCGCCGGUGCACUGGAGCUCUGCCAACUCGUCCCCAACUCGACGCCCAGCUCGACGCCCAGUCCGGCGCCCAGCUCGAUGCCCAGGUCGACGCCGUCAUUGCUCGGGCUCGGCUUCAGCGCCUCCUUCACCCUGUCCUUGCUCGCCCAGCUCGUCGGCUUCUUGGUCUCGACGAGGCUCCCGCUGAAGUACUCCACCCCCGCCGCCGCAUAGACGAGCAACCCAACUGAGGGCGCCCGCAGCUCCCGCUGAAGUGAUCUGCUAUGUCCAGCACCACUCCGUCAUCCAUAUCCAACAUCGGCGCCCACACCAGCUCUGUCGAUGCAAAACAAACACAUUUUUGACCUUUGAGUGGGAAAGGAAGGAGAGGAAGCACGCAGUGGGAAAGGAAGGAGACAACACACGCGGUGGGCUGUGGGAGGAAGAACGCGGUGGGCUGUAGGAGGAAGAACGGUGGGCUACGGUGGCCGGCGACGACGUAGAGAGGCGACGAGGGAGGGGAAUGAGAGGGUGUGAGAUCUGGGCAGCGAGUGGAUGAGAAUGGGCAGGUGGGGGCAUUUUCGGAAACUCGGAAAGUUUCGUAGUGUCGCGAGAUUUACACUAGAAUCGCUAAAACGUCUUAUAUUUCGGUACAGAGGGAGUACAUUGGAGCAGACCUGUGCAGAUUCGUACUCCCUUCGUUUUUAUUUAUUCUGUAUAUCAGGUUUAUAUAAUGUCAAACCUAAAUCCUUUUAACAAAUUUGUAGAAAAAUAUAUCAACAUAAUCCCUUCAUUUCACAAUUUAGCGCUCGUUCGUGUGCUUUUCGAGAUCUAAGUUUGACCAUACCUUUAAACAAGAAGACCGAUUGCUAUGGGAGCAAAAAUUGAAUCACUGAAUUUGUAUUGAAAUUAAAUACUGAAUUUGUAUCGAAAAUAUAAAUUCAUUGGUAUAAUUUCUGUUGCCACCGCAGUCGGUCUCGUUGGUGAAAUUUAUGGUCAAACUUAGACCUCAAAAAACGCGAGCGCACUACAUUGUGGAACGGAGGGAGUAUACACCAUCAAAUCAAUAUCAUUGGAUUCAUCAUUUCAUAUAUUUUCACAUCAUAUAAAUUUAUUAUUGUAAAUGUUCAUAUCGUUUUCUACAAAUUUCAUCAUACUUUAGAUAGUUUGACUUCAGACAAAACUAAUAUGAGGAGUAAAUAAAAUCAGAGGGGUACCACUCCUAGUAAUUAAUGUGUAUAUCCACUAGCUGCUGAUUGACAUUCAAAUUCUCCACUUGACGAUGGCCAGAGUAUCUGAUAUUCAAACUCUCCACUUGGCCACCUUAUUUCUUCUCCCCAAAUGAGCUAUGAACUGCUCAUUCAUCCAACAUUAAAAUCACUGUGAUGAAACUCUACUCUUUCAGUUUCAUAAUUAGUGCAUAUAGUUUUUCCCCAAAAAACUAAACUUUGACAAAGAUUAUAAAUAAAAAGUCUAUAUCUAGCACAUUGAAUACAUACCAAUAGAUUCGUCAAAAAUAUUUGCAUAUAUUAUAUGAUGGUAUUGUGGAUAUACAUAGAGUUAUCUAUAAACUUGGUCAGAUUUUACAAUGUUUGACUUUUCUAUAAAACCAAUAUGCACUACACUAGGGGAUGGAGGGAGUAUCGUAUGAAAUAUUAUGUGGAAUUAUUCCGUUUCAGACAAUGUUUGGUAUCAAACACAACAGGUACAAUGUUCUAUAGUUUCUCCAAUGUGCAGAAUUAUUAGUUGAAUUGGCAAUUAUUUACAGGAGGGGAGUGCGCUGGUGUGACCGAAAACUAAGUGGAUCGAUGUAUAACAAGCUUCUUUUGGUCGGCAUCAAGACGGUGUUCCUCAUUGUCCGAAUCGAGGACCGGAGUGCAGUAAAUUUUACCAAUCUAUGAUGCGCUCUGGGUGGAUGAAACUGCUCCAAAAGUUGCCCGAGUUCAACGACUCUGUGGUGACCUACGAAUCCGGCGAGCGGCAGAAGUUGCAAGACGUCAGGUAUGAUAUCGUAGGCAACAAUAGUGACCAGUGGAGUGACAUCCUCGACACACCCAAGGGCACCCGCACCUUUAAGCUUCCCUACCCGAUGUACUAAAUCGGCUAGGUUGAAUGCUAGCUAAUCGUCCACGAAUAAGCUCCAUGUUGUUCACUAUCCAUGCUUUGUGAUUACCUUUUUUCCGGGCAUGCUUCCUCAAUACUAAUCCACUAUUACUGCUAGUUUUCUAAUUUCUAUUGAGAAAUCUAUUGCUGCUUGGUUAAAUUCCAUAGUUGGGACCUUGAGUCAGUUACUAGUAUUAAUAAGGUAUGCUACAAAGAAAUUGCAUCUUGCAUAAUCAAUGAAUCGAUGCUCCAUUUUUCCUUGAUUAUAUAAUAUAUGUAGUUUCUAUUUUACACUUUGAUUUAUUUAUUUUUUACUUUUAAUAUUUCCUUUUUUUUCAUUUUCUAGUUUUAUGUUUUAUUUUUUUAUUUGAUCUCCCUUAUGUAUUUAUUUUCUUAUUUUAUUCUUUAGAAUGCUUUCUAUUUGUAAAAAAUAAUGAAUUUUUCCAUACCCUAAUAGUUAAAAACAAUUCCGGGAUAUUAAAAUUACGAUGAACAAGGUCCUAAUAUACGUCGAGAUUUUCCCAAAUACCUGAUGAAUAGUUUUUAUAUGUUUAAGUACAUUUAUAAUUUUGUAAUUACACCAUCAAAUUUAAAUAUAUUUUAAAUAUUUGUUGAAUGCACAAAAAGCAUUUACUAAAUAAUUCGGAACAUUUGCUAUUACAUUGUGAACAUUUCUAGAAUACACAUUGAACAGUUUCCAAACCAUGAUGACUUUUCUAAAUAUGCAUUAUAAAAUUUUCAGUUACACGAACUAAACUGUUUUACCCUGAAUUAUUAUUAUUUUUAAAUUUGUUUUUUCUUAGAAUUAUAAAUAAAAUUAAAUUGAAGUGUUUCAGAGUAUAAAGGACAGAACGGGUAAAAACAAUGACAGAAAAAAUAAAAAUUGCAUUGGGUCGGGUCAUUGUGGAAUACUAUGGGCGAGCCCAAAGGAGUGUUCAUUACUGGUGAAUUAUAGUAGCAACGUGAGGGAAAGUGUGCUUCUCAGCCCGAGCUCAAAUGAGCUCUGGUGAACAGUAAAAUCCAAAAAUAAUUAAAAAAAUAUGAAAUUGUUUGGUGAAAGAAAUUGAAAAUAGUCGUAACUGCCUCCAAAAUUGUAUUAUGAAAUAACAUUUAUUGAAGCCAUGGAGAAAACAAAAUCGAUACUCCAAAAUGCUUUUGAAAUUAGUAUUUUCAGAGUAUCGAUUUUGUUUUUUUGCCACAUGUCACACAAAUGUGAUUUUCUGAUGAAAUCUUGCAAGAUAUUAGAACUUUUGCCAAUGUUUAUCACAAAAAAAAAUAGAUUUUUCUGGAUUUUUUUAAUUUAGUUUUGAUUUUACUGUUCAUCAAAGCUCAUUUGAGCUCGGGCUGAGAAACUCCACAUCCCAACGUGAGCGCCUAUUUGGUGUCGUGCUCAUUUCUGGUAGCCGACAAACUGAGUGGUUUUGUGCGUGACGUAAAAGACACAAAACAAUCAGGGCACUUCGAAGGAAUCAACGUUGUGUCCUUUCACAGGGAAUGCGUGAUGCUAGUUGCUGGCCACUCGUGCCAACAAUUUUUGCUAAUAGAAACACAACAACAAUGUGCAGGAAAUUACUGCAGCGGUGAAUUCCAAAUAUUUUCUAAAGUACACAAAUAUUUCAUCAAAUCUGAACGUUUUUUGAAAAAUCACAGUAUUUUUAAGAUGCCCAAUAUUUUUUUUAACUUUUCAGAAUAUUUUAAAUUUCAAACUUUUUUUUUAAAUUGCCAAACAUGUUUUGAAUUUGUGGACAAAACUUUUGAACAGAGAAACAGUUUUACAACAUCUGAAACCUUUUUUGGAACGCAAUAAGUUUUUCCAAAUUUCCAAGCAUUUACAGAAAAUGGAACAUAUAUUGACCAUUUCCAAACAUUUUUCAAAAACAUGAAUACUUUUUGAUUUAUGAACAUCAUUUCAAAACAGGAACAUUUUUUGAUAAUUCUGAACUAUGUUAGAAAAUGCGAACAAUUUUUGGACGUUUGUUGAGAACCCAAUCAUUUUUAGAAGAAAAACAAUUAUUAAAGUUUCAGACAUUUUUUUACUUGUGAAGUAAUGACCAAAGAAAACCAUAAAAUGUAAAACAACCGAAAAUAAGGAAAAAAGGAAAGAAAAAGUUGAAAAAAAUAAAAAUAUGAAUAAUAAAAAAUAAUAAAUUCUGGAAAGCAGUGAAAAAUAAAUCACAAAACGGAGACCAGUUUAUACGUCCUGCUGCUAUAUGACAAAGUAAAAAAUCUAAAAAGAAAAUCCCACAACAAAAGCUAUUUGACAUACCGAGCGUCAUAUAGAAAAUUCAAACAACAACCACCACAGAACGCUGAUACAGAUGACGGGCAGGUGGAUGUUUCUCAGAAUCAGAUUUUGAAGAAUCAUGAGGCGAAAAGAACUGGUGCCUGCAAUCGGCCGUGGCAUGUACACAGGUGCUAGUAAUGAUAUAAAUCACGGAUAUUGAUUUUGAAGGUCGAGCUCCAUGGAGGUCUUUGAAUGCAAAAUUCAAAAUUCAUGAAAAUAUUUUUUUUUUAUAUUUCGAAAAAUUCCGUAACAAAUACAGAGAUAGAUGAAGGCAUAAUACACAAGUGUGUAAAUUUUUAGGACCAAAUACGUUGAAAUAAGGCUGUACAAAAAAGGCAAAUCUGAGGUUGUUUAACACAUGAUACUAUUCAUCCUCUCGGAACAUGAUUUUAUAUUUUUAUACAGGUUGCAUUUCAACGUAUUUCAUCCUUGUUUAGUUUUAUAAUUGUUUUCAAAAAAUCUGAGGAUGAGGCAUAUGUCUCACAUCCUUGUUUAGUUGUAUAAUUGUUGUAAGAUUUUUUUUUUAAUUUUGAACUUUUCAAAAAAUCGGCCUCGGCCAAAACGCCUUUCUCUAUAAAUCGUGAUUUGUAUACUGGUAAGAAGAAUGAAGCAAUGCAUAUUCAACUAAACAAACUACAUAUUGUCUUGAAUUCACUCAUUUGGAAUCUAGCUAGAAAGGGUGCUUUUUAGGUGCCCAGAUUUUUUAAUUUUUUUGAGGGAAGUGACGAGGUUCUUGGGAAGAAAAGAUUUAACAGAUUCAUUGGUUUUCACAAAGAGAGCAAAUCAAUAUGAGCGCAGAAGCAAUCGAGUUUUGCCAUUAUUAAGCAACAACAUGACAUACAUGAUACAACUAGAGGUACAUAUAGCUAAAUUAGCGGAAGCCCUUUGUAUUGGUACUGCUCGCCGAGCUCCGCGAGCAGAUCGUUUUCCGCCUUGAGUAUGUCGCCCAUGUUGUCCAGCAGGAGGUACUUGUCCAGCGAGAAGCCCGACUCCGGCGAGAUGAGCGCCGCGACGUUUCUCAGGAACUCCUCGUCUAAUGGGGCAAGGGGCUCCCACUUUUGUCCCGACGUCAGCAGCGGCUUCUGAGGUCGCCGCCUCACGACCUUCAUUUUCUUCUUCUUCAUCGUCAUCCUCCUCUUCUCCCCUCUUGCGGGCGUCGGCGACUUCGCCCCCGCCUCCGUGUUCUCACACGAUGAACUCGCCAUGAUUCUUCUCCCGUCCUUCUUCCGCUGAGAAGAUUGGUCUGCUCUGCUGGUUUCGCAGACUUGCGUGCUCGCCGGCACCGGUAUAAAUACAGCAAAAAUAAGAGAUCGAUGAUUCAUUUCUUGGCUAGGGGAGCAGUUCGUUGUAUCCGACUCGUAUUCAGUCCACGGUUCCGGUUCCUACUCCCGCAUGGUCGACGCAUCGGUUGGGAUCCUAAUUGGGACGGCCCAAUGGUAGGUUAUUUUAUAGUAUUUUUAUGUAUAUUGUCUAUAAGGACGUUACUGCAUCAAAAAGAAAAGUAUAAUGGCUCUGCAUCUAGUCUAGUUGCUGAAGCGUGUGCGUCGAACAGCUUCCCCAUCGCUUAGUGACAGUUCAUGAAAUCGUGUGCGAUGACCAUUUCUAUGGAUUUUUUUUGCAUGAUAAUAUGUGUCUCAUUUAUAUCAUAAUGAAAAUAAUACAAGACCAUUGUUGUGGAUUAUAACAACACAUAUACACAGCCAAAUACAAACCCUACGGUCUUGGUCACAAUAUAGUGGUACAGGUGUCCAUUAGGACAUAUGUCCGUGUGUUGCAACGGAAAAAAAAUUAAUUUGUAUUUGCAAGCACAACACGUCAUGCUCCGCUACGAAAGAACGCUAGUUACCACAUGACCAAAACGACCAUCGAUGCAUCACUACAUCCAGAGAGUGUCACCACCUGCAGGGAGGCGCACGUCAAAGCCUUCAACAAACGCGGGGACUAUGUUACUCCCUUUGUCAGACAUUAUUAGGCUGGUGGACCACUUAGCCUCAGCCGGACAUUAAUCAUGAAGUGAGCCUUAGCGCAGAUGGUAAAGAUAUCUUCAACGUGACGAUGUGGCGUUGUGGCUCCCUGGCCCAGAUCUUCCCACCAAUGAAUAGUAAAAUCGACAAAAAAUAGAAAAAAUGAUUUUUUUUUUUGGAGUGCAAGAUGUUCCUUUGGGUGAUGUCAAAAACUGCUUGGAGCUGAUUUUUAUUUUUUUUUGCCAGACGCUCCUCGAAUGUCCAAAUACCUCGAAAUUUUGCAGACAUUUUAGCAUCUUAUGAGCCAAAAAGGAUUCAGAUUUUUUUGAUAUUGUGCUUUUCACCGGAUGCAGAUGAGCCGGGGACCAUUUUGAUUAUUAUUAUGGCUAAUCUAGUUUAAAUGUGUCAUUGUUCAUGUAGCCCACAAUCAUUUUUUCUUUUAUUGUUUGAACACACCACGUCCUUCAUUUCUUUUAAAGGUUUCCUUGCAUGUCUGCUCGUCGUGCAGUUCAUUCCUUUUAAUUGUCAUUCCUUUUAAUUGUCCGCUUUUAGCAUCCAUUUUUAACUGUCUUGCUGAUAUUCCAAGCAAACCGCAAGGUAUAUAAACCGGUAGGGAUCUAUCUAAAGAGGCAAGGUGGGUUUAUUUAACAUAAAAUAUUGAUGUCGAGUUAUUUUUAAAAAAACAGCCUCAACUUUAUUAAUUAGAGAUAAUUGUUACAUCGUCUAUUAAAAAAGAUACAAUAUUUUCCAAAGGCUCCUCAAUCCACUCACUCGUAUCAGAACUCUUUGCUAAUCUAGCAAGCUCAUGUGCUACUUCGUUCGCUUCUAGUAAAAAAAAUUCAGAAGCCAUAGAAAAACAAUCCUCAAAGGUUGCAGCCGCCGCUCCCGCAUAGUACCCUCCCUUGUUCAUUGUUUCAAUUACUUCCGAGAAUAUUGAUGUAGAGUUGGUUAGUGCAGUUGCCUUACCCUGGACAUGGAGUAUUGAGUUUAAUCUUCCAUAAAUACAUAUUUUUGUACACGUUGUUCGUGGCCCAUGGCAGACGGCCCAAUAUUGUAGCGAAGCCCAGCAGUGCAGCAACCUGACAUGGUACGAUAGAUGGUGAGGUGUAUGCGUGCUAGCAACGUAAGAAAACGGCCAGGGAGAGGCAAUGUAUGUACAAUAUUUUUAACCAUGGAUUCAAGCUCGUAAAAUUUUGAGACUUUUCCAUAAAACUGUAUGACAGACUAAGAAUACAUAUUUUCUUAAUUAGUAGGUAUAGAUGCGGCAAGUGGAUUGUUUCCUGGUUUUGGGAAGUUUCCAUAAGCUUUUCAGACGGUUUUUCAUUUUUUCUAUUUUGGGGUUUUCCUGUACCAAUCUUGUCUAUUUUUUAUUUUCUACUUAUUUUCAUUUUGCUUUAUUGCAUAUUCUUUUACUUUUUUUCAUUUUCCUUUUUCUAUUUAAUUUUGGCAAAACACGAAUUGUUUCAAUUUUAUGAUACUUUUUUUAAUUGAGGAACUCCUUUUCGAACUCGUUUUUUCAAGUUCAUCAUUAUUAUUUUUUAAAAUUAUCACCUUUUUAAAAAAUAUAUGAACUAUUUUUAAUGUUUGUGAACGCUGUCUCAAAAUUGAUGAACUUUUUUCCUAAAUGCUGAAGUUUAUUUUAAAACUGAUGAACUUAUUUUAAUAUUUGAUGAUCUAAUUUUAAAACCGGAGAAUGUUUUUGCAAAAUAGACGAACUGUUUUUCUAGCAUAUGUACCUUUUGAAAAUUCAUGAACUUUUUUUCAAUUUUUGGGCUUUUUUUAAAAGUUGAUGAGCUUUAUUCAAAAUCGUGAAAUAUUUUCCAUCUAUGUGCAACCUCUUUUUUCAAAAUCAUGAACAUUUUCGAAUUGAUGAACUAUUAACAGAGAUUAUACGCAUGACCUUUUUUGAAUUCGCAAACUUUUUGUUGAAAUAUCUGCAUUCUAUUUGAUUUUCUGAUUAUUAUUUUCAAGCUAGCGAGCGUGCUCGUGGGCUCACCCAUGCUAGCAAUGGUGCGAGCUGGCACUGGCGCAAAACGCGUCAAUUAGGAAGAGCAACUAAUUAAGGAGUACUCGUCCGAGAGCCUCUCGAAGGGUCCAUUGCCACGUGUCGUACUCUUGGUGUUUCCUUUGGAUUUUUUUCUAUACAUAUUUAUGUCUGGAAUUUUGGCUUUAAGAUGAUUUUGUUUUCCGGGUUUUUUUGGCUUUUCCGUUUACCCCCGAUUUUUCUUACAAUUUAGACCCAAAAAUAAGAUUUUAAAGAAAAAUCACAAAAAAAUGCAUUUUCUCUUUCUUUUUUCCUACCCUGAGAGACAUGGAUUUGCUUCUCUUAGAGGCACAUGUGCCUCCUGAAAAAGCAAAAAAAAUGUUUUUUCCUUCCGCGAGGCAAGGUCGUGCCUCUCAGAAAAGAAAAAAGAUCCAUUUUUCCUUUCACGGAAGUACGGAUUUGCUUCCCUGAAAGGCCUAGUCGUGCAUCUUGAAAAAGGAAAAAUGCAUGUUCUCAUGAAGGAAAACAACGUGGUUUUAGUUUGGUUUUUUUGUUUGAUUUUUUCGUGAAAAAAAGUCCAACGAAACAUAUCAACAUGUGGUCUAGUUUUUAAGAUCUCGACGCAUGGAAUCUAACGGCAAAACCAGUUCUAGAUUUGGACGUAGGUUUUGAGAGAUAAAAUGUUUUGAAUAAACAAAUCUGCGAAAAAGGAAAAACCCUUAGGUUGCUACAAGUGACGCACAUGCAGUUGAAGACUUGUCGCACCCUGGGUUGGGGGAGUGAUCUUUGCCAAGAGUAGUUUUCAAUUAGUGAUUUCGCUAAUUAGAAGCUCGCAUCAUCUCCGAUGCGAGCACUAGUGGAUCAGCCCAUGUGCGCUCAUAUGGGUUUUUUGGAGCGGCUUUUGGAAGCUUCUAUGGAGCUGUUUAGACAAAUUUGAAAACCUUUCAUUCAUUUUUUAUGUGUUCACUAUAUAGAUUUACAUGGACUAAAGUAAAAUGUAGAUUUACAUUAUUUUUUCCCUUAGUUUUCUUUGUGUGUUUUUAUUCAUUUUUUGAAUACACAUGGAAUUUUUGGAAAUACAGUUCGAAUAUUUUUUGUUUACAUGUUAUUUCUUUUAUACACGUUGAUGAUUUUUGUAGACACAUUUAAGUGUUUUCCAAAAUAAACAGUAUUGAUUUGUCAAAUGAACAUUGGAUUUCUUAUGAAUAUAAGGUGAACAUUUAUGAAACACCCAUUGAACAUUUAGAAAAAUUCCAUGAACAUUUUUUUCUUAAAGCAUGCAAAACAGUUCUUAAUGUUAGAACAUAUUUUUUAAUGUCAAAGACAUUUUUGUUGAAUGGUACAAAAUAUUAUUUAAAAUUACAAGACCAUUUUUACAUACUAGAAACAGUUGUGGAAAAUGUUAUGACCAUAUUUUUGAAACGGCUGAAUAUUGUUUAAAUUUCAUAAAUAUAUUUAGAAUGGUAUGUCAAAAGUUUAAAAAUAUGUGAAUAUUGUUUCUACAUUGUAUAAAAAAUUUAAAAACUGUCAUGAACAUAUUUCUGAACACAUGAACUAAAUGUCAGGAACAUUUUUCGAAUGGUACAAACAUUUUUAAAAUUGUGGAGACAAUUUAUUACACUACAUGAACAUUUAUUUGAAACACGCAAUGAACAAGGGGUAAGGGACACGUGUCAUGUGCUUUGCUAGCGCAUCGUGGUUGCUGAGUGUCUCAUUCCUUUGUUGUUGAGUUUUGUUUUAGUGCGGAGUGUUUUUACAGUAUACUCGAGAAAGAUCCUACGUUACGAAGGAUGUGUUUGGUAGGCGUUUCUAGCGGGACUGGCUCGUGGACAUUGGCUCAACAAAGUUUGGUUGAGAUAAAACGAUCAUAAAACUAACAUCUGCAUUUAGUUUGGUUGCCGGCAUACAUUCUAAACUGAAUGGGGUGUCAUGAAAGACAUACUAUUUGGUUGUCUGUUUGUGUAUGCGCAAACACAAGGCCUACUAUUUGGCUGCAUGCAACACUUGUUGUGAGAUAACCUCUUCGAUGCGGUGGUGAGGUUACCAUCACAUAGCGGCGUCAGGAAGAACACACAACAUAACAUAGUAGUAAGCAGUUAUAAAUAUUGUGUCACAUUUAAAUAGAUUAGUUUAAAUGCAAAGCAGUUCAAUAUUAAACUAAAGCAACUAGAGCAUAUGAGCGGUUGUCCUAGACGUUCACAACGAAGGCAUCGUCAUGUCUCCCGCACCAGGCCACCACUUUACUGCCAUCGUCAUUGAAGACGAUGACCUUCACCAUGUCGGGAGUCAUCAACUGUGACCAUGAAGCCUAUCUUGAUUUGUUGGACGGCGACGAAGGUGGCCCAAACCUGGUCGAGGGUGACCCUUUCGUUCAACAGACGGACAAUGACCCUCCUAGAGCACUCGGUGUUCGCCUUCAAAUUGAACUCCUGUGGCAUAGACGGGAAGUGCUUCAUGAAGUCGAGUGGCAUAGGUAUGGCCUCGAGUGGCAUGAUUACCUUGCAGAAGUUAUUUGGCUCACCCAUCUCAUGGUAGUGGUCGUAGUUCUGACGCUUGUCGCUGGGGGGCUCCUCCGCGUAUCGUUGUCCGUGACCGGGCUCUGGACAGGCGCCACCUUUGAGGGCGGCACAACAUCCUUGCACUUGUAUUGCUCCUUUGGUGGCACCACCUCAUUGCCCUUGUUCUCCGUGUCGAUUUGCAGUGUGAAGAGGUUCAAACGAUUGGGUCAGGAUUUGCAAUAUGAACAUUGCAUCAUUGUCAUUAACUUAUUGUCGAGAACCCCAUUAUUUACCUAGGCUGAUGGUUACCACUUACCCACCACCUAGUUGUUUGUCUCUCUUCCUCCAACCCAAUGCCAUGAACUCUAAGAACAAGUCUAACCCCAUCCGCAACCCCUUUCCUUGGGGCAUUGGAUGGAGGGCCUUCUUCCUAGGGUGCUCGCUCGAUGACCGCACCAAGUUUGAGAACACCAUGAAAGUGUGUUCAAACUUCAACAGCUUGGAGGAGCAGUACAAAGAGUAGGACGCUAUGGUGAAGAAGGCGAGUCGGAGGAGUUGAAGACGCUGAUCAGUGACCCAAUGAAGGGUUCUAUGUGAGCCGACAUACUUCAUUGAGCCAUGAAUCAAGCCGUCCCCGGCGACGCUGGACAGAGGGAAAACUGAGCCAAGUACAGACAGCAUCGGUGUUCUUAUGACCACGGGGCCGCAACGUACUUCACCACAAAGAUUAUGGUGGUGCCGGUGGAGGAGCAUCAAGAAGUGCUGGCUAUGGAGGUGGAAGAGGAAGAUGCAGUGGCGACGAUUGUGAGGGCGCUGGAGCUAGGACACCUAAGCAUGCCAAUCAAGUUGGACUCCGGCGAGGAAGAAGAUAUGGUGGUGUAGGUCGAGGAGAAGACCAAGGCCAAGGCUACCCACCGCUCCAAUCGCCUCCAGGGUCCUGUGUACUAUGUAAGAUGAACCCUAAUCCCCAUUCCGAUUGUACUCAAUCCUGAUUGGGAACCUCAUAUCUACCCGUAGUCAUGACGAUGUUAUGACCACUCCUAUGGUGUUUACCCCGAUUCCCCAUUCUCCUAACAUGGAUCGAACCUAAACUCGGAUCAAAUGCAAAGUAGUACAUGAGGAGGGGGGAAAGUGCUUACCGCCAUUGCCGAAGUGCUGCUGUGGAUGCCGGUGAAGAGGCCGGAGUCGAUUUGCUGUUCCUCGAUCUGAUGCACGCCAUCGCCGCCGUCGGUGAGAGUAGGGAGAGUGGAAAGAGAGCGGUGAGAAAAGGUAAGGGUAAUGACUGUCGACGCUUCGGGAAACAACGCGGCUUCUCAAGGGUGGCUCCCCUUGUGCAACCCCUGCCGCCCACGUGCAUCGCAGAGGCCUGGCUCGCGAGAAACUACCAAUUCGAACGUGCCUCGCGAGACAUACCCAGACAUGCUUUAAAGUUCGUGACAUGCAGGCCCAACAAUGUAUGUUGACAACCAAUCAGUUUGUUUUCUUUCCACGGGCCUGGUUGGACCUUAUGCGGGCAACCAAACGCAUCCCCAAGUGUUGUUUAUUUGUCGGAAUUUUCUAAGGUACUGGGCAAACGACAUGUGUACUGAGUGCCCAUGAAAUUACACCAGGCAAACUGUAAAAUACUCAGCGUAAUUUUUUUCCUGUAGUUGUACAAUUGGCUGCGCUGCAGUUCCAAAUUUGAUAAAGUUACAAGGUUGGUGUACCAGAAAUUCAUUAUCUACCAAUCAUCAAUAUGUAUGCACAAAACAGUUGCCUGUCUGGGCCUUUGUAUCAACGUCCAUCCAUGUGUAACACGUUCAGCGGAACCGUCUACCAAACGUCUGACAGACACAGACACGUGCAUAUCCUCCAAACCGGGCAGGCUGGUUGCUUGCGCCCUCGUCGCUUUCUUGUCGAACUGGCUCCAUAUAUAGACUAAUGCACACCACAGUUCAAUUUCCAUUUUCGUUUCAGUCAUCGUACAUAUGACUGCAUUAUUCAGCUAACGUUUAAGCAUAGGGAUUUUUAUUUUCAUGUCCCGUCUUUCUUAGUUAUGAUUAGUUUUGCCCCGUUCAUUUAACAUUGCUCACUUUUUUCCCUUCUUUACUCAUCUACGCCUCGUAAAAGAUCAAACGGUGUGUUGACAUUGGGUUAGACCAGGGGCGGUCCUCAGAUUUUGGGGGCCCGGGGCUGGAUUAAAAGCCGGGGCCCUUAAUAUAGACAUAAUAACAAUAACACUGAAUAUACGUACCGGUGAAAUAUAAACACUUAAAUACGUCUAAUACUAAUAUGCAUAUCAAAUGUUUUAAAAAUAUUACCUCAAACAAUAAUUCUGACAUACCUUGAUGCAAAGGCCAUUAUGAUGGCGUCGAUGUUAAUAGCGUCCAAUAAUUUCUUCUCGAUGACAUAAUGUCACCAGACCAUAUAAACACUCUUGGUUCAUCGGUGACCUCACAUAGUUCUUCAAUCAAUAUUUCCAACUUCAGAGAGCUUCUUCCGACCAAUACGAUAGUCACAGGCAUAGUAAAUAGGAUGCAAUAAGCAAUGGAAAUAUCAGGAUAACAGCCAACUUCUAUUGACAUGCUGCAAAUCUCCAUUGCAGAUAUUACAGUCAUAUGGCAGAAUGAAUCCCACAAUUUUUAAUUUAGAAGUAAGAUCAUACUCCCUCCGUUCCUAAAUAUAAGACCUUUUAAAGAUUGCACUAUAAACUAUAUAGGAUGUACAUAGACAUAUUUUAGAAUAUAGAUUCACUCAUUUUGCUCCGUAUGUAGUCUCCUAGUUGAAUCCCUAAAAGGUCUUAUAUUUUAAAACGGAGGGAGUAUAUCUCAACAUCAUGAUACACAAUGCUGACAAAUAACAUUAAUUGUUGAACAAUAUCGAUGUACCGGCGAUGCAUCUACAGAAGCACAAUAAGAAUAUAUGAUAUACGUACCUCGGAUGGCUGAAUCAGCCAUGACGGAAAAUCAAAGCCGGAUUAUAGGACGCCCCGACGAAUUGAAAUCGACGGCGCGCAGCUGAUGAUCUAAAUUAGGAAAGAAAUUAGGUUUGGGAGAAAAGUAGAAAGGAGGGUCGAGCACGCAGUGGCGAACAGACGAUGCGUCGGCGGCCGCUAGGAAUCGCUGCGUCAAUGCGAGAUGGAAUAGGAAGGGAUCAAUCACUCCUAUUUUUUCGUGAAAAAACGGAAGGAACGGUUGCUGCCUUUGUGCCUCGCUGGACUGCUGGGUGCAUGUUUGCCUGCAUGCUACGUGAGGCCCAGUCAACCAACCCGAUAGGUCAUUUUUUUCUGAUCUGUAAAAACAUUAAAUAUGUUUGGACAAAGCCUAUGUACAUACGUGGGGAGGGCCCCCUAAACUUUGGGGGCCGGGGCGGCCGCCCCCCCCUGCCCCUCCCCUCGGCCGGCCCUGCGGUUAGACUACCAACAAUGAAAGUAACAUAGGUGGUAACAUAGAUAUCAUCUAAACAACAAAUGUGAUGUGGCAACUAAUUAAAGAAAAGUAAGAGAAAUUGAAUAACUUAGCAUGUUACUCAUAUUAGGAGUAACAUAGCGGAUACCAAGGCAAGAUGGGUGUAUAGGCUAAUAAAUAAAAGACUCAAUGUUACUACCCCUAUGUUACUAUCCACUAUGGAGGUAGUAACUUAGAUUAGUAACAUAUGUAUGUUACUCCCCAUUGGUCUUUCAGCGGCGUUCAGAGACUCCUUCAUAUUAUUAGACAUAAUUAUGUCUAGAGACACAACACACGAGGCUAUACGUAAAUCACCCUUAGAAUACCAGCGAGCUCUCGUUUAACCUACGGACCCGAUGGGCCAUGUUAAGACUGGUAUGAAUACCAGCAAGCUCGCUGACAAGGAUCCGACGACUCCAUUACCCCUCGCAUCGCUUAGAGAAAAAACCCGAUACAAGUCACCCCCUUGACUUGAUCUGGAAUUAUCUGCGAGAUGCCAUCUAUGCUCUCAUCUAUCAACAAUUUCAACACAUGUUCUGCCGGAGUUUUGGUGCUUGGAAACCAUGAGCAAACCGCUUGUCACUUCUCCCGUGAGAGAGCGUCACCGGCACAGAACACCUCCAAUGGUUUCGUGAUUGCCGAUGGCGGCUGCAGGAUUGGGGGAGGUAGGCUGCUCGGGCUGCGGGGGAUGCGAAUUGAGAGAGAGAGAGAGAGAGAGAGGGAGGGAGAGGGAGAGGAAGAGAGAGAGAGAGAGAUUUCGUCCCCCUUUUUAGGACAAAUGACCCAACCAUCCACUAGCCGGUCCCACAUGUCAGCAUUUCAUGUCAGUCCCAUGCGUCCACGCGUCAACACCGGACGAAGUAACGGUCAACAGUUUUGACCCGACGGUGAGGCAUUGUUUGGCCUUUUGCGAGACGGAGGCGAGUAGAGGAGGGAGAAAAGUGAGUAAUGUUAGACGGACGAGGCAAACUGAGCACAACUAAGUAACGAUGGACGAGGCAACUUACGUAAAACCAGCUACAAUUAUAAUAGCUUUCGAUGUACACCCGUGUGAUCACCAGCCAUCUAACAACCUUUGCCGACAGUUGUCCUUCAUCCACAAAGACAACAUCAUCCAAAUAAUUCACUUGCAAUCCAGGUUUCUCUAUCAUCUCUUUGGACAUUGUGAUAUUUACUAAUUCCCGAUCCAGAGGUCUCAUACGCCAUGGCGAUGUCAUGACCAGUCUAGGAGAAGAAGCACCUCGUAAACUAGAGCGGAACAGAACCUGGGUUUUCUAGGCAUGGCCUCUCGAUAAGAAGUUGAGAAGAUUAUGGCUGAUACAUGGUGAGAUAGGAUGAGGUGUCUACGCUGCCAUACGACAAAACCCUAGUAACAGGGGAUGCUUUAUCUGUGUUAUUUUUUAAUUAAAUCACAUGAAUAAUUGGCCGUGUGUAUGUAAUUCUAUAUUAAUAUAAUAGGACACAAAGAGGCAGGUCCAUAUCAUCUCGGCCAACAAAUCUAAGAUUUGAUGGUUCAUGUUGAGCACCAAGAGACGAAAACCGCUCGCGUCGCCUCCAGGGGGCGACACGGGCGCCCUAGCCGCCGUCGCCCUCGACCUCCCUCCUCCCCCGCUUCCCCGCCGUUGCCGGAGGAGGCCGGCGAGCGAAGCUCGCCCGGCGGACGACGGACGGCGGGCCUUCCUCCCUUCUUCACGAGGGGGUCCUUUGGCUGAGAUGCGACGGCGCCCCUGGGGGUACAACAUGGAGGCGGAGUUGGCGUGCUCGGGCGGCGUGGGAUCCCGGCGGCGCUGCGGGGGCUGGCGGCGGCGGAUCUGGGGUUCCCCACCCCAGAUCGGUUCUCCUCCGGGUGGUCGGGCUCAGGCGCCGUCCAGCGGCCCUAAGCGGUGGUGGACGCGCGCGUUGACUGUCCUCCUUCACAGAUGUGAUUGGAAACGACAGGAGGUGUUGGCGUGCUGCUAGAUCUGAACAAGGUGAUGGCGUCAUCCCCUUCAUCAGGGAUGACGACCAGGUGGUGGGUUCUUGUGGCGUCGCCGGUGGCGGCGGAUCUUGGGAUCCAGUUCCCGGGGACGUCGUGGGAUGUGGUGGCCCGUGCAGGAGAGAUGGGUUCUUCGAACAGAUCUGGGUCAAAGCUUGCUUUCGGCUAUUGCUAAGGUCGGCGAUGGCGGCGCUGUCUACAUCGUUCCCUUCCUGAAGGCAUCGCCGAGGAGAACUUCAGGGCCACUCUCUGCUACCUCCUGGGGUAACCCUAGAUCAGUAGAUCGGAUGACGGCGACGCUCUGGUGUCAUUUCCCCCUUGGGGGCGUCAUUCAUGGUGGUACACACGGGCUCGAGGGACCAUUGGUCGGCAUUUACGAUGGAGCAGCGUUCCUAGUGACACAUCGACGUUGUGGAGUCUCGGCGGCGAGGCGCGGCAAAGUCUCGGCAAUGAAUGCAUGAUGAUGAGCACGCGUAGGGAGGAGGCGUUGUCUGGCGCCGUGGGGGCAUCGAUGGCAGGCCUUGCAAGGUCGAUGCGUCAGUAAUUUUUCUGAAGAUGGAUUGAUGGAAGGCGGCGACGACGACCUAUGAGGGUGCGUCGGACCGUUUGUGCCCCUGACCCGGUAUGUGGCUCUGUCGGGGCCUCCGGCUUUAGAUGUUAGGCUAGGUGAGAGGUCUGGGUAUGUGGCUCACACUUUCUGCACCCCCUUCAUCAUUGUAUAUGAGUAGCGACAGAUGUUGCCAAGAGGACGGCUUCAGACAUACGCUUAACACUCUAGCUAAUUGACCACCAGUAGCACGGGAGAGGUGUUUUGGCUCCCGGGUAUAUGCACUCGGAUGAACAGUACUGCGAAAAAAGUUCUAAUUUUUUUUGUAGAUGAUUGUAUUAGUGUCGCAAAUAUGCAUGACAAUUUUCGUGCGAUAAGGAGCAACGGUGUUUCAUCAGCAAAAAAGACAAAUUUAGGAUGACAUUUUGGGGUAACUUUUGGUGUUCAAUUUGUUUUUCUUGCACAAACCAAAAUGUUUUAUCUUUUUGUCUCAAAAUUUACAAGUAGUAUUUGGAUGUGACAAAGCAUACAAACAAAUUUUGUCUCAUUUUUUUCCAUUUCAAACUUUUUUUUGGCCCCGAAAGCAUAUGCCGGGAGCCGAAUUGCAUUUCCGCCGGUAGCACUAGUUACAUACACACUAGACUCCGCGCAAUCCCAUGAAAUCUGUUUGGCGAUUAACAUACGGCUAAAUAUCAACAUGCAAAUAUUAUCUUACCAAAUGUACCAAAUGUGUAACUAGUAUCUUAAUUCUACUCCCUUCAUAAACUAAUAUAAAAACAUUUAAAAACAAUGCUUUAGUAAUCUAAACGCUUUUAUUUAAUUUACAAAAGGAGUGCUACCUAAUAUCAACAUGCAUUGCACCAACUCCCUUCAAGGUCUAAUGCGUUUUUAGGGUUGCCCUUGACUAUUGAUAAGAUUAAUAAUAUAUGAGAUCUAUGAUAAAGAGUCUUUUCACAUCCGAAUUUGACAAUAUACCUGUAACAUGCAAGUUAUAUAUAUAUAAUUGCUCUAACCCGUGGCCAAAGGAAAUCUUGCAAAAUGUAUCGGAUGAAGGGAGAACAUGAUAAUACCAGUCUAACAAAUAUAUCCUCUCCAAUCGCAAACAUUUAUCCCCUUGGAUCACAACCAUGCAUACCCCUUUUGAGUACUCCCUCCGUCCCAAAAUUAAUGUCGAGCAUGUAGUUCAUUGGGAAUUUUGCAAAAAAAAACCUCGUAUUUACAAAAUCGUCUCAAACAAGCACCUCCACCCCUAUCUUCUUCGUCCGUCCUCGCCCGUGCAUCGCGAGAGGCCGCGCCGUCGAACUGGAAGGGCUCCGCCGCCGUCGCCGCCAAUUACCUCCUCCAUCACCACAACCCAGAUCUGCGCCACCGGAUCUCUUCCCGCUGCAGUUACCUGUCGGCGUCGUUCUCGAGCUCCUGCCGGCGUCGGAACCUUCCGCCACUUCGUCCUCUGGCUCCCAUGCGUCAUCCUCGAGCUCCCGUGCAUCCUCCCCAAGCUCACGCGCAUCCUCGCUGGAAUCUCUACUGCUCCUUCUCCCUUGCAGCCGGUGUGCCUGCUUAUCCCCUGUCACCGGAGGAGCUCCUCUGCACGUACUUGUUGGAAUUAUGCCCUANNNNNNNNNNNNNNNNNNNNNNNNNNNNNNNNNNNNNNNNNNNNNNNNNNNNNNNNNNNNNNNNNNNNNNNNNNNNNNNNNNNNNNNNNNNNNNNNNNNNNNNNNNNNNNNNNNNNNNNNNNNNNNNNNNNNNNNNNNNNNNNNNNNNNNNNNNNNNNNNNNNNNNNNNNNNNNNNNNNNNNNNNNNNNNNNNNNNNNNNNNNNNNNNNNNNNNNNNNNNNNNNNNNNNNNNNNNNNNNNNNNNNNNNNNNNNNNNNNNNNNNNNNNNNNNNNNNNNNNNNNNNNNNNNNNNNNNNNNNNNNNNNNNNNNNNNNNNNNNNNNNNNNNNNNNNNNNNNNNNNNNNNNNNNNNNNNNNNNNNNNNNNNNNNNNNNNNNNNNNNNNNNNNNNNNNNNNNNNNNNNNNNNNNNNNNNNNNNNNNNNNNNNNNNNNNNNNNNNNNNNNNNNNNNNNNNNNNNNNNNNNNNNNNNNNNNNNNNNNNNNNNNNNNNNNNNNNNNNNNNNNNNNNNNNNNNNNNNNNNNNNNNNNNNNNNNNNNNNNNNNNNNNNNNNNNNNNNNNNNNNNNNNNNNNNNNNNNNNNNNNNNNNNNNNNNNNNNNNNNNNNNNNNNNNNNNNNNNNNNNNNNNNNNNNNNNNNNNNNNNNNNNNNNNNNNNNNNNNNNNNNNNNNNNNNNNNNNNNNNNNNNNNNNNNNNNNNNNNNNNNNNNNNNNNNNNNNNNNNNNNNNNNNNNNNNNNNNNNNNNNNNNNNNNNNNNNNNNNNNNNNNNNNNNNNNNNNNNNNNNNNNNNNNNNNNNNNNNNNNNNNNNNNNNNNNNNNNNNNNNNNNNNNNNNNNNNNNNNNNNNNNNNNNNNNNNNNNNNNNNNNNNNNNNNNNNNNNNNNNNNNNNNNNNNNNNNNNNNNNNNNNNNNNNNNNNNNNNNNNNNNNNNNNNNNNNNNNNNNNNNNNNNNNNNNNNNNNNNNNNNNNNNNNNNNNNNNNNNNNNNNNNNNNNNNNNNNNNNNNNNNNNNNNNNNNNNNNNNNNNNNNNNNNNNNNNNNNNNNNNNNNNNNNNNNNNNNNNNNNNNNNNNNNNNNNNNNNNNNNNNNNNNNNNNNNNNNNNNNNNNNNNNNNNNNNNNNNNNNNNNNNNNNNNNNNNNNNNNNNNNNNNNNNNNNNNNNNNNNNNNNNNNNNNNNNNNNNNNNNNNNNNNNNNNNNNNNNNNNNNNNNNNNNNNNNNNNNNNNNNNNNNNNNNNNNNNNNUGUUGGAAUUAUGCCCUAGAGGCAAUAAUAAAUGUGGUUAUUAUUAUAAUUCCUGUAUCAAGAUAAUAGUUUAUUAUCCAUGCUAUAAUUGUAUUGAAUGAAGACUCAUUUACAUGUGUGGAUACAUAGACAAAACACCGUCCCUAGCAUGCCUCUAGUUGGCUAGCCAGUUGGUCAAUGAUAGUCAGUGUCUUCUGAUUAUGAACAAGGUGUUGUUGCUUGAUAACUGGAUCACGUCAUUGGGAGAAUCACGUGAUGGACUAGACCCAAACUAAUAGACGUAGCAUGUUGAUCGUGUCAUUUUGUUGCUACUAUUUUCUGCGUGUCAAGUAUUUAUUCCUAUGACCAUGAGAUCAUAUAACUCACUGACACCGGAGGAAUGCUUUGUGUGUAUCAAACGUCGCAACGUAACUGGGUGACUAUAAAGAUGCUCUACAGGUAUCUCCGAAGGUGUUAGUUGAGUUAGUAUGGAUCAAGACUGGGAUUUGUCACUCCGUGUGACGGAGAGGUAUCUCGGGGCCCACUCGGUAAUACAACAUCACACACAAGCCUUGCAAGCAAUGUAACUUAGUGUAAGUUGCGGGAUCUUGUAUUACGGAACGAGUAAAGAGACUUGCCGGUAAACGAGAUUGAAAUAGGUAUGCGGAUGCUGACGAUCGAAUCUCGGGCAAGUAACAUACCGAAGGACAAAGGGAAUGACAUACGGGAUUAUACGAAUCCUUGGCACUGAGGUUCAAACGAUAAGAUCUUCGUAGAAUAUGUAGGAUCCAAUAUGGGCAUCCAGGUCCCGCUAUUGGAUAUUGACCGAGGAGUCUCUCACGUCAUGUCUACAUAGUUCUCGAACCCGCAGGGUCUGCACACUUAAGGUUCGACGUUGUUUUAUGCAUAUUUGAGUUAUAUGGUUGGUUACCGAAUGUUGUUCGGAGUCUCGGAUGAGAUCACGGACGUCACGAGGGUUUCCGGAAUGGUCCGGAAACGAAGAUUGAUAUAUAGGAUGACCUCAUUUGAUUACCGGAAGGUUUUCGGAGUUACUGGGAAUGUACCGGGAAUGACGAAUGGGUUCCGGGAGUUCACCGGGGGGGGCAACCCACCCCGGGGAAGCCCAUAGGCGUUGGGGGAGGCACACCAGCCCUUAGUGGGCUGGUGGGACAGCCCACAAGUGCUCUAUGCGCCAAGAGAAGAAAAAUCAAGAGGAAAAGGGAAAAAAAAGGAGGAGGUGGGAAAGGAGGAGGACUCCCUCCCACCAAACCUAGUCCAACUCGGUUUGGGGGGGGGAGAGUCCUCCCCCUUGGCUCGGCCGACCCCCUUGAGGGUCCUUGGACCCCAAGGCAAGGCCCCCUCCCUCCCACCUAUAUAUACGGAGGUUUUAGGGCUGAUUUGAGACGACUUUUCCACGGCAGCCCGACCACAUACCUCCACGGUUUUUCCUCUAGAUCGCGUUUCUGCGGAGCUCGGGCGGAGCCCUACUGAGACAAGGUCAUCAUCAACCUCCGGAGCACCGUCACGCUGCCGGAGAACUCUUCUACCUCUCUGUCUCUCUUGCUGGAUCAAGAAGGCCGAGAUCAUCGUCGAGAUGUACGUGUGCUGAACGCGGAGGUGCCGUCCGUUCGGUACUAGAUCGUGGGACUGAUCGCGGGAUUGUUCGCGGGGCGGAUAGAGGGACGUGAGGACGUUCCAAUACAUCAACCGCGUUCUCUAACGCUUCUGUUGUACGGUCUACAAGGGUACGUAGAUCACUCAUCCCCUCUCGUAGAUGGACAUCACCAUGAUAGGUCUUCGUGCGCGUAGGAAAAUUUUUGUUUCCCAUGCGACGUUCCCCAUCAGUACUGCUGCUGGUCAUCUGCCUGAGUUGUUGCUGCUCCUCUGCUGGAGUUGAUGCUCCUCUGCUCGAUCUACUCUGCCGCUGGUGAAGCUCUGCCCGUGGUACUGCUAUUCCUCUGCCCAUUUGCACCUGAAGAAGGUACUGAUGAAACUGUUUGUUGUUUACUGCUACCUAAAACUGCUGUUGUUUGAGAAACUGCAUUGCUUGAGAAACUUGUAAUGUUGUGGUAUCGAAAAUAAUUUUGUGCAAUACUUGUAAUGUUGUGGUAUCAAAAAUAAUUUUGUGGAGUAUCAGAAACAGAGAAGCCUGGUUCAAGGUUUUGCACUGGAAACAGAGCAGUCUGGUUCAAGGUUGUGCACUGGAAACAGAGCAAUCUGGUUCAAGGUUUUGCCUAGAUAAACCAGACCGGAUGAGAGACCAAAUACAUGGGCAAGUAGUCAAAAGAAACACAUAAUUUGCCUAGAAUCUUGUUGUCCUGUGAUGCAAGAAAAUUUCACCAUGUGUAUGUUGUGGAACGCUUACAGUUGCACAAAUCAGACAUAUCAGUAGGUUGGUUCAGGUGUUGGUUCUUGGCCUAUUAACAUAGAAAGCCCCUUUGUAACUACUAGGACAAUCAGCUUGUGUAAAGAUCAUAUUUAGAGACGAAUUGCAAGCAUUAACCUGAUCUUAACAUAUAUAAAUGGAUAUUAAGUUUUCCAUUUUAGGCGAAUACAGAUAGAGGUUUCAACUAGACCUAGUGAGAAAUGGUUCCAUGGUAGCAUUUCUUGUUUGGCUGUCGUAGCUCGAUUACAUAUUGUUUUUACGUGCGUAUAUAUUCUUGUUACAGUACCAUGGUGUACUCAUCUUUUGUCAUUGAUAGCAGGAGUAUGGAUUUGAACAUGAUACCUCAAGAGGAGGAUGAAGGUAUUAAUUUGAAUUGGAUCCCUCAAGAGGAAGAGGCUCAAGGGGGAGAGGAUGGAGGUAUGGAUUUGAACAUGAUGCCUCAAGAGGAAAAGGAUGAUGGUAUUAAUUUGAAUUGGAUCCCUCAAGACGAAGAGGAUCCAGGGGGAGAGGAUGGAGGUAUGGAUUUGAACAUGAUGCCUCAAGAGGAAGAGGAUGAAGGUAUUAAUUUGAAUUGGAUCCCUCAAGAGGAAGAGGCUCAAGAGGAAGAGGAUGAAGUUAUGAAUUGGAUACUUCAAGAAGAAGAAGAAGGUCAAGAAGGUGUACCAGGUAAACAGAAAAGAAAAGAAUUGUCAAAUAAGGAGAGGCAUGCUGUUUACUUUGCUCUGCUAGUAAUCGAGCUCAGAGAUGGAUCUGUUCAACCAAACGACAAGCUGCUAGUAUCAAUCUUGUUGAACAUACAUGUACGAUCUAUUGAGAGAAUCUGGUCGGAGCCAAAAAGCAGAUUGCCGCGGGCCAAGAAGUAGAUGUCUCCAACAAGAAGAAAGGAAGAGUUGGUCGAAAGAGAAAAGAGCUGGAUCUUGCAAGGACCUCAACAAUCCCAUUGAAUAGAAGAAGGACAAUUCGAUCUCUGGCACGGUCUCUCGGUGUGACCCGCUCAACCCUACAUCGGAGGUUCCAGUUAAAUGAGCUCAACCGCAUCACAAACACAGUCAAGACUUACCUCAAACCAGAGAACAAGAUUGCAAGAUUGAAGUUUUGUAUGUCCAUGCUCGAUGACAAUUGGAUCUCAACUUCCCAAGCUAUAUUCAAGCCAAUGACUAAUAUGGUCCAUAUAGAUGAAAAGUGGUUUGACAUGACAAGACUAAAGAACAACUACUAUGUACUUCCAGGAGAGCCUCCACCUGAGCGCACCGUGACAAACAUUAACAUCAUUGGGAAGGUAAUGUUUCUAACGGUUGUGGCCAGAUCUCGAUACAAUUAUGAUGGAGAGCUAACAUUUGACGGGAAGAUUGGUAUUUGGGCAUUCAUCAAAGAGUCUGAGGCAGUGCGAACGAGUCACAAUAGAGCAAGGGGAACGACAGUGCUGAAACCAGUGAAAGUAACGAGACCUGUGUGUAGAGAAUAUCUGAUCAAUAAGGUUAUACCAGCAAUUCAAGAUAAAUGGCCUGACGAUGAUGAGGGAGCAACAAUAUUCAUCCAACAAGAUAAUGCAAAGCCUCGCGUUCUUCCCAACGAUGAAGCUUUUCGAGAAGCUGUGGAAGAAACUGAUCUCGACAUUAAGUUGAUGCAACAACCUCCAAACAGCCCAGAUUUGAACUGUUUGGACCUCUGCUUCCACAAUUCUCUCCAGUCUCUAACCGAUUGUAGGUCACCUACAAACAUCCAGGAACUGAUACAGGGUGUGGAAGAGGAGUUUGAGAAUUAUGAUCCUCACAAGUUGUACAACAGCUUCAUCACAUUGCAAGCAGUUAUGUUUGAAAUUAUGAAAGAUCAAGGAGGAAACCAAUAUAAGUUGCCCCACUUACACAAGGAACGUCUUCAGAAUGACGGCAGAGAAAUAACAAGUGUAUAUUGUGACAGUCAGCUAGUUGCUGAUACUAGGGCCAUUCUAGAAGAAAUGCAAUAGGAAAAGGAAAGGAAGAAAAGAAGUAGUUGUAGAAAGGAAAAAAAGAAUUGAACUUAUCUGAAUUGUACUCCUUGUGUACUCCUUGUACUCCUUGUGUAUGUCUUGUGCAAUAGGAAAAUGCAAUUGGAAUCAUUUGAGAUCAAUGAUGAUACUGGUUAUCCAACAUUUCCAUCUUGUGUAUCGGAAUUCAUUUUAAUUGUUUGGACUAAUUUGUUUGAGUUUAUCUUGAGUUUAUCCAGCAUUUCCAUCUGUAUUGGAGAUCAAUGAUCUUGUGUAUUGGAAGGGUCAUGUACAUGGGGAUGUUGCCUCAAGUUUUAUUAAAUUUAUUGUUUCAGGUUUCAGUAUACAAAGAUUACUGGGGUAUUGUCUAUAGUUUGGAUAAACCAAAUAAAGUUCACAAAUCUUUAUUCCCUUUGUGCAUAAAGUUUACAAAUCCCAAGCAUAGAGUUGGGAUCAACAAAAAAAUUCUAAGCUUACAAAUCGUGAGUGCUUUCAUCUCAAAAAAAUUCUAAGCUUACAAAUCCAGAACUGGUAGCCUUCCUUAUCUCAAUUCUCUGGUACUGAUUUUUGCUCUCUUUUUUUACCUUCCUUCAACAAGUUGUUCCUUGAACUGCAGGUACUCAGGGACAGUCAACUCCUCGUCGUCUGAAUUCUCAAGUACAGUAGUACUAGUAGCUUGGUUCAGGUUGAUUCUCAAUGAUGCCCUGCACUUGACACUAAAGCCUCCAGCCUGCAGAUAUACAAACGAAAUACAGAUACAUGCAUCAGUCUGAACCUGAAGAAGAAGGAAUGCAACCUGUGAAAUGUGUGAAAUGCUCCUACCAACAGACAAUGGAUGGUUUUUUUGUUUUGAUUGGUCUUGCUCUCGGUUUGAAGAUGAAGUGGUGUUAUUUCGCUUACCGUUGAUGUUCAAGUGUAGGCUUUUGCCUGCCCAGCACCUCUUAACCAUGUCAUCUCCUUGCAGUGCGUCUGGUUCAGGCCGAGCUCCGGGAAGCGGCUGCGCAUCAGCGGCAGCAGCGUGUCCGACGUCCCCAGGUACAUGGACUGGAAGUUGGCCUCCUGUUUCUACACGAGCACCCUGAUGAAGAGGUCUUCGGGGAGAGCUGGGGCGACUUGUUGCCAUCUGGUGAGGACGUCCACGGCGCCCUGGUCGACGGACUUCGUGACGCUGAACAUUGUCACUGUCGGGGGACGGGAACGUGCUUCACCUGCCACGAGAGCACGACGCCGAAGCUCUCGCCGACGCCGUUUCCGACGCAGCCGGAGAAGACGGCGGCGGUAGGUGGAGAAAUCAUUGCUUUUUAUGAGGAAGGGGGAAGCUUGGGGAGGCAGGCGAGUCGCAACUGCGGCGGCGGAGCGGCGGGGGACCGGGGGAGCAGGGGAGUUGCGGCAGGCGGAGCUGCAGCGGGCGAGCGGCAGCUGCGGCGGGGGAGUAGGGCAGCUGCGGCGGCGAGGAGCAGGCAAGCUGUAGCGAGCGUAGAUGGGGCAUCUGUCGGAGGAGGAGGACGAGGAGCGCGGGUUUGGUCGGGAGAAGCUGUAGGGGCUUUUCGCAAAAUUACCGUCGCGACAUUAAUUUCGGGACGGAGGGAGUAGCAUCUAAUCCUUCCAAAUAACACAGAACAUACGUGUUGCACGACCCAAAUGGGGCCCGGUCAAUGACAUCAAUCCCAUAUGUCACUCUCUGCUCCUACUACCUCGCUGUCCAUUACUUCAUGGUAAAUCUGGGGACGAGGAGGACAUGGUCGUCUGUCUGGCUCUUCACCUCCCUCGGGAGCAGUGCACUCGACCACGGUUGGACUCUAACCGGUGGAAAUCCAUGGUGUCCGUUCAAAUGUCGUUUGGAUGCGCAGGGAUGAUUGCUCGAGGCGUGCGGGCGCGGCCUCGACGGACACAGUGAUCGCCGUCCAAUUCUAGUAUGAUGAUGCAACCCCUUUGGUGGUGCCUCAUCCCUACGCCCUCGGGCUCGGAGUCGAAGAUCUGCACCGGCAUGAGUUACGGUCCAUCUUCUAACAUGGAGUGGCAUACCCGUCGUGCAAGGCAAAGGCCGCGUGGCGAGACGUAGAUGCUCUAACCACAUCUAGAUGGGAUCACAUCGAUUUAUGAUAUCCCGACUUCCCGAUCAACGAGUCUCCUCUGAUCAAAACCAUGUUACCCUAAUAUGCAUGUAAAAAAGUUAGGCUAAUAUGCGCGUAAAAAAGUUGAUUAACUGCUGCUAAAAUGGUGUGAUGUGAUAAGCCGGCCCUCCCCAACAAGAAAUAAUAACAACUGCCCCCCUAUCUCUCAUAUCCAAUUUAUAUAUGAGCCGGAUAUAGCGAGGACUGGAUGCGUCCGUCAGGUUGUAUCCGGCUCACGCUGGUUCAUCCCGACCCAUAUAUAUCCGUCUCUAUCUCCAACCUGGACGAAACCCUAGCUACUCCACCCCUCUUCUUAGCUCCGUUCCGAUGAUCUCCAGCCAUCUCCGACAUUACAGGCAGCGUCCGACACGGAGUUGGGAUCUCGCCCCAUGCGGGGAUGAGGAGGACAUGGCCGUCCGGCCGGCACUUCGCCGCCCCCGGAAGGAGUGCGCUCGACCACGGUUGGACUCUAUCCGGCAAAAACCCAUGGUGUCCGUUCAAAUCUCGCUUGGAUCCGCAGGGAUGAUGGCUCGAGGCGUCCGGGCGCGGCCUUGCCGGACGCGGUGACCACCAUAAUAUUCUAACUCCGGGAUGGCGAUGCAACCCCUCCGGUUGCGCAUCAUCCCUAACAUGGAGCGGCGUACGCCGUCGUGCGAGGCAUAGGACGCGGGGGCGAGGUGUAGAUGCUCUAACCGCAUCUGGAUGAGAUCACAUCGAUUGAUGAUGUCCGGAUAAACGAGUCUCCUCAGAUCAAAACCGUGUAAUAAUCCUACAAAAUAAAGACAUCGCCCAACGUGUUCCAGAACGCUCUGAAUGAGACCCCGCGAAUGGCAACAACCAUACCAUUUAUGAGCAAGUUUUGUCAGUCCCCCCACCCGGCCAGCCCGUGACAUCGAUGUAGCAGCUUCCGUUCCUAUUUAACCAGCGUACCAUUUGCACUACAUUGCAUCACAGCAAGCACACACACACACACACUCUCUAGAGAAAUGGCGAUGGCUAGGACGACGGCGCUCCUCCUCGUCGCCGCGGCUCUCCUGGCGGCCUCAUCCAGCGCAUGGGAGGUGAACAUCCAGAUGCCGGCGUCGGCGGCCGUGGACGAUGCUGUGGCACCGCUCAUCCACGCGCUGCGGCCGCUCCUGGGCUCCGGCAAGCAAGCCGGCGUGGCGUGCGAUAGCUGGCGGCUGGGCGUGGAGGCGCACAACGUGCGGGACUGGAAGACGGUGCCCGCCAGCUGCGAGGAUUACGUCGGCCACUACAUGGUCGGCGACCACUACCGCCGGGACUCCAAGGUCGUCAUCGACCAGGCCAUCGCCUACGUCGACUCCCUCAAGCUCGCCGGCAACGGCAAGGAGGUCUGGGUCUUCGACGUCGACGAGACCACCCUCUCCAACCUCCCCUACUACGCCAAGCACGGCUUCGGGUACGU